CAACCAACUGUACUAUGUUUAUUAGCCUUGUCUUGACUGAUGUUUGAUAUAAAUUCAGGGUUGACUCAUAUUUGACUUAGAUUUUCAAAGAUUAUUAGUAAAUUUCACAUAGUCACAUAGGCCAUGCAUAAUUUAAUUUGGAACUAUCUUUUGAGGAUAUUUAUCAUAAUACUUGAUAUUUAUGAUUUAUUUUAUGGUAAGUGAAUGAAAAAUAAAUCAAUGUAAUAUAUGAUCGAUAAUAUUCCAACAUGGUUGGAUAGAUUCGGGCUAAGAUUCGGGCUCAGAUAGGCGAUGUGCAUCCCAAAUCCCCCACGUGACCAGCAUGCAAUAUGUCGUUUUGAUAUGCUUAUUAACGGUCCACCAAAUCCACAUUAGAUACGAUAGAAAUUUGAAGUAUUACAUCGUUAGAUGUUACGGAUGCAAUAAGAAAGAAGCCACCAUUUUUUGUGUGGGAGAAGGAAACGGUGGCGAGAAAUAAGUGGGCAGCGAAUCGCGAUUCGUUAGGAUCAAACUUUGGGCGCCUAUAAAGACCAAGCGACCGCCUCCUGUCGUGCAGCAGCUCAUCCAUGGAUGUCUUCUUCGAGACCUCCAAUGGGAAGCACUUCUCCAUCGAGAUCGGCUUCUUCGACACCGUCCUCGAGAUCAAGGAGAAGAUCCAGAAGUACGAGGGCUUUCCCGUCUCCACCCAGAAGCUCGUGUUCAACGGGCAAGAGCUGGAGGAUGACCGCGACACCGAGCACUACGAUAUCCUUCAGAACUCUCGCAUCCAUCUCGCCCUCUCAGACCAGGACUCCGCCCCGCCGCCCGCGAAGCUCGACGCCCACCCCCGCGUCAACGUCGUCGUGAACGUCACCGUGUCCAAGCGACAGUUGACGCUGGACGCCGACGCUACCGACACCGUGGGGCAGCUCAAGGCGAGGAUUCACGACCUCGAAGGCAUUCCCACCAGCAGGUUCAUGCUGUUCCACGGCGGUGCCGAGCUGCAGGACCACCAGACGCUGGCCGACUGCGGGGUCGCCGACGACCCCGAGGUGAGCCUCGUGGUGAGGCCCUUCCCGCCGUCGCCGCCCUCGUCGUCGGCGCCGCUCCAGGGCUCCAAGAAGCUGCGGCUGAUGGUGCUGCCCAAGUGCGGCACCAAGAAGGUGCCGGUGGACGUGAACGCGUCGGACAACGUGAGCGAGCUGAGGAAGGAGCUGCAGAGGUUGUACGGCGUCUUCAACUUCCAUCUGCCCACCGACGGCUACUUCUUCAUCUACAAGCAGAAUGUGAUGGACGAGGACAAGUCCUUCAGGUGGCACGACGUGAAGCAGGGCGACACCAUCGAAAUCUUCAACGGGAGCGUCACGGGCGGAUCGUAAUCCAUGCGAUUCCAUCUCAAAGAAGGUAUCGUUUGCCUCUUCCUGUGGCUUUCGGAAUGUGUUGCAAGAGCAUUAGACCCCCUGAGCGAGUAAGAAUCCAAGCCUCCAGCAUCACACCAUCAAUGGUUUUUCCUUGAUGAAAUGGACGGUAGGUAAUGAAUGUGCAUAUAGAGUUGCAUGCGGAAAUACGUACGAGUUCGAUUAGAAGGCACUUCCUCUGUAUUGUAGCAAUAGUACCUCGAUUUCUUCUUCCAGUUUUGCCGAUCAAAAGAUCGAAAGUAUCGAUUUUUCUCACGAGUUCGGAAGCCUAAUCUCUAGGUUAGUAGUUACGAGCGGCCUCUUCUUCGAACGAGCUUUUGCUCGUUCCAUGGUUUCAUGUUUGUUUCUGUUGAGCUUUUCUUGUAUUAAAUGUUGCUUCUUGAAAGGCGCAUGGAGUUUGCCAUAAGCGAAAAAGGAGAGUUUUUUUUUGUGUGUGUGUAUGGUUGAUAUGUUCAAUCGUUCAUGGAUUUUGAUUUUGAGACUUGUGAUCGAUUUGUUUUAGUUGUGUUAUGGUCCGUUUUAUGUCUUCAAGAAACAUAGCGGGAAAAUAAAAAUAGAAAACUAGGGUUUUACGCUGGUUUUUGUUGAGGCUUUUAUUGAAUCUGGGGGCUUGGAUUAGUUUACGAUUUUUUCUUGAAAUUUGCGAGUGUUUCGUUGGUGGUUCAUGCUGUGGGAUCAUCUGUAGAUUAGGUAUAUUGUGAUUAUAUAUUCUGCUUAUCUGUGCUUCUUGAAAGACAUAUAGAGUUUGCCUUGAGCGAAAAAGGAGAGUUCUUUGUUGUUGGUUGAUUUUGUCAACCUGCUAUUGCUGAUGUUGCACUUUGUCGUGCCUGAGUCGUCCAUGGAUUUUGGUUUUGGGAGUUGGGAUCGGCUCUUUUUAGUUCCUGUGUUGUUUGGCAUAGUUAUCCCUUCAAGAAAUAUAGCGGGGAAUUGUACUUAUGCCUGUAUAUCCCUGUAUCGUAAUACUGAUAGCGGAAACCACACAUUUAUGUGUAAAUAGAGAGUAAAAUGAAAGAAGAAAUUGUUCCUUCAUUGAAAAUUAGAGAGACAAGGCUUGAGGUAAUGAGAUGGCCCAGUUUUAAUUACUUUUUUUUUUAUCCAGAAAGCAGAUUAUAUUAAUUAAACUUGUAGGUCAGAGCACAAAAGGCAUGCCAACUGAGAGGGCCACUCCCCUCUCCAAAAAGAUGAAGCCUUAGUUAGCCUAGCCUUAAUUACUUCAAAUUGUAGUACAGGCUUAUUUUUGUGCUUCAAUGAGGAUUCUGAAUUGUAUUCAUAAUCAACCAAAAUCAGUUUGUGGCCUCUGGAUUGGUACAUCAAGAAAUGGUCUGGAUAUUUUUUCUUGACUAGGGAUAAAAUGGGUUUAGCUUUGUAAUUUGGUCUUUGUUAAUUGUUCUGCAUUAGUUUUUGUGUUUCCUUCUCUUUGUUCCUUUUUUAAGUUAGUUAUCUAAUUUUGAUUUUGUUUUAGAAUUAAUUGAAUUAUGUUUAGGAUUAGGUCAACGGUCAACCUCAUUAUACAUGCAAAAAAAUAAAUAAGGUGUGAGGUUGGAAGAAAGAGGGCGGUAGGAGGCCAUACAACAGGUUCAACAUACCAUGUUAUGUAUGUCCAAUUUAGAAGAAAAGCCUCAAGUAAUGAUUGAGCUUCAGGCUUGGAAUAAGCUGUCAGUUGUGAAAUGUUAUUUUAUGACAUGGCCACCAAUUCAAGUUUCUUCCAGUGCCUUAAUCCUGGAUCCUUCUAGCCUCACUGGAGUGAUUCUUAACUAGAUUCUUGCUGACCUAGUUCCCACAAAUUUGUUUGUGUUAAUUCCUUUGAAAUCCUUACUGUUCUACGCACAUUCAUAAAACCUAUGAGGCAUGCAAACAUUUAUCAGGAGUGCUAAGAAGUGCAAAAGUUCUUAUAUAAUGAAUUCUUUGGUGUGCACAAUACAAUUUAUGAAUUUCCUUGUUUUCUCUUUUAUGUUAGCUCAAUUGUUGCAGUCUUUUUUCCCAGUUUGUUAUCCACGGACAUCCCAUACCCCAUUUCGUUACAGGGUGUGCAUAGAAAACAUACAAUACACCAAACCAACCUGGAUGAUAACUGAUAGGCAACUCUAAAAUCAUCAAUGUGCUGAGAAGCUCAGAGCACAGAUUAAUGUGACUAUGGAUGAGAAAAUUCAAAAUCAUUUGCUGAUAAGGAAAAGUCAAUAUGACCACUAUAACCAUAAAUAUGGUUUUAUAUCUAGACAACUAAAAGGUAAUGUUGUAAUGACAAUAGGCUUGCUCCACCAUGUUAUAUUCGAGUAUGUGGUUUCAUAUAAACCUUGAUUUUAGUUCCUUCACAGUUGGGAUGUGGUUUGAGUGACAGUUUGUGCUGGUAUCCGAGUCUGUUUUACCUCACACGUAGAAUAAAGAUUAAAUUGCAAGAGUUGCAGAUUGCAAUGGGUGUGUGGUUGGCAAAUGUACAGUUAGCAUCAGAGAUUGAAGAGAAGCGAGUUAUGAAUUACACUUUUAAAUGCCAAACUGGUGAAGCCAUUGAAUUAGAAGAUAUAGAUCAACAAGUAAGCUUCACAUAACCAUUUGCAAAUGCCAAAAAGCUUGUGGAUCAUGGUGCCCUAUGCUUUUUGGGUGGCACUGUAUUGGGGUUUGUUUUACUGAAUUUUGUUGCAUGAAAGAUCUCUGCGAUGAAGCCAACUUUUCUUGGGUGGGUCAGGCUUUUCAUCACUGAUGCUCAAGAAUUUUUUUUGUUUUAGGUGUGAAUGCUGCUAAGAUGUUCAUUUGAAGCACUUGCUUUCUUUGGGAUGGACUAGGCUACAUAAUGUGAUGUUUAUUGUGCCCUUUGCUUGAAAGUUAGCUGAAGCUAUCCUAUUUAAGUCAUAAAGUUCAUUCUACGAAGCAAUCAUGAGAACUGAAUUUGUUUCUUUUUUUGAGAAUAUUUAGCUCAAUAAAAAUGAAGGUUAUUAGAUACAUUCCAUCUAGCUAUUAUGUGGCACUUGAUCUUUUGGCACCUCAUCAACUAAUGACUUGUUACUUGAAAAGGAGGAAAAUGAACAUCAAUUUUGUUGCUUUUCAUUUGAUUUGCACAUUCAAUUUCUUGCAAAUUGUGAUUAGCAAUGUUUUGGCUUUAACCUUCUUCAGCUUUGAACUGAUAAGAAAAGCACAUCUCACUUGAUGUCUUCAGUUCUCAAGAGUUCAUGUCGGAUGUAAACAUUCAACUCCCUAGUGCUUUUGGUAAGUUGACUAUACGAUUUUUUCUGAUUGAGAAAUGGCUUGCCAAUAAGAUGUAAGCCUGAGCUCUUAAUGUAUUGCUUGCAGAUCCCUUUGCUGAAGCAAUUGUUGACGACUCAGGUGUUGGUUCAAAGGAGUAUGUGCGUGUUUGAGUGCAGCGAAUGGAAAUGUCUAACUACUUUGCAGGGUUUAUAGAAAGAGUUCAGCUACAACAAGAUCUUGAAGGACCUAAAGAAAGAGCUCUAUCGUAAUGGUUCUGUUGUCCAGGAUCCAGAGUUAGGCCAGGUACUUGUGUUCUUCUCUAUAGUUUCUGCUUUUGAUUCAGUUUUUUAAUGAACAUUUGAUUAAUUGCUGAUUUGACAUUUUUGUCAAUUUUUUGUUGUGUAUCUUAUGCAUUUGUAUCGCAUAUUGUUUUGUAGGUUAUUCAGCUCCAAGCUGAUCAGCAGAAGAGUGUUCUUCUUUCCUAGUAUAGUAUAUUGCAUCUUCAUUUCCGGACAAUGAUCAUGUUUUUUUCUCAGUUUGGUGAUAUAUUUUCUCUUUCUGUUUCUCUUGUUUAAUCCUUUUCUUCUCUCUUUUCUCUUUUUCUCAUGUUAAGCCCAAAGAAUGUAUGCCAUUGGGCAAGCUCCUUGUUGCUCGAUGGACAUUAGUUGCAAACGACAAUUAUGCCCACGACCACCAUGAUUUUCUUAACUGGCUGGUUCGGUAUGAUUUGAUUGGUAUUUGCUCGUCCGAUUGUCAACCGGUACAUGGACCAUCCCAAAUCAAGCAGUCCAAUCUGGUUGAAAUAUAUAUAAUAUUUUUUUUGGAUGUUUUAUUCUGAAAACAUCCAAAAUUGAGCAGCCUCCUCCUUCCUCCACUGACCCUGAUCUCCUUCUCUACCUUCGCCGCACAUGUCUAUUCCUCUCCUCCAAUGUCUUCUCUACCUUGGUGAAGCAGACGGAUGAUGAAGGAAGAAUGGAGGAGGCCAUAGGUGGGUCCCGACGGCGAUGGUGGCAAAGAAGAGGGAGAAGUGAGUGCAGGAUGAAUUGGUUCGGUUCAUUUAUAUUGGUAGUUUAGUCAAUUGAUUUGGGUUUUUUUGGGUAUUUGAGCAGAUUUGUUUGCCCUUAAGUAAAUUAUGAAAAGCGGGGUGUUUCUAGGUAAGAACCUAUAAAGUGAGGCUUUUCCGGAGAAAUCACCAUUUGUUUUCUUUUACCCAGGGUUCGACUGAACUGUUGUGAGGAGUCGGGAAGCUGAGGAGUCACAAGGAGGAGGACCAGCUCAAAAACCGAUGAGCUGUUUGCAUGAUCGUGGCCUGCCACUGCCCAUGUGUCUUUCACCUGCUCCAGUAUGCCUUUGCCUCCUCCACUGCCUUCUUUUCCUCCUCUUUCUUCUUCCCCUUCUUCCUCCUCUUCUUCCUCUUCCUUUUUAUUCCUCAUUCCUGUUCCUUCUUCCUCUUCCUCCUGCUUGUUGCUCAUUUUCUUGACCUUCACUCUAUUAAUCAUACAGAGAAAUUCAACUUGAAGCAAGGACUGCUAAAAUUUUGAGGUACAUAUAAUUUAUGUAACUUUUAUGUCACCUAAGUUGCUUGCUUGUUGCUUGGUCAUGCAGAUUUACCUGGACUAUUAAUAUGGUAGUACAAGCAUGGGUUCUGAGUGCCACCACUGGAAAACUGCUGCUUUAUGGUUUUCUGAUGACUGCUAUAUGUCAGCGUGAAGUCAUAUAUUGUGAAGUUUGAGUCCAUUGAGACUUUGUCAAGAUACCUAUAUAUCAAUAAGAAGUCCACUUCCUAUUGAUACUGAUGUUAUUAGUGUCAAAUGUAAGGAAUGGGUGCUCAUGCUUAGCUACAGUUGCUGGCCAUGCACUUCACAUGGCUGAGAAGUUUAGGAACUCUCUCAGUUUAACUGUCAAGCAUAUACUAUGUGACACUCUUUCAGUCCUAGAGUUAGUGGGAAGAUAAUUAUGUGUAUGGCAAUUUCAAUGAAUGGUUUAUCAAAUUUUUACUCAUUAGAAUUGCUCAUUUUGUCGGAGUUAACUUACAAAAUGAUAAAACAAAAAUCUACCAAGUAUUCUGCUCUUGCAAUUCUACAGGAACGAUGAUCAAUUUUAGCAUGAAAUGUUAUAAGAUAAUUCAUACUUUCUCUCAUCAAUCUUAGAAUUACUUGUUUGAUUUUUGAUACCAGUUUUAAACAUUAUAUUAGUUGACUAAGAAAGAUUUAAAUUCAAACUGUAUUAUGUUUUAGAUUUCAAUAUUAGCAAAUCAAUCAACUAAGAUUUGGAUAGAUGUCUUAUAUACUUUGCUUUUGUUGAGAUUUAAAUGCACAUAAUUGUCUAAAAUUCUACAUUUUCUAAGAAGAGUUUUUUUUUUUUUUUUUUUUUUUUUCAUUUUUUGAAUAUUUUAGAGGGUUUCCUUGAAUUUAUAGGCUGUGCAAUCCAUUUAGUAAUUAGUAUAGUGUGUGUAUAUAUACUGAAAAUAAUAAGUUUAAUAAAAAUAUUAUUACUAGAUCAUACCGUAUAUUUAUUCAUAAAUAUAGAACAGUAGCAUUCCUUCUUUUAGGUUAGGGUCAACUGUUAUGCCUCUAAAAAUGGAGUGUCAAAGAUUGAACUUGUCACUGGCCAAGCAGCAACCUCCAAGACAUGGCUCCAACCAUCAGACAACUCCCUAGACAAAACAAUGCAUUGCCUCAAGCUGUGACAACAACAAAGGCAUUUGUGGAAUAUAAAAAUAAAACAAUACAGAUGUCUCUUAGUUGUUGCACCAAAACAAUAUUGUAAUUUCUGCAACAUGUUGAUCUCUUGUUGGAACAACAUGGGUGCAGAUGAUUUGCCAGUAUGAUAUCAGAAGCAUGGGGAGCUUCCAUUGGCACAUGACCCAGUGAAUCAGAAAGGCAUGUCAAGCACAUGUGAGAUGAAGCCAAAUCAAAUCAGAAGAAUUGUUUAUGUUCCUCUGCUGUUCUGAUGCUGAUAGGCUUCCUACAAGAUCUACAGAUCCAUAUGUCAGUGAAUGACAGAUGAAUUGGCAUCCAUUUAGUAUGGGGGAUGUGCAGCCAUGCCUGUCCAAAAAAUUGCAUUAAACUUACCUGCACAAUUUUAUGUAUGUUACUAUUGGCAACCUAGAUAAUUAUCUCCCAUGACUUGUGGGUGCUCGAGACUUCACCUACUGAAAGUGCUCAAUAGAGUGUUUCACCUGUCAAACAAUCUUCAAAGUUCAUUGAAACAUACUUUGGGGUAGGACAGAGGACAGUACUCUUUAAUGGGGAAAAGAAAAAUAUCCAGAAAGUGGUUUGGAACUUUGGUUUUUAUUGAUUUUUUGCUACCUAGUGAUGCAAGUUGAUAUUGAUUAACCUGAAAUCACUUCAAUAGUCUAUAUUAAAUGUCUCUAUGCAGAGCUUUUGUCAGCUGUAAAUUUGAAGUCAUACUUUAUUUCAAUACCAUGACCAUAAAAGCAAACUCAAGUCUGAGUCAGAAUUGUACAAUAACUCUCCUGUUGUCCUCUGUCAGACCAGCCUUAGCACAUCAUCCAUGAGGCUUGAAUUUUCUUUGUGAUAAACUUUUGAACUAGUCUAGUGUAAUUAAGAAAACAUUUCUCCUCUCUCUCUUUUUUAAGUGGUUGAAUGCCACUUAUAUUGAUAUGAGGGCCAACAGACUGAUCCAUCAAUUUGCAAUAUAUUGAUGAUUGCCACUAACUGCACUACCGAUACUUUCAAAUUCCAGAACUAUUAGCUGGUUUUUGUGCAGAUAUGCAGUAUGUGAUUAUCAAACCGAAGAAAGAAUUAGAUAAUGUGAGUUAAUAAUAUCUUCUAUUCAAAAUUUUUUUCUUUCUAAUCAUGACUUGGUUAUUGAAAGCUUUCCUUAUGAGUAUACUAGUCUCUAACCAGUGAUAUGCAUUCUGCUAAAGCAUGUUGGAAUAAGUAAACUGUUUAUUUUUUUUCUCUUCUAAUAGUUUGUCUCUGAGAGUUAUUAAUAAUCUUCUGAUCCUUGAAAUAAAGUAUACAUUUUAUUUACCUACUUCUAUUCUUUACUUCAAUGCAGUUGUGUGUUAGGUGUAAGAUCUUUCUUGCCAAGCGUUUUCAGAAGGAAGCCCAAAGAUUAUGUAUCUGAUAAUAUGCUUCUGUAGGUCAUUUUUAAUCAUGGUGGAUGUUGCUCACAUGAGAAUGAUGUGGACUUCAAGGAGAGGUUUGAAUCCCCAGAAAUGGUGGAGGCAGAAAUAUAUCAGACAAAUUUAAUAGGCAAGAGAUAUCCUCCACAGAUAUGAUUCAGAUGCAACUGGAUAUUAAACAGAGCACCUUGCUUGCACAUAAACAUUCCUACACCAGCUAUAGAUAGAUACAAAGCUACAGCUAUUUGUACAAUUUGAAUGAGGAAAAUUAUAAUGAUCUUCAACAGAUACCAUAAGAAAAAUCUACUUAAUCUAAGAUUAGUCCUAUGCAUGGACAAGAAUAGAUAAAAAUUCUCCAUCUAAUAAGAUAAAAGAUCUGUAGCAUUUCAUGUUCUUGAAAUAAUGUCAUCAAUCUCCAAUGCAUUUCUCAUUUUUUGUAUAUAGCCAUUAGAUAUUUAAAAUUUGCUGCACCAGUAUAACCCAUUUACAGGGACAAAUUGAAGCAAAUCAAGGUAACCUGCUUUGCAUCUUGUAUUACUCAACCUGAAAUAGUUAGAAAUAUCAUUUUUGCUAAUAAGACAAUUCUUCCUUGGGUAAGAUCCUUUUCUUGAAUAUUAGAUCAGAUAGAUCUUGAUGAAGGAAAAUAUCAUUUUAAUCAGCUCAAAAGAAAAUCAUUUUUUGUUUGUUUGUAUGCUUUUGGUGCGGGGCAGUAUAGGAGCAGACCACCUUAUUUUUCAGUGGGAUUUUUUGUUGCAGGUUACCCGAAGCAGGAUGACAUCUCCACCAUUUAGAUAUUCCAACAAAGAUUAAUUCAAUGGCAAGUUAAAGGCUUCCUCCUUUUGGAAGGACCACCAACCUGCCAUAACUAUAUAGGCAUUGGGACAUCAAGAGCUCUCCUUUUGAUCCCCUACUCCAACUGUAAAUUAUCAUCAUUGUUGCUGUCCUCCCCCCCUUCCUCUCUCUCUCUCUCUCUCUCUAAAAGCCAAAACCAAUUCUUUUUUGUUCCUUCGUUUUUCUUGGGUACUUUGAAGUUUGAAACCCCAUCAUCUUUGGAAACUUUAGAGAGAAAGAUGGAUGGGAAUAUAGCUUUUGGCUUUGGAGCCAUAAAUUAAAGGUAUGCUUCCUUGGCUUUCCCUGCCAGUCUACAUUGGCAAUGAACUGCAUGAUUAAUCUUGUUUGCUUUCAGAUUCUUAUUGUCAAGUGCAUGUUCUGUAAAGCCUCAGUGCAAUGGCAAUCAAGAUGAAGGGGCUUCUCAAGGGAAUCAAAUACAUCUCUCAUAUAUUUGGUACUGCUUUUAUUGACUCCUUUAAUUUUCUUUGUUCUAUUUCUAUCUCCAUAACAGAUGAUCACAGUUAAGAUCUGGUGUUUUCUUAUUGGAGUACUUUCUGUGAUGAUUCUCUUGCAGUGCACAAGGAGCAGGAGAUGGAAAUAGGGUAUCCAACAGAUGUAAAGCAUGUUGCACAUGUUGGCUUCGACAACCUGUAUGGGAGUUCUCCCUCUUGGGUAAUGGUCUAAUGCUAAAAAGCUUAUGCUUAUGUCUCUGUGUGAUCUCUUUAAAACCUUUGAGGAGAUCUUGUAAACCAAAACAAGGAGGUUGAUUUGUGCUGAUAGUUCUGCAUGACUUUGUGGUGCAGAUGAAUGAUUACAAGACAUCACCUGAUUUCUCAUCAGGUUCCCUUAGCAACUUCGGAUCGAGAGAACCCUCGUGGGCUUCACAAGGUUUGUUCUUUGCAUCUCUUACCAUUUGUGAUCACUUCUUUGAAACAUUUGUCUCAUUUGGUGAUCUACGUAGUAUUAGAUCACUAUUUUGAUAUUUUUUGUUAUUAGAAGAUGGAUAAUAUAAUUUGGUACUUUAUAAUUACUAAGGAUGCAAAUAUUGACUAGGAUUUAAACGGAAUGCAAAGAUGAUAUUUCCAGAAAGCAAUAGUAAAAUUUAGGAACCCAACAAUGAUGCCACUCAAGGUAUGUAAUACCGUACCGGUGUACCGAGCGGUAUAUCAGGGCGUACCGAGCGGUACACCCUGGUAUACCGAACAAUUUUAUAUAUUUUUUUCAUUACUGUAGUACUGUAGCACUGCUACAGUGUAAUACUGUAGCACUGUAGCGGUACCGGACGGUCCGUAUACCGGUAUGUCGUCGGAUCGGUAUGUACCGCCCAUACCGGGUGGAACCAAUCGGUACUGCAUACCAUGAUGCCACUAAAGGAGUUAGGUUUCUUGUUGAGAUUUCUGCAACUCUACUUUGCAGUAUACUAAGAUAUUUGAAGUAAUGUACUUCUGUAGUUCUUUUUCUUUUUAUUGAAAUAUAGGCCUACAUAGUUCUCAAGUUCACAAGAUGAUCUUUUUUGAAAGCUCAAUAACUUGAAGUUUUAAGGUUAACUAACUAAAUCAUAAUUGUUUGUUAACAUGUUGGCUUUUCACAAAAUCAUAACGUUACACAUAUGAUGACCUACAGUACAAGAUAAUAAACCAACACUAACCUAAAUGAGGACCAUAAAAGAAAACAGAACUCAUGACUGUGGUAGACGACAUCAUCAGCGACUUAAUUUUAUUGGCAUCUGCUGAUGACUACAGAUUAGUCUUGUGCAAUAAAACAAGUAUCCAUCUCUCUACCAACAUUAAGCUAUCAUUAUGUUAAACAAGACAAAAUUUCAGAGGAAGUUCUCUUCUAUGUAUCAAAUUCUGCUACAGUCAUGACUCAUUUAAUAAAUAUAUUUUGCAACAAGUUGAAAGAAUUUACUUUAGCCAAAUGGCAAGCUAGCAUAACCUAAGUUCAAAACAGCAGUAAGCUGUUACUGAUAUGAAGAUCCGAAAAGGAGAGAUAUUUGAGCUUAUCAUUUGAUUGUGAUCACUUUGUAUUCUUCAUUGAGUACAUUCCACUAAGGCUUCUAUACUCCAACUUAUUGUGAUAAAAAUUACCUUUUUUCCUUUAUCCCUACCUUCCACAAGAUUAUUCAGGUAUGCCAUUAAAUGUUUCUUCAAAACUUUCUGUGUUUUUAAGAUUGAGAAUAUAACUUUUGUUGCAGUUAAUUACUGUCAAUUACCAGAACAUUAUGUUGAAUCAAUGGUCACAUUGUCCUGGAAAUAUUGUAUUCCAACCUAAGAUAGAAAUGUCAACUCUCAUUCUUUUGGCAUGGAACUGCAUAUUUAGGUUGGUAGGCACACCAUGAUAAUUUGUUGUGGUGAAGGAUUCCUAGGAACAUUAUUAUUCAUGAAACUAAGAAUUCUAUACUGUUCAUUAGCCAGAAACAACUCUUUUUUAAUGACAACUUGGAUUGCACUUGACAUGUCUCAACAAGUUAGCUUUCAUGGUCUGCACAUAUAAUAUGUUCUACCAGUAUGGAUGAGUUGGAGCUUACAUUAUUUAGCCCGACAUGAACCACGAUUACAUGCAUGUGAGGAGCAUAGUAAUGCGGAACAAGCUUUUAACGUACCUUCCUAGCACUAGCAAAAAUAAACUGAGUAGCAUGUUUUGCAAGCAUGAAAGAAGAAUUUCUUAAAAGGAAUGCAUUGUUACUGCAUAAAGUAUGGAUGAGUCAUUGCAUGCUACAUGUGAUUGCUAUUCACAUGUGCAAUCUCAUUAUUAGCUUGAUUUGUUUCCUGUAAAAGCAAUUAACUGCAAAGCAGUCACUUGAUUUGGCAUUGUUCUUGUUCUCUGAAUUAUUCUACUUUUAUCUUACUAACUAUUGCCGCAACAGAUUUUGAUCAGCAAAGAGAGCUACAACCACCACCUGAGAUUUUCACAGACCAUCCUUGCCCAGACUUACCAAAAGCCCCUAAGAAGAGAAAACCAAAGAAGGCUAAGGCCAAAUCCCCAUCACCAGCGAGAUCGUCGAGAUCAUCAGCAUCGAGAGAUUCAUACUCCACUGCAUUUGAAGAUUUCGGUGAGACGCGAAGGGAAUUCCGAUUGGUCUAGGGUUAUCUUUUACAUGUAAAGGAUUGGAUAUUCUCAUCUGCCUUUCUUUCAAAAAAAUAUUUGUUCAAUCUUUUCCGGUUUUAAAGUUGUUCAGUAGACCAGAUUGUCACACUUUCUUUCCCACUGAACACCUAGAAUCCAUGUCUGCAAUUUGAAUGAUACCCUAUCCAAAUUUGAUGAUAUGGAGGCUGGGUGUGCUCUUUCACUAAUCACUUGUGAAGCUCAGCUGACUCUGUCUUCUUUUAUUGCAAGUUUAGAAGAACAGUCUGAGACCCAUGAUGGAGAUACUGAAUUAAGUUACACUGGGAUAUGUAGUCACACACCCUUUUGGUACUCUAUAUUAGAUAGCCAUGAACCCUAACAUCAACUAUAUAUGUUACAGAGGUAAAAUAUUGUCAUCUAUCACUCCCUUUUGUGGAUUUCCAUUCCCUUCACUCUCAAUUGCCAAUAUUUACUCAAAGUUUAUGUAUGCAACUGAAGGUGCCUUUUUAUCAUGCUCUCAAGAAAUAAUAUUUUCUUCUUUGAAGACGAUAAUACUCCGAAAACGAAUCGGAUCAUCAUUAAAUUUAUUUUUCUAAGAAAGUUCGAUUCAUUUAAACCGGAUUCAGAUACCAUAAAAUUGGUGAUUAAUAAUCAGAUCAUCAAAUUAUUUGCUCUCUGAAUAACUUAAAUCGGAUUCUAUCGUAAUUAAAUUAUCCGUCAUAUCACCUAAAAAUAACGCAGAAGAAGAAAAGGAUGAGACAUCUUAGAUUUGGGUUCCAUCUUUUAGUAUCAUAGAUCAUUCAGUCAUGGGUGACCUCCCACGGUGGCAAAGGGUCAUGGUCCACGUCGCCCAUGAAAGGCCACCCUGGAAUUUCAUGGGAAUCUUCCACGCCGCAAACCUAAAACCUCCCUCGCUCGACCGCCCAUUGUGCUACAACUUACGUCGCGGCUUCACUCAACGCCGUUGCGGUUUGCGUGGAGAUGGAGAUGGCAGUUACGACAUGGACACCUCCUCGCGAAUGGCUCUCUUGAACCUCGUCUCUCCCGGCUCUUUCUCCGGCACACCUAGUUUUCCACUUUUCCGGGGUCUUUAUAUGAGGGCGGACCUCCACCUUCGAUCCCACGUCGCUUGCCCUUGAGAUCUCUUCUUCUAUAGAUCGGAAAUUGGAGAGAGGAGGGAACAUUCUUGGGUUUCUCGAGUGUCUCGGGAUCGAGAGGGAGGAAAGGUGCAAGUUUUAUUAGAUUGAUUGAAUCGCUACCCCGGCCUCUCUAAGCCCUAGAAAUCGGCUUUUUUCGAUACUUCAAUAUGAUCUACGCUGUGAAGCAAUCCGCUUUAGCGUUGGGCGCCGCGGAUCUUGUCCGGCCCAAAUCUCUGCUCGCUGCACCUCGAAUCAGCAUCCUUCCGUCCAUAUGUGCUGCCAAAAACUCUAAUUUCCAGCUUUCUACUCGGAAGCCCCUGUCUCUCCCCUCCCUGGAGGGACUUGGUUUCCCGUCGGUCGUGAAGCCUCGCGGUCUCGGGUUCAAGCGCGAGGCCUUCGAAGCCGAUAGGUCGGAGAACAUCGAGAUCUCGCACCAGGAAGCUCGGUCGGCCGCGGGUCAGAAGCUAAGGAUCGGGAUCUACUUCGCCACCUGGUGGGCUCUCAACGUGGUGUUCAACAUCUACAACAAGAAGGUCCUCAACGCAUUUCCGUAUCCCUGGCUCACCUCCACUCUCUCCCUCGCCACGGGUUCGCUGAUGAUGCUCGUCUCCUGGGCCACCGGGAUAGCUGAGGCCCCCGAGACCGACUUUGAGUUCUGGAAGGCGCUUGCACCGGUGAGAAAAAUGAGAUAUUUUGGUCAAACGCAAGGGAUUUUCAUGAUUGGUUCGGUUUCUCAGGUGGAUUUUCUUUGAUCAGGUUGCGGUCGCUCAUACCAUCGGCCAUGUGGCGGCGACGGUGAGCAUGUCGAAGGUGGCGGUGUCAUUUACCCACAUAAUAAAGAGUGGGGAGCCUGCAUUCAGUGUAUUGGUGUCGAGGUUGCUGUUGGGUGAAACUUUCCCUCUGCCGGUGUAUUUGUCACUGGUCCCCAUUAUUGGCGGUUGUGCCCUGGCGGCGGUGACCGAGCUCAACUUCAACAUGACCGGUAAGAAGAGAUACAAUAAUGCUUAACUCAUGAAGUUGACCUCUGUGGAUCUUUGUUCAUAUGUAAUAGCAAUUUUGAGCUAUUUUAACUAAACCAGAAAUUAGUGAAUUUUCUGAUCAAACUACUUGGUCAAUGACAAGCAAAUUACUGCAGUAUGAAGUUAUUGCUCACAAGCAUUCUAGUAUUUUAUUCAGGUUAUAUCCCUUGCUUUCUAUGCUAUCUCAACAUUCCUAAUUUAGAUGCCGCUGUUGCUGAAUUAGUUUGUUGAUGCUUGCUUCCUAGUUACAUGAGCAUGCUGCAACUGCUAAGAGUUUUUUAUUAAUCAGUAUUAGUGUUACAUAUGUGAGCCAUGUCUAUGAAAAUGACUCAGAAAGUAACCUCACUGAAUUAUGUUGGUCAAGGGAACCAAAGCAUUCUAAUACUGGAAGGCUGUCUUGGAAUUAUAAUUUUUAUGAUUUUAGAUGUAAUCCUCUAUGAACUUAUUGGUGAGAGUAUUAGCUGUGAUUUUUUUUCCUAUUUCAGGUUUUGUGGGCGCAAUGAUAUCGAAUCUUGCAUUUGUGUUUCGGAACAUAUUUUCUAAGAAGGGGAUGAAAGGGAAGUCAGUUGGUGGGAUGAACUAUUAUGCUUGCCUGUCGAUUCUAUCCCUGUUGAUACUCACACCUUUUGCUAUUGCAAUUGAGGGCCCGCAGAUGUGGACUGCUGGCUGGCAGAAGGCACUUUCACAGAUUGGUCCACAUUUCGUCUGGUAUGCCAUAACCUUUUCAUUGGUGUGUCUCAUUUAUGAAUUUUGUUUUUAUUCAUGCAGUAGCUUAAACACCCAUUGUUCCUAUUUGCCUGUCAAAAAUUAACUCUUGCUAGUUGCAGGACCUUAGCAUUGUGUACUCCCAGUGGCUUGUGUUGGAAAGUUGUAAUUAAAAUGGCCCGAUCUGCAUUCAGCAAACCAAGCAUCCAUUGUGUUCAAAUUUUUGCUAGGAAACUAUUUAGUCUGUUUGUAAUAUUGAGCUUUUCAUGGUAUGAUUAUAUUAAAAUUUAAAAUGUGAUCCUCGCCUUAUGUUCGUGUGUUUCUUUUCCGUCACUUGAUUGACGUUCAAAAGUUAGAACUAGUGUAUUUAAAAGAUCAGAAAUCGAGCUUUAGUUGUUUCAGAACCUUGCCUUUUUCUGAUUUUACUCCAAGUUUAUACUCAUCUUCAUGCUAAACAUGUCUAAUGCUACCACUAUUUUAGAUAAUUAUAUUCUUUUAGAGGUUAACUUUUGACUUCUGUGCUAGAUACCAUGUCGUUUGUGUAACCUCAUAAUUUUUAGCUACUCUAUUAAAUUUAUGUGGCUAUGAAACUGCAAACUGUUAGGUGGGUGGCUGCCCAGAGUGUCUUCUACCAUUUGUACAACCAGGUUUCAUACAUGUCCUUGGAUGAAAUCUCUCCUUUGACGUUUAGUAUUGGGAACACCAUGAAGCGUAUUUCUGUCAUUGUCUCAUCCAUCAUAAUCUUCCACACGCCUGUUCAACCUGUCAAUGCGCUUGGAGCUGCCAUUGCUAUCCUUGGAACUUUCCUCUAUUCCCAGGUAAAUUUUUAUCAUUACUUUUUGUGGAGACUAGGAUUUUAGAUGGUCCAUUUAAGAUGCCUGAAAAGCCACAAGCAGAUUGCAUGAAAUAUCACUUGUAUAUUUGCUUAAAAGGAAAUGUGAAGUUCUUAUAUACAUUGUCCAGAUAAUAAAGAUUUUAUAUUGUUUUUAGUUGCAUAUUGUCGAUGUGUAACCCGGAAAUCCACAAUGGGUUUGCUGUUUUUUGUUUUUAAUGGAAAGGAGACAUGGAGAGGAAAGAUGAUGGAGGGAAGUGUCUCAAGGAGAAAGAGAGAGAGGGGAAGUGUUUCAUUGACUCAGUCACAUUUUAUUAGUAGUAUAUUUGUCUGAUUGCUUUUUCCUUAUCUCUUACUACUUAGGACUCAGCCAAUAUAGUUCUCUAUAAGCUUAACAAUUUUUAUUUCUUUAAAUUAGAAUAAAAAGAUGCACUUAAUCUAUGCCGGUGUCAAUGAUGGAUGCUGCCCAUUGCCUGUGAGAAUCACUGAUCGGCCUAUUAAAAAUGGUUUAUUGUUGCUCUUGUCAUGACCAUCCACUUGAUCUGAAUGGCACAAGAGAAAGAUAGAUAGAUGUACACAAAAAUGAACAGGCAAUAUGACCUUUGAGUUAGUUGGCCAUGCAUAUUAUGAUAAGCUGGAUGUCAAUGUUUUGGUGUCUGAAUUUUUAAUAUUUAUGAUCAUUAUUAUUAUCAAGACAAUGUUUUACAAAGAGAUUCUGAUUCAUGUGUUACAAUUUGACAUCACAAUGUAUAUAUUACUUGUCUUGAGAAUCAAGUCUGUAUUUUCGAUAGCUGUGAUGCUCUUAAAAAUCAAUGGUGAAAGAAGCUGACAUUCUUGGUGACUAUUAUGCAGGCAAAACAGUGAACCUAAACAAGAUUCGGAAGGUCCUGUAACGAGAGCAGAGCAGGUUUACGCACUCGCACGAGGCGCUUGAAGCAACAGUGUAAUCAGGCCUGAUAUUUACAGGGUCGAGAGCCAAUUUUUUUUGCGUAGAUAGAUGCAUCUAAAUAUUUAGAUCACUAAAAUAAAAGAGAGAGAGAGAGAGAGAGAAGAACUUUUGUUUACUUUUUUGAGUGGGCUCACAAACCUCCUCCUCCUGUGCUUGUGAGCUGCAGUAGAUAUAGUCUGAAAUAAAGGUCUUAAGGUCAUUCUUCUUCCUUGUCGAGUUUAUGUUGGAUUCUUUUUCUUUGGGCAAAACCCUUCUUCUCUUGGAGCUUUGUCUAUACUUUUGUCGAAGUGACGAUGGCAAAUUGUCUUGUCUUGGUGAAGUCUGCAUGGGUAGGGGUCCGUUCGACUUGGGACGGUUGGCGAUGCAGAGUUCAGCAAGGGAAGGAAACGAGUCGCAGAGUUCGAAGCUGAGCUCCUCCGGCGACGCCGUAGAACUCCACCCUGAGAUGUUCUAUGGUAGCAACGCGACAGCUGGAUGCGCUCCAGAUUUGACGCCCAUGAUGUCUCCGGCCAACUCGGAGACUCUAAACCCAUAUAUCGUGGAAUCUGCAGCUCUAUCGGAUUCUGCUGAUGCGGUCCGAGUGCUUCCAAGAUCUCUUCGGGAUUCCGGGCUUCUAUAUCCCUUCCGCUCGUGCACCCCAGCUUGAAGUCCACUCCUUAAGGUUCUCUUUCGUGGCCUUCGUUCUAUCACCAAUUGUCGGUGUAAACAACCUUGAGCCGUGGCCUCGGGGCCGACGCAGCUGAUUCGGGUCCGAAUGAGCGAGGGUCUUGCUCGACGUCCCUCUAGGUUGCCGAUGUGGUCGGUCGUGCUGAUCGGGUCGCGUCGGAGCUCGUCGGACUUUUUCGGGGGAUGAAGAUUCCUCGCUGGGGUAUUCAUGGGGAAGCAGCUCCGUCUUCGUACCUGCACACAGGUCGGGUCGGUGGCUCGGCCCGACCCCUCCGACGAUCAAGUUAGAUGAUGUGAAGAGGUCUUUUUUUGUCUCCCCCCCCUACCGUUCAGGAUAUGAGGGUAUUUAUAGGAAAGCUUACCGUUUCCUGAUGUGUCCGUUUGCAGGGGGUAGGCUAGUAGCAUCUGAUGCAGGUGUUGGCGUGGUGUGAACGAUCGAGCCCGAGCAGGAUGUUUAAUGUGCCUCGGUCGACGUUUCGAUCCGUUUGACCAGUUGGUGUCGGGUCAAUCGAGGUGUGAGGCAUCAUUUGGGGCAGCUGACGUCAGCCCGAGUCUUGUCGCCAUUAUUAUCCUCAUAACCAAUAUUCUCAAGAUUCUUCAUGCGAAGUUGUCCACUUAGAUUCAUCGAUCGCGAAUCCCUCGGCCGCCUUUUUCACAUGAAACUCCCCCAGUUCCCGAAGAGAAGAUAGUUGCGCCCCCAUCCUUGGUACUGCAGCAAUUGAUGCUGGAUGUGCUUUCAGAUGCCGCAAGUUGAUCAGAUUACUUACUUGCACCUUCCGGAAGUGGCAUAGGAUCACAGAGAGCAGCACGUCGGUCGUCUCAAGGCUAAAAGCCUUCCGGAAGUGGCAUCCUCACGCUCUUCCUGCGUUGGAUUUCCAUGUAUCGCAGGUGCACCAAUGCACCAAAUCACCGGUAGCUUCCGGUCAUGGAACUUUUUAAGUUUAAAUAAAAAAAAUUUAUUUUAGCUUUUGUGGUCCUCGAUCAUUUAAGCCCUUAUGAUUUUUUUUUAUGUCUAAAAUAAUUUUUAUAUUUUAAAAAACGUAACAUAUAAGUCUGAGUUGACAGAUGUUUGAGUCUGUUUACGUGACAUGUUGACUCACAAUAAAUCAUUAAUAUAAUGACACGUAUAAUUUAAGUUAAAGAAAAAAAUUUAUCUUGUCGAGAAAGAGGAAACGGUAAAGGCCGUAGCGGUGGACGAAGGCGGAUUGGCAAAGAUAGAAGAGAUCGGAGGCGAAAGUGAGAGAGAGCUAGACCACCAUAUCAUAAACGCGAUAGGUGGGGGCGUAAGAGAGGAUGAAAUGGGAGGUGGUGGAGAUGAGGAAACCCAAGAGAAGGAAGAGAGAUCAAGAGAUCAUUGUAUGCCUAACGUUGGACUAAUCGUCACACAUCCCGAGAUAAGAUCAUAAGCUCCUAAACUUGUCGUCAGCGUGAGAGAGAAUGCAUGCGUAUGAUGCCUUACUAGGCAGCAAUGAUUAGUGUUGCUACUUGUGGUCAUUUUAAUUUUUUUUAAUUUAAAUUAUAUAUAUUAUUAUAUUAAUAUUUUAUUAUGAGUCAAUAUACUAUGUAAAUAAAUUCUAACAUCUUUUAACUCAAACUGGACAUGAGGAGUUUAUAUACCAUGCUUUUUAAAAUGUAAGGAUUAUUUUAGACAUAAACAAAACCAUAAGGGCUUAUAUGAUCCAUGACCAAAAUUAUAAUAUUAAAAUAAAUUUUUUAAAAUUUAAAUUAUAUGUGUCAUUAUAUUAAUAGUUUAUUAUGAGUCAACAUAGCACGUGACUUAACGAGAGAGACUUGCAUGCUAUAUUUUUUUAAAUGUAAGAGUUAUUUUAGAUACGAGUAAACCAUAAAAUUUAAGUGAUCCAUAAUCAAAAUUAUAUUUUAAGUUUGUUCGAUUGAUUUAAUAUUUUUAUAAAUAACAAUAUUAGGUUAUAAAUUGGAAAGAUGAUAUUCUAGGCUUUUGUAUCGUAGUGACGGAUUAUGAGAUAUAAAAAUAUGAUUAGUAAUUGAGGAAUUAUUCUUAGUAAAAUUAUAUUUUAUUAUUUUUUAAUGAUUGUAUGGAGUAAAAGGAUUGCAAAUAACCCUUAACAAAGAAAGGGCAAUAGAAAUCUCCAAAAAUAAAUACACAUACAAUUAAACCUUGUAAGACAAGUAGGUAGUAACACUGAGACGACUUCUACCUACGAUUUGCACCUUCCGCGGUGGCAGCGGCGGCGGCGGCGGCAGCGGCAGCGGCAGCGGCAGCCUUGGCGGUGUCAUAUGAUGCAUGCAGCCCCAAAAAGAAAUAGUAGACGAGCAGCAGCGCCGUCCAGAUGCCAAACCUCAUAUACGACAGCCCGUCGAUCGAGCCUAGCAGGAAGAUAUUGAUGGCGAUGGACGCCGACGGUAACCACGGCACCAUCGGCACCCCCCACAUCUUCGGCUUCUUCGCCUGUGGCACCCCCAGCCACAGGAACCCCGUCGAGAGGAACCAUACGGGUAUCGCCACCACGUACCCCACCCACCCGUCGACACCCGCCGCCCAGUACCCGGCAGCCCCCACCGAGGAGCCCAGGAUGAGCACGAUGCAAACUAUCAGUUUGUUCCGCUCGGUCGCGGAGGUUUCGCCGUUGACGUAGUAUCGCCGGACGAGGAGAGCCACCGCCACCAGCAUGAAGAUGAAGAGCGUCGAGAUGGAGAGGAGAUUGGAGAGGAUGCUGAGCUCGGUAAAGAGGGCGAUGGUGGCUGUGGCUACGAGCAUGGCGACGGUGGCGUUGAUGGGGGUGCCGGUGGUGGCGUGGACUUGAGCGAACCAUGGCGGCACCAUGUGCGUGCGAGCGAUGUGGGUGAGGUACCGAGCUUGGCCGACGGCCGACACCAGCAGGACGGUCGUCAUGCCUUUGAGUGCGCCGAAGGCGACGAUGUACUUGGCCCAGUCCAUACCGACGGCCUCGAACGCGACCGAGAAGGGCGCGUUGGGGUCGAUCUGCGAGUACGGCUGCAUGAGGCAGAGGGUGAACGCCAGGAGGCAGUAGCAGAGGGUGGUGAUGCACAUCGCACCGACGAGGCCGAGCGGGAUGUCCUUGGCGGGGUUCUUGGUCUCUUCCGCCAUAGUGGACACCGCGUCGAAGCCGACGUAGGCGAAGAAGAGCACGGCGGAGGCCGAGAAGAGCCCACGAGCGCCGAAGGGCAUGAAGUCGGAGAGGUUCUUGGGGUCGGCCCUGGAGAGGCCGGCGGCGAUGAUGAAGACGAUGAUGGCCAGGUGGAUGAUGGAGGACACGUAGUUGAACCGAGAGGUGGCCUUGGUAGAGAAGACAGCGGCGAGGCAGAUGGCGACGAUAACGACGACGGCGAUGGGGUCGAGGCGGCUGUAGUCGGGGGAGAGCGAGGCGAUGUGGAUGCGGAAGUCGUCGGGUUGGUGGUUGAGGAGGGUGGCGAAGUAGGACGUCCAGGAGCGGGCGACCGCGGCGCAGCUGACCACGUACUCGAGGAGGAUGUUGCCGGCAGCGAUGAAGGCCACGAAGUCGCCCAGCUCGACGCGUAGGUAGGCGAAGGAGCCACCUGAGACAGCCAAGCAUGGACGCAAUCGUCAGCUCAAGCAACAAGCGACCAAGACACACAAACACAGCCCGGACCUGCGACAGGGAUCUCCACCGCGAACUCGGUGUAGCAGAAGACAGACAGCAUGGAGGAGACGCCGGAGACGACGAAGGAGAGGAUCACCGCAGGGCCCGCGGCGUUGCGGGCCUCCUGGCCGGUGAGGACGAAGAUGCCGGCGCCGAUGACAGCACCGAUGCCGAACCAGAUGAGAUCCCACCAGGAGAGGUUCCGCUUCAUCUCGUGUCCGCUCCUAGCUCGAACCUCGUUGAUCUCUGUGUCGUCCAUGGACCGGGCGGCGAUCCGAUUCUUGAGCCGCAUUCCGGUCUCUCUCAGAGCCUUCAUGUAGUUGGCCCAGCUCUGGAAUGAUUCAUCGGGGAGGAACUCAUCUUUGGUGCAGCAGCAGCCCGCCCUCCUCUGUUUCGCUCCUCCUCCUCCUCCUCCUCCUCCUCCUCCUCUGCUUUCAGUGGCAAUAGUCCCCAUUCCAAUGUGGUCUUCGCUUCAAGCACUGUCAAACACUACAAUGCGGGUCUCAGUUUGGGUGCAGUCAUAGCGGAACACAUCACGAGACAUGUUGUGAGGCAUACGAAGAUCCAUUAAUGAUCUUGUUCUUGAAUUCCAAUUACCAGAUCAUGGGAGUUCGUCAUCGGUAGGAUUCGAAGAAGAAGGAACUUCUCAAUCCAUUUUCUUUUCUUUCUCAUGCUUUAAGAUUGUUCCAAUUAAGCAAUAAUCAAAGGCCACAAAGAACAACGGUAGAAAUUAAUCAUGAAGAAAGAAUUCCAUGUCGCAUUGUGACAGUUUUAGAUCAAACAUUCAAUCCAAGAACGCAUCAAAUUAUGCAUAACAAACAGAAGAAGAAGAACGGAGAGAAAAAGACAGGACGCGAUCACAGUUGUAUGAGGAGGAGAUAGAUGGAUGUCGGCAUUGUUACCUGUAGAAUAUGCAGAGCCGGAACGAAGGAGAUGACCGGAGGAGGGAGGGAGGGUGCCGGAGAUUCUAACAGUCACAUGUAAAUAUCUUUAGAGAGAGAGAGAGAGAGUGCGAAGGCUCCCGGUUCCGAGUAUAAAGCUCGAAGCAUUUUUACAGCUACCCCAGCGACACGCACCGCUUUUCUACCUGCGUGUGAUUGGAGAGGUAGAAGCUGCCUACGUGGAACCCAUCAGUUCAAAAGGCAGGUAUUGAUGGGUAGGCAACAGCUCGAUAUUUAUGGGCGGCCUUUGACCGAAACAGCCGGUGACUGCCCAGAUUGCGACGCCACGUACCGACACGCGUCGCUCAGAUUAUCUUUCAGAUUCCCCGAUUCCAUGGAUCGCAUCGGUGGACGGGCACCGUCCGAUCCCGCUAAUCUGCGAGAUGAUUUCCCAAUUAGAAAUGGCAAAUUAAGUGUUCAGGUUCCUUUUCUGCAAAUAAAUCACAGCAUAAUCCUGUGAUGGUUAAGGAAUAGAAGAAGUAGAAGAAGAAGAAGAAGAAGAAGAAGAAGAAGAAGAAGAAGAAGAAGAAGAAGAAGGAUUUUAUUUUUCUUUUUCAUAAUUAUGAAGCAGACUAACUCGAACAGGUCCCACGUCUCUAUCCGUCAUAUCAAAACAAAAUAAAAUAUGGCUAUGGUUAUUGUCAGGAGAGAGAGAGAGAGAGAGGAUGCAUAUCAAAACAAAAUAAAAUAUCAAAACAUUUAGGAAGGAGGAGAAUCUGUGCCUCAAUGAUUUUUCCCUUUUACAUAAAAUAAAAUAAAAUAAAAUUUGGUUGACCUCACCCACCCACCAGCAACAAAGGAUGCAUUUGUUAUUUUUGAGGUUUUAAGAGGGAUAUGCAUAUAGUCAAAACAAUUUGAGGAAUACAAAACCUGUGUCUGACAUAUACAUAUGCAUGAAAGAUUUGCCAACAAGGAUGCUGAAUCUAUCCUGUCAAUAUUUUUCAUACUUUGGAAGCACACACAAACAGAUUUGCAGGAGGAUAACUGCAUUGGCCUUUUAUAGUUGUUAAUGUAAAUGCAUAUUGUUGUUGUCUGAUUUAUAACUCAUCCCUUUGUCAAAAGAAGCACACUAACUAACAUCUUUGUUCUUGAAGACUACUUGACACCUCAUACAAAAGCAGAUCAGUGUUUUGAACAAUCAAAUCACCUGCUUACCGAGGGAGCAAUUCUUGGUUAUGCAUCUGCACUAAAAGCACCAUUGAAUCCUCCCAAACUCCGGCGAUCAUCAAGGGAAGAUGACUGCAUUUGCUACAUCACCACUUGGUCCCAAUCGAUUGAAUUGUCUUCAAAUUCAGAACCAGGCUGGAGACGGUUCCGUGCCAGUUUACUCAUAAUUGCAAGACCUGAAAGUGAUAAAUAAUAUAUAUAAGCCACCGAUCUUCUAAUACAUGGUUUUCUUGUCACAUUCUACCAUCAAAAGAAAGAGUACCGAUGAUGUUUUGCUUGAAUAGACAUGCACUUUUUAAAUCAUAUAACCCCUAAAUUUAAUUUUUGGUUCCCAAUUUUUUUGAACUGUUGCCAGGUGGCUCCUGUAGUCCUCUUGUCGAGUCCUACACAUACCUGACAAAACUCCUAACUAGCCGAGUGCAGUGCUGAAACUCAUGCAAUUAACAAAUGUGUUUUCAUCAUGCAAUGAACUUUAGCACUUUAAAAGUAAAAUCAACACUACAGACCAUAGCAAUCUCUGUUCAAGCAGACAUUUUACGAGUAAAGCAUGUGCCAAAAAUUUACCUUCAACCACUUUAUAGAGUGAUGACCACCAUCUACUGCUAGGGACAUUGUGCUGUUCAAGCUUUUCUUCGAUUUCAGUGUCAUGCUUCCCUUCCAAAAUGCUCUGCAAUGUGAUCACGGCAUCCUUUGUUCUAUUAAGGAUGUUGUUUUCAUCAUCAAUCUCCAGCUGAUGGAGGUCAUUCUGUGAGGAUGUCAGGCUGACCGCAAGUGCAAAUUGGGCAGCAGCUACCCAGCGUGAAGACGCCAGCCAUCUCCGUUCACCUUCUUGUCUCUUGAUCUCCUCCCUUCUGGACCCGUUCUCCCCCGCUCCAAAGACCAGACCCUGUGGUUUUCUCCCCCAAAGACCAAAAGUGCAGAAUUAAAAUUCUAAAAAAGAGGCAGAUAAGCAACAUAAAUGUAGCCCAGAAGACCUAAAUACUCAAUAAUGCCAAAAGGUUCACAAGAUAACAACAAUUACUAGUAACAAUUUUCAAAUGCUGGUGCAAUUAGGAACAAAGCGUUGACUUCAUCUCACCUUAGUUUUUAUUCAGUUGAAUUGAUUGUUGAAACUUAUUUAACUCCGUCCCCCGAAGAAUAGGAAAAAAGAGUGUCACUUAGGACCUGCAUGAUAAGAUAUUACAGGCCUUCACGGGAUCCAUUCCCAUAAGAUACAAUGAGUUACCUUCUCAACAUUGAGGAGUUACACUGAUUAGACCUAUUUCUGCUAACAUGGUCUUUGUAUAGUUUACUUGACUAUUUUCAUUAAAUCUCCAUUCGUGUUUGACAUUAUGAGUUUGGAUCUGUACCAUCAAAACACCAUCUGAUAGCACUGAGCAGGAAGAGCCCUCAAAGUGGUUAACUGAUUUCACACUGCAUUUACCAGGAUACCCAUUUUGACUUGUGGUCUAAAAAAAAAAGAGAAUAUUUGAUAAUCGUGCAUACUCAAGUCUAUAACUGUUUACAACAGGAUGAUGAAUAUCACAUUUUGAUUUUAACUGAUUGAACUGGUGAAUUAGCAAUUUGCUUAAUAUCCUAUCAACAAGUAAAAAUAAUAGCAAACCUGGAAGAGAUGAGGAUGUUGACAAAGAAGUCUCGAAAAGCAAGAUUGUCAUAUCAUUUCUUACUAAAUCUUUAUUAAUUAUGUUGUUCAAAGAGGAAAGAUAAACCAAGACAAACUUAAUCCAGAUCAGGAAGUCAAUACAUAUAUAGCCUUUUCAGAUUAAUUAGAGAAGAUGUUUUUGCAUAUUAUAGUCCUGCAAAUGAAUCCAGAAAUAUCAUUACAAUCUCAGAAUGUCUGUGGUAAGUAUAAUCUCGACAAACAGCCAACAUUCAUAUUCAGAACUCAGAAUCAGGAGCUAAUCCUGACUGUUCCAUGAAUGGAAUUAUUUCCGCUUUGUCUAUAAAUUUUGGGUUGGUCAUAAACUUUAAAGUUCUAUGCGACAAUUUUAGCCCAACUCUAAUUCUUGCACAGCAGUUUUUGUUGUGUGUGAUUUAGAUCAUAAAUGCAAAAGCUGAUCAUGAACAAACUUUGAAGUUCUUCAAUAUGACACUGGCAUAUGUUUCAGAUGUUUAGUUAGGUAAGUAGUCCAAGUCAAAAAUUUUAAAUUCGUGGUAAUCAGAUUCAUGUCACCUUUGUUGUUCAACGUAGAUGCUUCAACCGAAAAUUGGAACAAACAAUUUCCUCGACAAGCCAUGAUUCUAAUGUAAUUGGAGUUGCAGAACAAAUUUAGAUCUUAAUAGAGGGUGUUCCUAAGUGAGUAUUUAUUGUUUUGGUAAUAAAGCUAAAUUUACAAUAUACAACCUGAGAUUUCAAUACUAUGUCAAGUUUAAUUAUAAAGCAUUAAAAUUUAUCCUUCCUCCAAAGAUCUGUGGUUAAAAUGGAUUAAUUAAGAUACUAAAGAGUGACAAAAUCAUAAUAGAAAACAAAUUUAUAUAAACAAGUAAUCAAGUACUAGUACGGUAGUACCUAAGGUUCACCAUUUCGCAGUAUACUGCUCGGUACGGGCAAUACAUACCAGUCCGAUAAGGGACCGAUACAAGCCGUACAUUGGCAUGCCCCCAUGUACUGUGUCGAUAUACUUAGUAUAGCUCGGAACAUACCGUACUGACAACUGGACGGUAUAUUGGUACAGAUCGAUAAGAUGAACCAUGCUAGUACCUGAUAUCUAUGCCAUAAUCCUCGUGGAAUAAUACAGUACACAGCUGAAAGAAUAUUUAAAAAAUUGUUUGCAAUGAUUUUUAUCAGUAAUGUUGGUGCACGAACAUAAUGAUAUCCUGUAGGGCCGGUAUGCAUCAAUUGCCAAGAUCAAUAUGGACCAGUACCAAACCUUGUCAUACAAGCCUAAUAAAGUUCUUUGGAGGUUUAGGGUUAAAAAAUGCAGUCAGUACUCAGUAGUCUACUAAGAUACUUCUAAAAUUUGCAUCUCAUGAAACAUGAACACAAAAAAGGAAAGACCAAAUGUCUGGAUUAAAGUGAUAACAUAUGAGAAUAUAUUAUUUACAAACACUAUUAGACAAGAAAAUAAAGGAGAGAAAAAGAACAGGGCAUGUGCUUAUACCCGUAAAUACUGGGCAUUGGCAGCACCAGUACUCUGAACCAUUUUGUAGAAAGCACUUUCUUCAUUUGAUAGAAGGGUCUCUGGAGUGUCAAACUCCAAAACCUGCCAAUAAAGUCAGGUGCAGCUGAUAUGCAUCAGUGAAAUCUAAUGAAUAUAGUCCUCAUAGAUAUUAGUAAAGCACUAAACAGGAUUUAACUGGAAGGUGAGCACCAUACAUGUUCAGAUGUAAGUAUCUAGAAGCAGACAGAUAAAGAAGCCUGGAAGUAUCAAUUUAUACAUGUUUUCACUAAUAUACGAAUGUACUCAUCAAACAUAAGACCAGAAAGGUAAGCAAUCAAUUUACUUUAACUAACUUUUUUCUUUAACUUACUUGCAAUUAAAAACAUACAUAGACUGAAGAAAGGUUUUGUACUCUAUUUAUGUAUUUUUUUUUUGAAAAAGUGGCUCCGAACUUCUUAAUACCCUUGUACAUUUCAGUUUGAUGGAUUUACAAUUCCAAAUAUUACAUGUUAUAGUUCCAAAUAUUAGGAAUCAUUAUUACUGCAAAGUUUUGAAAUCUGAACAAAGAUACUUGAGUGUAGGUAACUUAGGACAUAAGCCAGAUUCCUGCUACUAAGGUUCAGAUUAUUGAGAGUACAGUUCUGCAUGCACACUUAAUCAAUUAAGUUAAAUAAUAAUAAUCUUAAAUAAAAAAUUUCAUUAAUAAUAAUAAUCUGAAUUAGGAGGUCUCUGUUGAGACAUCCGAAUUGGUUUGUGCAUGAUUGUACAAGUAAUAAGUCUCAGGAUCGAGUCCAUGUGUGAGCGUCAUAUAUGCCUUUGAUGUAACAAAAAAAAUUUAAUUAAAAAAAACCUAGUGGAAGGACCACAACAACGAUGAGUGCCUUUUAGCAAGGUUUACAUAAAAUUCUCAGCUACUCUAAAAGAAACCUGGUCAAGUCUAAUAAUAAUCAUUAUUGUCUUAUGAUAGAGAUCAACAUGCUUUGGUAGUUUUCACGACUCAGUAUAAGAAUUAAGAAUGUUGUUAAUAAUAAAGAUUAAAGACAAAGCUUUAUAGUGCAAGAUGGCUGCAUUGAACUUGAUGUUGAUCAUGCUUGUAUAUUUUCUGUCAAUAUUAUCAUGAUAAUGAAAAUGCUUGAACACAAAUUAAUGUUUCGGCAGAUAUUUCACAAGAAAUGAGAAUGAAAAUUUUAGGAUGUAGUAGAUUACUACUAAAACAAGAAAAAUAACUUCAAAUUGUGAUCCAAGUCUCAUCUCAGUAUUGGUCCUGUGAUGGACCAAUAAGAACCCAACACGCUGAACAACUUGUUUUUCCUUUCUUCUCUUCUCAUUGUCCUGACUUUCUCUUCUUCCUCUUCAGCAUCAUUGUCUACUUUCUCUUCCUUUUACUAGUUUGUUGUGGUCUGGUAUGAACAGCCAAUACCAAUAGGUAUAUUGUGAAGAGUUUAAUCCUUUUGGCAGUCACCAGGAAAAUAAACUGCCAUUCUUACCUGACACUUAUACGCAACAAAGAUACGAGGCACCAACACGGAAAGUGCACUUACACUGUUGAGGGAAAAAUGGCAGUUUCUUACUGAUCUAUUACAAAACCAUAAACCUGAAAUCAUGUCUGUCUUGUUGACUUUGGCUAGAAAUUACCCUUUAAUUUGAACAAAUACGAAAGACCUUAUAUGGCAAAAGAAAUAAUAGAUAUUAUCUUCAAAGAAUUGGGGUAUAUUUGUCCUAUACUCAUCCCACAUCCAGAUCCUCUCUCUCUCCUCUCACCUGUGCCCCACAACCUCUUUUUUACUUUAACCUGAUGGGCAUCCACAGAUUUAUCCUUGCAGACACAAACACAACAUAAACAUUGACACAACUUGGCUGGACCAAGCAAGGUUUGAAUUUAACUAUUUACACGAUGGUUUUCACGUCAGUAUGUCAAUCUGUUAUGAUUACUUAAAAGAAAAAAGAAAAAUCCUCAACAUGCUAAUGGUUGACCACAGCAUCCAAAGAUCAUAAAUAAAUAAAAAACCAAAAAGAAAUCCUUUUUUACAUUAAAGAAUAUUUAUAAUAGAACAUUAGGAAUUGGAGUGGACAAUUGGUUUUAAAUUGCAUUAAGUUACCUAGCUAAAAUCAAAACAAGAUAAUCAUACUAUCCUGAUCAGGGAAAGAAAGUUCUGGAUGUCAUAUUAUUUAUCCUGGUAGGCUUGUGAUGUAAAAACUAAAGUCUCACGGGAUACCUGUCCGGCACUGAGGAGAAGAAUUCGAUCACAGUCGAUGAUGGUAUUCAGACGAUGAGCUAUAAUGAGCAUUGUGCAUGAUUUGAACUCUUCUCUUAUUGUUUUCUGAAUAAGAGAAUCAGUCCUAACAUCCACCGCUGCUGUUGCUUCAUCCAGAACAAGAAUCUUUGAUCUCCUUAACAAUGCUCGAGCAAGACUCAGAAGUUGUCUUUGUCCAACACUGAAAUUCUCACCUGCUUCUGAAACCUAAUGAAUAAUGACAUUGAGAGGUAAUAUUUUUCAGCCAAAAAUGUGCAAAAUCAUCACAAAGAACAAAGGAAAAUUUGCAGUCAACAUGCUUAUUACCCUGAUUUACAUUACUUAAAAUUUGAACUUCUAGAAACGUACUUGCAUCUGCUUAUUAUUGACAUCACUGAUGCUAUAUCAGUAUUAACAAAAGCCCAGGAAAAGACAAAACCAAAGAGAGAUGCUCUCACAAGUUUAGACAUAUAAGAAACAUCAUAUACUGUUCUAUGUGACAAUUUUUAUCAUAAUAAGAUAAUUUUUUAUUUAAUGGCAAUCAAAGAUAUAAAACAAUAGCUUUGAAUUUUCAAUUCCAGGCAUAAUUAUAACAUAUGGAAGAAACAAACAUAAGUCAUGUUAAGAAAUUAUUUGAGAUUGCUAGAGCAGUCAUGCUUUAUAUUCCAACUAAUAAAUAUUCAAGUAGAAUUAACUAUUAUUAGGAAGAAACAGAGAAUCAUCUAGCAUCAGUUCUUUCAAUGUUAAGCAUCCCUUGCCAUAAGUCACAAGAAGACAACAAUAGAAUCAUUAUAAUGCAUACAAUAAAAUAGAUGCAUAAUACAUAGAACAAAAUGUAGAAUACCUCUGCAUCAAGUCCCAAUGAAUUCCUCCGAAUGACAUCUUUUAAAUGUGCCCUCUCUAAAGCCUCCCAAAGAUCUGCAUCAUUGUGCUCACUGAAGGGAUCCAGAUUAAAUCGGACAGUUCCUGCAAUAUUUUUUGUUCCAGACAGUCACAAACACACACAUAGAUAAGAAAAGAAACAUUGGUCUACAGAUGAAGUCAUAUAUUUCCUAAACAAGCUAAAGCGAAACAAUGGCAGAACUUGAACUGCUAGAUUUUUGAGAUAAUACAGGAGCCAACAACCCAAAACUGCAACAAUUUCAAAUGAUUAGAAUUUUUACAAUAAACAACUUGAUGUAGUGCAUAACUAGAAGUAUUGAAGAAUGAGAUUGCAGCAACAUGAAUUAAUAAUCUCAAGUUUCAAGCUAUUAAGUCUCAAAAUAUAUAGUUUCAACUUUCAAGGCAAAGUCAUCAAGCUGCAAAUCAAAUUAUCAAGUUUCUAGACAACAAAGUCCCGAGGCACCAAAUGUUGUUCUGUAAUUUGUGGUCCAUUAAUGCGCUUUUGUUACUUGUGAUAAUUAAUAGGGGUUGGUGAGAGUAAAAGUAAUUGAUUAGGGUAGGUGAUAAUUAAGAUAUAUAAUGCGCAAGUCAUUUACAAAAGGAGAGGGGAAAGGAGUUUGAGGAACAACUUUGAAUUAAUCUACGAAUCCUUGUAUUGGAGCUCUUAACUCUUAGCUAUCAUAAGAAAAAGAAGAGUCUCUUUUUCCCCUGUAUCAUAUUCUCUCUUAGGUCAUAGUUAUCACAAGCAAAGAAAGAGUUCACUUUUCCCUUGUAUAAUAUUCUCUCUUCUGCUUAGGCAAUAUAUAACAAAACUAAUAAACCACAAAAGCAUUUCAUCAAUCUCCAAAAUGUAAAAUCAUAGCAACAUUCUUGUGAGUUGUGAAAAUCAUCUCUAUUUUAACAUUAUGAUAAAUAAAUUUGAUAUAUCUUGUAAUAUAUCCAGCCAAUUUUAUGAAAAUAAGGUCCAUGAAAAACUAGCCAACCCCAUUGUUAAUUUUUGCCACUACCAAAAUAUUUUGUAGUAAUAGUUAUAUUCAACUCACACGUAACUGAUUAUAGAAACCUUAAAUCUUAAAUCUUUGAGAAUAAUUGAUUCAUUAAAAAAAAGUGAUGUAACUGGUAAACAACAAAACCUUAAAUCUUUGAGAAUAUCCUGACUGUGGUCAACAAAGCAUAUGGACACAGCAUUGCUACUGAAAUUGUCAAAUGCCUAUUUAAAAGACUCGAGUAGAGCGAUUAAUGGAAGACUAUCAUGCAGGAGUUCUCAUUAUACAAAAAAAAGUAUAAAUUUAGCUUUAAACAAAACUUGCAUAAAUAGUAUCAUUUCUAAUUCAAGUAGCCCAUAGUGAUGGAAGUAAACAUGGUACCUGAAAAUAGAACUGGUGAUUGUGGAAUAAUUCCAAGCACUUUUCGCAAAUCCCAAAGGCCAAACUUAGAAACAUCACAAUCAUCAAUAAAUAUUCUUCCUCUUUCCAUCUCCACUAUGCGGAACAAAGCAUUGAGCAUGCUAGAUUUACCAGCCCCAGUCCUACCAACUAUUCCAACCUUUUCACUUGCUUCAAUUGUAAAUGAUAUGCCAUGAAGAACAGGGGGAAGUUCUGGCCUGUAACGAAGAACAACAUCUUGAAAUUUGAUAGUCCCAGAUGAUGGCCAAGCUGGAGGUGGUCUAUUGUUUUCAAUAACAGCAGGAGCUUCAGAAGGCAACUCUAUGUAUGUUCCAACUCGCUCAACAGCAUUUAAACUAUUUUCAGCAAGACUUGCAAGUCUUAGAACAGCUGUAAGUAGGUUGGUAAUGUUCAAAGCAUAAGUAAGAAGUAGACCCAUAGUUGAUGCAAAUGCUUUCUGAUUUUCUGCACGUUGGUUUUGCAUGACAGCAAAAGUAGCUGUGAACCAUAUCAUGAUGCCUCCCAAUGUUUCCAACCGAAUGCCAAGCCACCGAUUAGCACCCAUAUUAACAAGUGUAAAUCUUAUAUUAUUAUCCAUUGAUUUACCAUUGAUACUAGCCAUUCUAUCAUAUGCUUUGUAUGCUCGGAUUGUUGAUAAACCAUUCAAUGCUUCUGCAAAUUGUGCAUAAACGGGUGAUCUAGUAAUGGAAUCCAAACGCUUCACUUCACGUGCUGUACUCUGGAGAAUAUAAUUUUAAGAUAAGAAAGAAACUGAUGUAACCAACAUUAACUAGAUGAAAUAAGUAAAUUGCAACCAGUAACAGUUAAGUAAACUCAUUAUUGUUAAACAACUCACGUCAUUUAAUGGUAUGCUACCGAACCAUCUUCUGGUUUACAGCAAGACAAACAGGUCUGUUUAUUUGUUAUCCCAAAACAUACACCAGAGUCAAUAAAACAAUCAUCGACUAAGAGACCACAGGUCACGUGUGGAUAUUGAAUGGUCAUGCAACAAUGGUGUGCCACAUGUUGUCCAACUAAACAAAUCCAGAGAUGCACAGGUCCCAAGAGGCCAGGAGACAAAAUGACAUGUAUUUGGCACACUAGAUACAAAUAUGCGGGAUUCAUAUGGCAUAUAAGACCUCAAUCACUAAAAUAUAUGAUAUGACAGCAUAUAUGACAUGACUAACUGGGUAACAAUCAAGGACUCCAGGUUGGUGAUAUCUCUGAACAAUACUCAACCACACUGUUGCAUAUAAGUUUAUUGCAGAAUUUCAAUGGUUCAAAGCUAAAAAUUUGUCUUAAAAUGUAUAAAGCUGACUUGAAAAGAAAGACCCUCAAGUUGACCAAGAAAUUUGAACCACUAGAAUUAAGUUUCAUUCAUUGAGUUAACUAACAAAUACAUUUUGGAGAAUGAAGGCAAAUAGUAUGUAAACGAUGUUUCAUUAAGAAAGCCAAGUUGAACAGGAAAAGCAUAGUUACAUGUAGGUUUAUUAAAAAAAGGGUGACAGUGCUAGGUGAAGGUAUGGCCAACAAGUGACUGAAAUAGAGAGGGCAAAACUUUGCAAAGUUAGUACAAGUCUGAAAAUAUAUAAUCAUAAAAAGAUCUGAUGCAUUAUAGUGAAACUUUUGCCACAGAUGUAAGGCUGCCUAUUAUUCCUAUUAUGAAGAAAUUAACAAGGAUUAGUGAAGGUGAAAACCACACCUUUCUUUACAAAUAUUUGUUGCACCUUCUAUAUUAAACAAACCUGUGUUUCUAGAUCAACAUAAUGCACAAGAAAGUCAAAGAAGCAUUACCUUAAUUUUACUCUCCUAUUAUGUUUUUCUUUACUGGAUAGAACAAGCUAUUGCACUAUAACUCAUGAUAUCUUAGGCAGUCAAAAACAAUGCUUUUGCAUGAUAUAUAAUCACUGACAUAACUUGCUAACUCGUAUGAAUGUAGAAGAGAACCAGUUCUACAUGAAGAAAACAAAAUAUCACACUACACUAAACCAAAGUGAAAAAUAUGUUUAAACUUGAUUAAAAAUCUUGUACCUGAUAAUAUAAAUAGGCUGCAUAGAACAAAAUCAGAAGUGGCAUUAUUGCCCACAGAGAAGUAGUGCUCACGAUGCCAAUUAAAACAAAAGUUGAGAGAAGUUGCGAGAUUUGUCCAAGGAACAUAUUAACAAAGACUGCAACACUGCGAUCAAUAUCACCAAGAUCUUUCGCAAACCUAUUAAUUAUGCGUCCAAGUGGAUUGGUAUGAAAGAACACCAUUGGGGCUCUUAAUAUAGAGUGAAGCAUGGCAUCGUGCAACCUCUUGGCUGCAUAAAGGCUUGAAGUAAUGAGCCAAUAAGAGUUUGUCAGAGUCACAAGUACCUAAUAAACAUUAAAACAUUAAAGAUCAGACUCCAGAGAAGCAUUUGUUAAGCAGAUAUUCUACCAAUCUUGAGGCUGCUGGCAAAUGUAAAGCCUGAGCAACUAAGAAGUAUGAAGUUAAUUAUGAACAUUAUGAUUUUGAAAAUUUUCAUGGUAGAGGUAGUACCUGACCAAAAGAAAGAGAUGCAUAAAUCAAAUUGUAAAAUCCAGGCCCAUGGCUCUUUAGAGAGCUCUGAUCUGUCCAAACACUUAACCAUGUGCUACUUGAAACCCGUAGAAUUUCAGUCAAGGUAUAACAAGAGAAAAGUAUAAGAACAACCCACAUUCCACCCAACGCAUUCUUAUACCUGCAAAAACAUGAAAUUAUUGAAAUCUUGUAAAAGUUAGAAUCUUAACCUCAUACAAGAAGUUGGGCCAAUAAAGAUGAACAUGACAUAAACCAUGGGCUAUCAUAUGCAUCUAUUCUAAUUCUAGUACAUAGGAACUUCCAGGUUAUAAUUGAUCCACAGAAUAAAGUAUUUACUUCUGCGAGAAACUAAGGGGCAAGAUUUCCAAAAGAAAAUAUUAGAACUAGAAAAGCAUUUACCAUCACCAUAUAACUUGGUAUUGAAGAAAAAUGUCUUCGUGUGCAAUCAAACAAAUACAAGAGAAUUUGAGAACUCAUAGGGGGUGAGAUUCCAUAAUCAUACAAAAUAAGCUAAAAGCAUUGAAAAGAAUAGAACAUGCAGAACUUCAAUCUGAUAUACCAAAGCUAGAACACCAACAUAUCAUAACAGACAAGAGGCAUGAAUAGGCCGAGGCCAAAGGUAUUAGAAAAACUUUGUACAAUCAGUGGAUCAAUCAAGAAAAGGUUGAAACAAGGGUAAUGCACCUAAGACAAAUUGUAGCAAUCUUAAAUACGGAAGUAGUUCAGUAGAAAGUUAACAACACUCUGAAUUGAAGUUAGAACAUAAAGAUGAAAAGCUUUCUUCAGUGUUCAGUCUUAAGAUGAAAAAACUAACUAAAAGUCAAAUAUUGCAAUUCAAAGAUAUGAAAUCUGAUUAAAUUAGUGGGUCAAAAUCUACCUCGCCAGAACCUUCAAACUAACAACACCUGUUUCACGUUCCUCUUGUUUGAUAAGCACAGUUUUUCCUUCUUUCCCUUUAUUCGGUUUCUCUUCCUUCUUUGAUAAAGCAUUCACCAUCUUUGUGACCUCUCCAUUUUCAGAAGAUUUUGCAUUCUCUUCGGCACUUUCACCUUGUAUUUCCUCUUCAUGCUCUUCCAUUUUCCCAGCAUUUUCCAUUAAUUUUUGAAAUAGUAUUCCACUAGAACAAAGUUCUUCAAAUGUACCUUCUUCUUUCACCAUUCCUUCAUGAACCAGGAUAAUUUUGUCCACAUUUGGUAGAAAAUGUAACUGAUUUGUUACCAAGACUCGAGUUUUAUUUCUCAGUUGAUCCUUGAUGCAUUUAUCAAAAACCUGGAUGCAAUAGAGAGCCAAAUCAGAAUGUUAUAAAGAAAAUGCUAAUCAUUCCCACUCAAUUAGAGAAUUUAAAAGCGAAGAAAAGCUGAAUGUUUCUGUCAACUAUUUCUCUUAAAUUUCCAGCACAAAAAGGGAUGAACUAGAUCCUCAAGUUGAGUGCUUAAGGGAAGGCUACUAUACUUGAAACAGACAGAUAAAAUUAGAAACUAUACAGUCAGCAUUUCAUUUGAGUAGGCAUCAUUUUUUUUCCCUUUUUCCCCUUAUUGUCUGCCCCCCCACCACCACCACGCACCCACCCACACAACCCCAACAAAAAAAGAAGAAAAAAAACCAAAAGAAAACAAACAUCCUUUUUUUCCUUCUUCUUCCACAUGGUUCUUUCAAUACAUAGUUGCAUCUGAUGCAAUCAAAAGAGCGAAUUUAAAUAAACAGUGAAUAAAUUAGUCAUAUUAUUAAAAGACCAGAAGUUCAUGCUAAAAAAGGCAAGGCUGAAUUAUCCAACUUUGUGUUACUUUUGACAAUGUAAAUGUUAGGCAAGGUGUUUACUAAACAUGAUGGGUCACCAAAUACAGCAAUAACAGUGUUUAUGAUAAGAUAAUUUUCCUAAUGUUUAAUGACCAGUAUUACCUGUCGACCAACAUGAGCAUCCAGUGCACUCAAAGGAUCAUCGAAUAUAUAUACAUCCGAAUCUGAAUAUACUGCCCUUGCCAUGGAAACUCUUUGCUUUUGCCCACCACUGAUAUUGACUCCUCUUUCACCAAUCUCCGUAUGAUCACCACCCUGGAGCAAAGGAAAUUAUAAAGACAUGUUUCACACAGAUAGCAGAACUGGAAUGAUGGAAGAUUCUAGAUAAUUUCACUAAGCACACGGGUUAUAUAUGUGUAAAUGAGGAUUCCUACUUAUUUGAUGGCUGAGGCAUACAUGUUCUGAUAUUUUUUAAAUCUCUGGACCAGGAAUAUAUGUCAACAUCGUACCAUGUGCAUGAAAGUGUUUUUCAUAUAAUUAGCUGCAAGCAUGCCAAAGUGAAUGUUUGUGUGCGUGUCGUGAGUGAGAGUGAGAGGGCAGGGAGUUGCACGAGUCAGAAACACAAACACGCGUCUCUUAUCUGCACUUACUGGGAGCAAAUCAAGGUCGUGUUGUAAUGCAGUAACUUCAACUGCCUUCUCAUAGCGUGAUAGUUGAAAAGGAGAUCCAAACAAUAUGUUGUCACGUACCUGUAUUGGACAAGAAAAAGUUACAGUAACUAUCUAUUUGAUAGUUCAAUAAAAGUAAAGACACGUGAAUUAUGACUGACAGUAGCAUUGAAUAUCCAUGAAACUUGUGGAACAUAAGCAACAGUUCCUCGUAUGACCGCUGAUGUCUCAGUUCCAGCCACCGGUGGUAGUUCUCCUAGCAUUGCUGAUAUUAAAGAUGUUUUUCCUUCUCCGGUACUUCCAACUAUUGCAACCAAGCUACCAACAGGUAUGUCCACAUUCACAUUGAAUAGUGUAGGCCUCUCUGCCUGAAACAGUUUGACAGAUUAAAUUAUUGACACUAAGAAGAGAUUCAGAAUGUACAUUAGCGCUUUUUCUCACCAGGAACUACAUCACACUAUGGAAGCAACAAGUUGGAAAUCAUAACAAUGUGGAGCUAUCAGCCAGUAAAAGGUUUUCAUCUAGCUAGUACUCAUUAGUUAUAACAUGUGGACACCUCAGUCACAUUAGCUUGAGAUUGGCACCUAGCAAAAGUCAACAACUUUGUAAAGCUACAUGGAGCACAAACUAACACAGAACACGGAUUAUAACUGUCAUCAUCAGAAACAGGCUGAUGAUUUUACUAUGAGUCAGAUGUGGGCCUGGACAAGAAACAAGCUCCUCAAAGAGUUUGGCAGUUGUUGUGUUAGUAAUGGUGCAAAUUGCAGCACUGUAGGAGACUAGUUGUGAAUUUAAGUAAAACCAAGCAAAAAUAUAUGUUAUAUAUGAUGAAAAACAUUAUAAUGAUGACGAUAAGAAGUGACCAUUGCUUUAUACAAAAGAUUCUAGUGACAGAUAAAUCUUAUAAGCCACAAGGCAGUGAUGACUAUCAUAAGUAAGGUUCGCAAUACCGUACCGUACCGGUAUUUCGACCUGGGCUCGGUACCGGUACGGUACGGUAUACCGAGCGGUACACCCAGGUGUGCCGAAUACUGUAGUACUGCUACAGUGCUACAUUGCAAUGCUACAGUGCUACAGUAUACUCAGACCGGUAACAGGCGGUCCGCGUACCGAUAACCUGUCGGACCGGUAUGUACCGCCCGUACCGGACGGUACAGUUCGGUACGACAGACCCUAAUCAUAAGUAUAUAAUUAUUAAAUUGUUUUCCAUGUCCUUAUUAGAUUAUUAAAAAAUGUGGUAAGUAUCCCUUAAAAAUGACAUUACAUUCCUAAAUCAGGCCCUAUGGAUUUAUAAUACACCAAGCAAUGUUUUGAAUACCAGAACAAAAAUACAAUAUAGUAGGCCUAAGUAGACUUAUAAAGGUACUAAAAAUUGUUUGAUGUGUCAGUGCACUAGUAUAGUCAAUAUAACACAGUAAUUAAAAUCAUGCUACCAAGUGAAAUGUUUAGCUAUUGAAGAAAGUUGGGCCUGUCAUGCAGGGUCCAUAGAGGAAGAAUGUGCAGUUAACUCUAGGCCUAGCACCUAUCUGGAAGGAAGAGUCUCUCUAUAAGAGUAAAAAAAUAAGACCACACAUGUUUUGAUCCUUCCCAAACCCCACAUUAGCUGGAGCCUUGUGCAUUGAAUGCCUUCUUUUCACAUGAUUGGAUGGAAGACUACAGAAAAUGACCUUAAUUUUAAGAUACAACAGCAAAAAGUUAUCACCAAUUAAUUUUAAGAUACAACAGCAAAAAGUUAUCACCAAUUCACACAUAAUAUCUGUUUCUUUCCUAUUUGCUUAUUUCAUUAGUCUCAAGCAGUUCCAACGCAAGAGGAGAUAUGCUUGACCAACGUUCAAAAACAGUGUUCUUUUACAUCUCAGUUGCACUAAAGAAUAUGUUGUACAGAAACUUAGGAUAAUGAAUAACAUAGAAAUCCAAGCAUUUCAAUCAUGGAAAAAAAAACAAGCUGGCCAAAAUUUACAACUAGUGCAAUUCUUGUGCUCUUUGGUUUACAUUAUAUUUCUAUACAUCAUGUUUAUGGAUUAUUUGAGUCUUUGGUUUUUGUAAUUUGGGUAAUUCAAAACAAAUAACCAAACUAGUGUAAUUUAUUACCAACGUAAAAAUCAAGAUUUACAUUUUUCUAUUCAAAUUAAGUUAAUGGAUUAUUUGACUUUUUUAACGUAUAUGUGUUUCCUCUAUGAGGAUUUAUAUAUAAUAUCCUUGCAUUUCUUUAGACCCAAAGAUUAUGAUGCUUUCAAAACUUCUUGAAGAUUUAAAUUUCAAGUCCCUAUUCUUAAUUCGAAAGAAGAAAAGAAAAGUGAUAUAUAUGAAUAGUAGAUAGUUAUAAACAAAAAGAAAACACAGAAGAAAUUUGAGGCUCCAGCCUCCAGGCUUAAAAUCAAAACUUAUGUGAUACUGUAGUACUGAAAAUGAAUUAGAAAGAAUAAUUUAGAAUUGACUUUUCUUAAUUGCAAAUGCUCCAUGAAUCAGCUACAAGGACGCUUGAUAUUGGAAAGCAUGACUGGCUUCAGUCAGGUGGGGAAUGGUUGUCAUGCACAACAGUUAUAUAUUUAAGUGCCUCGACAAAAAAAAAAAUUAAAACAAGUCAAAUCAAUGUAAAUGGGUGUAUUAUUUUAGUAUAUACCAUGAAGACUAUGGCCAAGAGAAAAGCAUCACUAAGCGUGGUAAUAAAUAAUGAGAAAGUGGUCCUCUCCCUCCAGUUUACUAGAACUCUGACAUAAUACCAAAUCAACUAAGGAAGAUUAAAUAAUUUUAAGAGACCUUUGAAUCCCAAGAGAAGUAUCCAUUCUUGAUUGAGAUUGCUGGAAGCUGUGGUUCAAGAGGUGGAUUCGGCAAAAGAAUUCUCUCUUCAGCUAGGAGAAGGUCCUCUAGACGUUUAAGUGAGACAUUGCAAUUGACAACCUGCCAAAAACAAAUAACUAUCAAGCAUUAUAAGAGCAUUGUGUGCCUGUUCGGUAUUAAGUUCUUCGUGUGAUUCUAUUUUCAGAUGUUCUUAAAAGAUUUUGCCACACAAUGGGAAGAAUGAAUGGUCACAAAAAUUUGAGAUUAUAAUCAACUAUCCAAGUUCAGGAACUUAAUUAAAUUAAAUGUCAUCCUAAAAGAACUUAGAAGUUAGAACCACAUUUCUUCAGAGAAACUAGCCAAAAAUAAUACAAUUCCCAUUUGUCUGGCUCUCCACAUUAAGAAUAUGCUGAUUCUUCUGGACAAGAAGCUUGCAGAGCUUUGCAUCAAAAUAAAUGACUGGCAAGUUACCAACAUGACGAUCAAAAGCUAUGCUAUACAUAUCAUUCCACAAGAAGAAGGUAGGUAUUUUUAAAUCAGAACAUCUUCAAUGCAAAAGGAUAUUAUCAAUUAAACGGAAGAGAAGGUAGGGACAUUUUACCAAGAAGUUGGCAUGCAUAAUCCAGUCUUGGUUUGGAAAAGUGGGAUCCUCAUCAAUUAUAUAUUCAAAGAUAAAAGUAGGAAGCAUUAUAUAUAUUAUAUAUUCUUUGCUCAAUGUUUUCGUCUCACACUUCAUCUUUCCCCUGCUUUAUGCUGAUAGUACAACACAUCACUGCAUCAAAGCUGUAUAAAUCUAAAAUCAGCUGCAGAGAUAACUACUUCUCACUAACUGGGUUACAAUGAUAUCAGAAGUUUGCAACAAGCAUUGCAUUUUCCAUAUUAGCUCAUCAAACAGGAAUCAGCUCAGUGGUACCCCUUGUUCUCUUGAAGAAACUGUUUGGAACCUAAGAUUUUGGCAAGAUGAUUUAUCUCGAUGGUCUCUUCUACAGUGAAAUUCAGAAAAGAUUCUAGAAAAAAUUCAGGAAAACAAAGAAACAAGAAAAAAUAUUAACAAAAUUAACUUUCUGUAGCAGAAUAACAAAGCUGUAUAAAUCUAAAAAUCAAAUUCAUAGAUAGGACAAAUAACUACUCGCUAAUUUGGUCAAAAUGAGAUUAUCACUGAUAUCAACAGUGUGCAACAAUCUAGUUACAAACCCAACCUGCAGCAAGGUAAAUUUAAUAUCUUUAUAUAUAUAUAAGGAUUGGUACUUCAAUUUAUCGAAAAUUCAAGGUAUGCAGAACAGUUUGCAGUACCUUAUCAUCACAUGGAAAAGCAAGACUUUUGUAAGAAAGUUAUAAAAUUCUGGGGAAGUAUCACACCUGAGUUAUUAGAUUCGGAAGCAUGAACAAAGGAAAUCUUAACACUGAAAACAAUGAAAGUGAUGUAAAUGCCUUUGCAGGCGUUAAAUCCCCUCCAAGAAGAGAAUACACCCCAAAAGAGGCCACUGUAACCAAAACUGGAAUGCUGUUCAGAAUGAAACUAUUGAACUGCACAACACAGUAGUAACUAGUCAGUCAGAAGAAUGUAUAACUUUCUAAGAGAAAAAUGAAAAAAAGGAAUAAAAUUGACAUUUUCACCAGUGAAAAUAUCUUAUUUGAUUAGGAAAUUUAAGAAAUGUUUUCUUUGGACCUUACCGCUGCUAGCAGCUGAGCCUUGCGGAACCAUGAAAGCUCAUCGUUACGAAUACUCUGAACUUUUGACUGGAAGCUUUUCUCCCACGCAUAACAUCUGCCACACCAGAUGAGUAGAUAUGAUCAACCAAAAUUAUAUUUAUUAAAAGGAUUCCAUUUGAUGAAAAACAUACUUCACUGUGUCCAUAGCAGCCAAUAUUUCAUUCAUAAGACUAAUUCUCUUGUCAGUAUGUUGCAAACCUGCCUUUGAAAGUUUCUGCAUUUUGCUUAUCACAAAUGUCUGAUUCCACAUGAAACCAGAAAAAAGUAAGAAUGGUGGGAAAAAUAUAAGGCUAGCUGUUACUGAGCUCAAAAGAACUAGUAGUACUAGCCUUCCCAUGAAAAUUAUUCUUUAGCUUGAUAAAUAUGCCAAUAAAAAAGAAUAUGGGAAAUCGUAAUCAUGUUGGUCAAGUGGAAAAAGAUGGCACCAUGUAUAAAUUCAAAUGCCAAACUCCAUGCACUACUUUGAAUGUAAACAACCCAUAAACAUGGAUUCUAGUUAGCUGCUCUAGCAAGCUAACACGGAACAUGUUUUGCCCAGGGAUGUGUUUUUCUAAUUAAGUAAAUUACUCACACACAAGAUUAGCAUAAGAAAGGAAGACAUGUAUAAUACUGAGAAGAACCGUGGAAUUUCUCAGAAAAGUAUAGUAUAAAGAGAACUGCAAGGUCCAAAACAAUGCUCUCAUUUAUAUUAAAAAAAUAAAGAUGUUUUAAUAGCAUCUCCUUUGAUAAAAGAGAACCUGAAGAAUUCUUUGCCAACAAAAAUCUGAUUUUGGAGCUGAAAAUGUGUUUCAGACAUGAAAUUCCAGUCUCAACUGGACAUGAAUUUUAGAAGAAAAAUUAAAAAAACAAAAAUGCACAAAAAAUAGGAUCUGGAAGGACUAGCUUCUGAAUAACAAGUUCCAGGAGAUACAAAAAGUUACUACUUAUAAGAAUCACUGUAAAAAUCUCUAAUCUUCUAUUCUCUGUCAAAUUUCAAGGUAGAGGCAGGUCAGACAUAUUCUGAAGUUAUACAACCUAGAAAGAUUUGCUUCUGUGAACUACAAAAGGUAGCACUACUUUGUAUAUGCAUUAAGUUUGGACUUAAACACUAGUGACUCACCUAAUAUCUUCAAUGAUGACCAUGCUUUACCACUGUAAUUGCAUAUUCCAUCUAAUUUAAUUCAAUAAGCAAAGCGAAGAUCUACAAACACAAACUUUGGAAAGGGAAGUUCCCACAAAACACAAUGUCACAAGAGAUUACCUGUAUAGGAAUUAGAAGAACCAGCACAAAUGCACCAACAAGAGAUGCAAUUCCCAGCUGCUGGUAAAGAAGAAUAACUGAAAUGGUAAUCCGAAAAGGAGCUGACCAUAUACUAUGGAGCUGUUGGCACACUUGCUGUACAAAAAAAAUGGCAAGAUGCAACAGUUUAUAUUUAAUUAUGCCAAAUAACCUUAAUGAACCUAAUAGAAUAAAAUUUGACAACUCAGUCAUCCAGUUGAUUUAACUUGUUAGUCAUAAGACACUAUGUUUAUCCUUUAAAUAGCUAUCAAGCAUGAGGAAAUAUAUUAUAGUUAACCCCUAUUAACAUAUAGAACUAGGGUACAUGAGGUAUUCCCUGAUUCAGGUAAGAGAACACAAGUAUUAUUUCAAUAAUAUCUUCAACCAAGGUAUGCAAUACCAUACCGUACCGAUGUUUCGAGGUUGGCUCGGUACGGUACGGUACCGGUAUACCGAGCGGUACACCCUGGUGUACCGAACAAUUUUAUAUAUUUUUUCAUAUUGUAGUACUGUAGCACUGCUACACUAUAUCACUGUAGUGGUACUGGGCGGUCCGCGUACCGGUAUGCCGUCGGACAAACACCAUUCGUUAUGAUAUGCCGGCAUACCAUAUCUUCAACAACAAACAUUUUGAGGAAACUUUCUUGAUAAAGUUCAGUAAAUUGAAGUAACUUUUUCUUUGACAUCAUCUUUUUAUGCACACACAUCUCAAAGUAUAGCAAAAGAAUAUGCCUGAAGUGACUCUGCAUCAGUUGUCAUCAAGUUGGUAAUCUUUCCCGAUAAAAAUUUAGUGCGACUCUCAUGGGUUAAUCGUAAUGAUUUCCUAAACACAGCUGCAACCUGUAAUGAGAAAAAAAAAAAGUCAGUUCCCUUAGAAGAAUGCAGGCAUGGAAUGAAACUAAUCAUACAAUUCAAAGCAACAAACGUAGUCCCAAUACGAUAGCAGUCUCAAAAUUUUGAAGGCAAAUAAAUCAAAUUGUCAUACUAGAACAAUAAUAUUCCAAAAUGAAACAGAGUAAAUAUGUGAAGUGAAUACAAAAUGAAACUCAUUAAGCAUACCAUAAUGACAUAUAUAUUCUCAGCCAAGCACUUACUUUAGAAGCAAAUGGUGCAAUAAUUCAGAAAACUAUUUAGUAUAAGAAUUAAGAAAAGGUGUUUUCCUUUUUUGUUUCACCAAUUGACUCUCUGGAAAACAACAUGAUACAUAUGGAAAAAACUUUCAAGGAAAAUCCAAUAACUAAAUUAAUAAUCCAAAUUUGGACUUCAAUAAUGUCUAAUGUUUGAAAUUUAAACAAAGACAAUAUUAAUACGACAUCAAUUUUGAUGACUGAUUAAUUUAGGAAUGUGGCAAAAGAGCCUCUUGAAGAAUCUAAAGGUAAAGAUGCAACGUCACGCGAGAGUUGGCGAUAACAUGAGAAAGUUAAAAAAAACACUACAAAAACACAAUGAUUUCAAUAUUGACAAAUCUAUAAAAAUGAGAAGAAUUUUAAAAGAUAUAUAGUAGCUAAAAAUGAGACAAAAGAAGUUGUAAGCUUUGCAUUUGGCAAAAUACAAGGCAUAUCCUAGUUUAUAAAAUAAGGAUUUUUAUUGGAUACCUAAAUUUUAAUAUCAUUAGAUUAUAGGAUGAAAAUCAAAAGGCACUUGUUAACGAUAUGAAGGGUAGAUGAAGAAAUUAUUUCUAUAAACCAAGGUUCGCCGUACCGUACCAUACCGGCGUUUCGACCCGGGCUCGGUACCGGUACGGUACGGUAUACCGCUCGGUGCUACAGUGCANNNNNNNNNNNNNNNNNNNNNNNNNNNNNNNNNNNNNNNNNNNNNNNNNNNNNNNNNNNNNNNNNNNNNNNNNNNNNNNNNNNNNNNNNNNNNNNNNNNNNNNNNNNNNNNNNNNNNNNNNNNNNNNNNNNNNNNNNNNNNNNNNNNNNNNNNNNNNNNNNNNNNNNNNNNNNNNNNNNNNNNNNNNNNNNNNNNNNNNNNNNNNNNNNNNNNNNNNNNNNNNNNNNNNNNNNNNNNNNNNNNNNNNNNNNNNNNNNNNNNNNNNNNNNNNNNNNNNNNNNNNNNNNNNNNNNNNNNNNNNNNNNNNNNNNNNNNNNNNNNNNNNNNNNNNNNNNNNNNNNNNNNNNNNNNNNNNNNNNNNNNNNNNNNNNNNNNNNNNNNNNNNNNNNNNNNNNNNNNNNNNNNNNNNNNNNNNNNNNNNNNNNNNNNNNNNNNNNNNNNNNNNNNNNNNNNNNNNNNNNNNNNNNNNNNNNNNNNNNNNNNNNNNNNNNNNNNNNNNNNNNNNNNNNNNNNNNNNNNNNNNNNNNNNNNNNNNNNNNNNNNNNNNNNNNNNNNNNNNNNNNNNNNNNNNNNNNNNNNNNNNNNNNNNNNNNNNNNNNNNNNNNNNNNNNNNNNNNNNNNNNNNNNNNNNNNNNNNNNNNNNNNNNNNNNNNNNNNNNNNNNNNNNNNNNNNNNNNNNNNNNNNNNNNNNNNNNNNNNNNNNNNNNNNNNNNNNNNNNNNNNNNNNNNNNNNNNNNNNNNNNNNNNNNNNNNNNNNNNNNNNNNNNNNNNNNNNNNNNNNNNNNNNNNNNNNNNNNNNNNNNNNNNNNNNNNNNNNNNNNNNNNNNNNNNNNNNNNNNNNNNNNNNNNNNNNNNNNNNNNNNNNNNNNNNNNNNNNNNNNNNNNNNNNNNNNNNNNNNNNNNNNNNNNNNNNNNNNNNNNNNNNNNNNNNNNNNNNNNNNNNNNNNNNNNNNNNNNNNNNNNNNNNNNNNNNNNNNNNNNNNNNNNNNNNNNNNNNNNNNNNNNNNNNNNNNNNNNNNNNNNNNNNNNNNNNNNNNNNNNNNNNNNNNNNNNNNNNNNNNNNNNNNNNNNNNNNNNNNNNNNNNNNNNNNNNNNNNNNNNNNNNNNNNNNNNNNNNNNNNNNNNNNNNNNNNNNNNNNNNNNNNNNNNNNNNNNNNNNNNNNNNNNNNNNNNNNNNNNNNNNNNNNNNNNNNNNNNNNNNNNNNNNNNNNNNNNNNNNNNNNNNNNNNNNNNNNNNNNNNNNNNNNNNNNNNNNNNNNNNNNNNNNNNNNNNNNNNNNNNNNNNNNNNNNNNNNNNNNNNNNNNNNNNNNNNNNNNNNNNNNNNNNNNNNNNNNNNNNNNNNNNNNNNNNNNNNNNNNNNNNNNNNNNNNNNNNNNNNNNNNNNNNNNNNNNNNNNNNNNNNNNNNNNNNNNNNNNNNNNNNNNNNNNNNNNNNNNNNNNNNNNNNNNNNNNNNNNNNNNNNNNNNNNNNNNNNNNNNNNNNNNNNNNNNNNNNNNNNNNNNNNNNNNNNNNNNNNNNNNNNNNNNNNNNNNNNNNNNNNNNNNNNNNNNNNNNNNNNNNNNNNNNNNNNNNNNNNNNNNNNNNNNNNNNNNNNNNNNNNNNNNNNNNNNNNNNNNNNNNNNNNNNNNNNNNNNNNNNNNNNNNNNNNNNNNNNNNNNNNNNNNNNNNNNNNNNNNNNNNNNNNNNNNNNNNNNNNNNNNNNNNNNNNNNNNNNNNNNNNNNNNNNNNNNNNNNNNNNNNNNNNNNNNNNNNNNNNNNNNNNNNNNNNNNNNNNNNNNNNNNNNNNNNNNNNNNNNNNNNNNNNNNNNNNNNNNNNNNNNNNNNNNNNNNNNNNNNNNNNNNNNNNNNNNNNNNNNNNNNNNNNNNNNNNNNNNNNNNNNNNNNNNNNNNNNNNNNNNNNNNNNNNNNNNNNNNNNNNNNNNNNNNNNNNNNNNNNNNNNNNNNNNNNNNNNNNNNNNNNNNNNNNNNNNNNNNNNNNNNNNNNNNNNNNNNNNNNNNNNNNNNNNNNNNNNNNNNNNNNNNNNNNNNNNNNNNNNNNNNNNNNNNNNNNNNNNNNNNNNNNNNNNNNNNNNNNNNNNNNNNNNNNNNNNNNNNNNNNNNNNNNNNNNNNNNNNNNNNNNNNNNNNNNNNNNNNNNNNNNNNNNNNNNNNNNNNNNNNNNNNNNNNNNNNNNNNNNNNNNNNNNNNNNNNNNNNNNNNNNNNNNNNNNNNNNNNNNNNNNNNNNNNNNNNNNNNNNNNNNNNNNNNNNNNNNNNNNNNNNNNNNNNNNNNNNNNNNNNNNNNNNNNNNNNNNNNNNNNNNNNNNNNNNNNNNNNNNNNNNNNNNNNNNNNNNNNNNNNNNNNNNNNNNNNNNNNNNNNNNNNNNNNNNNNNNNNNNNNNNNNNNNNNNNNNNNNNNNNNNNNNNNNNNNNNNNNNNNNNNNNNNNNNNNNNNNNNNNNNNNNNNNNNNNNNNNNNNNNNNNNNNNNNNNNNNNNNNNNNNNNNNNNNNNNNNNNNNNNNNNNNNNNNNNNNNNNNNNNNNNNNNNNNNNNNNNNNNNNNNNNNNNNNNNNNNNNNNNNNNNNNNNNNNNNNNNNNNNNNNNNNNNNNNNNNNNNNNNNNNNNNNNNNNNNNNNNNNNNNNNNNNNNNNNNNNNNNNNNNNNNNNNNNNNNNNNNNNNNNNNNNNNNNNNNNNNNNNNNNNNNNNNNNNNNNNNNNNNNNNNNNNNNNNNNNNNNNNNNNNNNNNNNNNNNNNNNNNNNNNNNNNNNNNNNNNNNNNNNNNNNNNNNNNNNNNNNNNNNNNNNNNNNNNNNNNNNNNNNNNNNNNNNNNNNNNNNNNNNNNNNNNNNNNNNNNNNNNNNNNNNNNNNNNNNNNNNNNNNNNNNNNNNNNNNNNNNNNNNNNNNNNNNNNNNNNNNNNNNNNNNNNNNNNNNNNNNNNNNNNNNNNNNNNNNNNNNNNNNNNNNNNNNNNNNNNNNNNNNNNNNNNNNNNNNNNNNNNNNNNNNNNNNNNNNNNNNNNNNNNNNNNNNNNNNNNNNNNNNNNNNNNNNNNNNNNNNNNNNNNNNNNNNNNNNNNNNNNNNNNNNNNNNNNNNNNNNNNNNNNNNNNNNNNNNNNNNNNNNNNNNNNNNNNNNNNNNNNNNNNNNNNNNNNNNNNNNNNNNNNNNNNNNNNNNNNNNNNNNNNNNNNNNNNNNNNNNNNNNNNNNNNNNNNNNNNNNNNNNNNNNNNNNNNNNNNNNNNNNNNNNNNNNNNNNNNNNNNNNNNNNNNNNNNNNNNNNNNNNNNNNNNNNNNNNNNNNNNNNNNNNNNNNNNNNNNNNNNNNNNNNNNNNNNNNNNNNNNNNNNNNNNNNNNNNNNNNNNNNNNNNNNNNNNNNNNNNNNNNNNNNNNNNNNNNNNNNNNNNNNNNNNNNNNNNNNNNNNNNNNNNNNNNNNNNNNNNNNNNNNNNNNNNNNNNNNNNNNNNNNNNNNNNNNNNNNNNNNNNNNNNNNNNNNNNNNNNNNNNNNNNNNNNNNNNNNNNNNNNNNNNNNNNNNNNNNNNNNNNNNNNNNNNNNNNNNNNNNNNNNNNNNNNNNNNNNNNNNNNNNNNNNNNNNNNNNNNNNNNNNNNNNNNNNNNNNNNNNNNNNNNNNNNNNNNNNNNNNNNNNNNNNNNNNNNNNNNNNNNNNNNNNNNNNNNNNNNNNNNNNNNNNNNNNNNNNNNNNNNNNNNNNNNNNNNNNNNNNNNNNNNNNNNNNNNNNNNNNNNNNNNNNNNNNNNNNNNNNNNNNNNNNNNNNNNNNNNNNNNNNNNNNNNNNNNNNNNNNNNNNNNNNNNNNNNNNNNNNNNNNNNNNNNNNNNNNNNNNNNNNNNNNNNNNNNNNNNNNNNNNNNNNNNNNNNNNNNNNNNNNNNNNNNNNNNNNNNNNNNNNNNNNNNNNNNNNNNNNNNNNNNNNNNNNNNNNNNNNNNNNNNNNNNNNNNNNNNNNNNNNNNNNNNNNNNNNNNNNNNNNNNNNNNNNNNNNNNNNNNNNNNNNNNNNNNNNNNNNNNNNNNNNNNNNNNNNNNNNNNNNNNNNNNNNNNNNNNNNNNNNNNNNNNNNNNNNNNNNNNNNNNNNNNNNNNNNNNNNNNNNNNNNNNNNNNNNNNNNNNNNNNNNNNNNNNNNNNNNNNNNNNNNNNNNNNNNNNNNNNNNNNNNNNNNNNNNNNNNNNNNNNNNNNNNNNNNNNNNNNNNNNNNNNNNNNNNNNNNNNNNNNNNNNNNNNNNNNNNNNNNNNNNNNNNNNNNNNNNNNNNUCCUCGUCAAUACAGCCCCCGCUGCACCCCUCAAGGCCUAGCAACAUGCUGAACUCAUUGCACACUUCAGCCUCCUACGGACGUAUCCUUCACAUGCCGAAGAGAAAGUUUCAAUGCUCCAUGGCGCCAAGUUUCGGUCGCCUUGGGAUGGCCACGAACAUUCCAUCGUCUGCAUACAAGCCCAUGCAUGAGUACCAAAUUCUUUGAGUUAGCAAUUCCCCUCACCUCUGUGAGCUUUGCAUAACUCUUUUGGUCGUUGAGCAACUCAUUCCACCUUGGAUGGUCUCAUUCUUGCCAAGCGCCUCGCUUGCCUAGAGCACCAUCAAGUAUAGUUGUCAACGUUGAGCCGUAGCUCAAACUCAGCCAUCCCAACCUUUGUGCGCUCCAAAUUCUUCCAAGCUUGCUUGUUCUCGUGGUGCCUCUUGCGCGAAGGGUUGGCCAUUCCUCUGAAUGCCAAUCUCAGAUGCCCGCUCCUCUGAGCGACUCCUUUUCCCUACAUCUCCAUGCCCGUUUUCCCUCAAACGGUCGCGCGUGUGCUGACUGCCCUCAACGCAGCCCCGCUAGGUCCCCCACGUUUGCAUGUCAAGUGUUUCUAUGAGUGCUUGUCCUGCUCUGAUACCAUAUGACACGGACUUAGCUGGUUUUGCCUAAGUCGUGCGGCACCCUUGCGUGUCCGUCCGCAAAGGUCAGCCUCCCCGAAGACUCCCAUUGUCCCUUAGGACCACCAAAAGAGAGAACGGGCAAGAGAGAACGCCUCAAUCGGGAUCCACAAGCAAACAUCUCCGAAAAACACUUCAUAGACAAUGCAAAUUACAAACAGACUUUACAAGCUCUGAACAGUGGCACAACAAAGGGUAAAAUGGUCCAUUACAGACCGAGAAGCUCUCUCACGUGUCCACAUGACACAACCUUUAUUUACAAGCCUAAAGAGGCCACCAAUCCAACUAAAAUGGGACUUAUAAGCCUUCGGCUGCCCCUCAACACGUUGUACAAGGCAUGAACAUGCCAACAGACACGGACAGAUAUAAGCAUUACAUCAAACAUCCUGUUUCAAAGUUUGUCCGUGACAAAGCGGUACACUUACUGUCCCAUGUUGACUGAUCGAAAUACGACCAGUACACAUACAAACCGGACGGUAAGCCAACCACCCAGUUUUCAGAUCGAUUUGGUUUUAAAAAGGGAACAUAUACAUACAAACCUUAGUUUUGGAUGGACACAAACCUUAGAAACUAAAGAUUAUAAAUUAGUUAGAAUUAAGUCCUGUGUAUACAAAAGAAACGAGGGCAUAGUUAAGAUGAAUGGACACAAGGCUCCUCUAAGUUCAAGCUUUAGAAUGUCUUGGUCCUCUUGGAUCUAUUAUUCGUCAUGAAGAAGACAUUGUAAAUACACUAUUCAUAUUGUAAAAUUUGGGUGUUUAAAAUGGAGAAGGGUCCAAGGGAUUUUGAUGCAUCUAUUAUGUUUCCCUAAGAGACUAAGACAACUGAAAAGCCAACCAUGCAUUAUGAAUCAAAGUGUUAUGCAACUAAAAAACAAUAUGCACAAAGAGCUCAUGCAGCUGAAAUAAAAAGAGAGAAUAAGAAUUGUUUUCAUUUUAGAGCAAGAAAUGUCGUAUAAAACUGUGGUACCACCUGAUAUGGUAUAAAAUGGGCGGAAUGUACAGGUCUGAGAGCUAGCUGAGAUGUGGACCAACCUGUUUUGAUCGUACCCAGGAAGCAUACCAAAACCAUGACAUAAUUCCAAGUAACUUAUGGUAAGAAAGAAAUACGUAGGUCAUAGUUACGAGGAGCAUGUAGAUGGUAUCGAGGAACUAAAUCUCGUAUUCCAUAUACUCAAAAAUAAAUUCAAAAAAAAUAGUAGAAGAUUCAGGAUACUUGAUGUGGUACACUACAGUCAGUAUAUUACAUAAAAGUAAGGGGUCAGAACAGAAAAAUACAGCUGGUGUACUGCAAUACUUCAAUGCAUGGAUCCAUAUCAUCUGUGCAAGAAAAUAUAUUACCAUUGUAUUGAACUCAAAAAAUGCUAGCACAAUGAUGAUAAGUGAAAACAUCAAAUAUGUACAAUAUUUUGAUCAUAGAGUUUAAUAACAGCAAAAGAUGUGCAAUAUGAAUAACAUACCAAGGUAGCUCUCAAUCUAAAGCCAACACGCAUGACAUUCUGAAAGUAUUGUGCUUCACAUAAGACUCCCAAUGACUGAAAGCAAAAAAUACUCGUCAGCAAGCAAAUAACUAGUGCUUUAAUCUUUCUCAUAUUUGUAUGCACUAUGUUGAAGCUUCAAAAGAGAAAAGAGAGGUAUAACAUACUAUUCACUGAAGAGAGAAACUGCUAUCAACAAUAGUUUAAAAGACAAUUCUCAUAGUUUGGCCAUUUGCAUUUGAUGAACAUGGCUAUAUUUGAAAAUAGUGGCAUAUGGUCUACAAUUAUAUUCAAUUGUUGCACCUUAGAGGGUCAAUUAUAUUCUCUAUUAGUAUGUUGUCUUCACUCUAUUUUUGUGACAGUUUUUUUUUGCUGUUAUAUAUUCUUUAUCACAUGUGUUCAUUAAUGUAUGAAGAAGAGCAAAUAAGGCCAACAUUCAAGUCACUCCUAACCACAUGAAUCUCCUUGCUUCAGUGUAGCCUUUCCUUUUCAGAAGCAUACUUCUAUUAGUCCAUGCAUAUGUCCAUACAGGACAACUUUUAUGGUGCAGAUGAUCCUAGAUAUUGCUCCUAGCUUUUGUCUUCAUAAAUAAAUCUAGAUGUAUGCAUACCGGCAUAAUGAACCUGUUUUUUACUGUUGUUGCCAUGCAGGAAACAAAGCCAUGGACCUGGGAUUAUUGCCAGCUUAUAGUUGGGUCAUAUGCUUUCCAACUUAUGCCAACACUUCUUUGUGAUGAAUGUGGGGUUUCAUUGAAGCAGACACUAGUAGCAACCACUGCUAUAACCAGCAGAGAUUGCCAUAAGAUGCACUAUAAUACCACAAUACAUCUCCCGAAAAAUAUUUUUCCCAUCCAAAUAAGAGAAACUUUCAACCUCCUAAUGAACCACCGAAUAUAUGCUAAGUGCUUUUACUUAUAGGUUAUCAGGGAGUACAUAGGUUUAAACACAAAUAAUGUUUAAUCUUCAACAAAGAGGAAAGAAUUUUUAUAUCAACGAAUGCAUGAACAUGCACAAAAACGUGCAUCCUUUUCUACACAGCAUGUGGACUAACACAGCACAGACCAUUAUUCAAUCACAUUUAUCAACAUUAUGCAGUAAAAGUACUUGGGCUAAGAACAAUAGACCUGCAUAAGAUAGAACACAUACCACUCCAGCAAAAAUUGAGAAAGCAUAAAUGUAUCCAUGCCAUGCCGAUUCCCCUUGUUGCAUGGACUGCAAAUCAUGCCAGUGUUCUCUUAGAUUUAUCUUAAGAAUAAUUAAAAUCAGAUACAAAGUAAAAGAAUUUAUCAAAUGUGAAUAGUUGCAUAACAACACCAAAACCAAAGAGUAAGUAAACACAAUGGAUAUUAGAAGAAAGCCAAAAAAAUCGAAAGCAUGAUUUGGAGCUGAAAUGAACAGAAGGAUGGACAAUGCAUGGGACUUCCAUCAGUGCAGUCAAUGUGAUCAAUGCACACAAUCUUACCCCUUUACCCCUACAAGCUAAGUGGUUGUUUCUAUAAUUUGAAACUUGAUCGGUUACAGGACCAACCUUACCAUGGAACCAAAGCUUACAGUUUUAAACAGGGAAAAACAAACCAGACAAUAGGGGUAAUCAAACCAUCCAUGUUGUUUUGCGACAAAGUUUUCACCGAAUUCCAUCUAACACUUACUUAUAGUCUUAAAGAUAUGUGUAUGUGUUAAUAUACCUAGGUAUAUAUACAAAUGAAUAUAGAGGAUAGGCCUUAGUAUCAUGACCAAGGUUCGAAAUUUCAUAUCGUACCGGUGUACCAAGCUUUCUUGGUACGGUAUGAUACGACGUACCGAGCGGUACACUUAUAUAUAUAGAUCUAAAAAUAUAAAAAUCAAUAUAUAAAAAUAUAAAAACAAUAUACAAAAAUAUAAAAAUAUUAAAAAAAGGCGUAUGCAGCCUCGGCGACGUCGCCUGCUCUUCUCGUUGUCUUGUCUACAUCAUUCAGCGAAGAAGGUGACGAAGACAUCGAAGACUGCAGACGUCUCUGGCCUUCGGCGAAGAACGCGACGAAGGCUGCAAACGUCUCCGACCUUCGGCGAAGAACACAGCGAAGAAGAAGGCCGCAGAGUCAUAGACGAGGCAAUGAAAGAGACCACCUCUUCCGCUGCUCUAGUCACCGCCUCUCCUGAUCCCCGCACCUCUAGAUCCUCCUCUUUAUGAAUCUCCUCGUCGUUACCUCCUCGAUCGAGAUUGUUGAGGGAGGGCGACACCGGAUCGAGAUCGAGAAAGGGCGUGGAAACAAGUUCACGUCGAGGUUCUCCCAAUUCUCCCUCUUCUUCGAACGCCCUUUCCUUCUUCCUUCUUCAAUGCUUCUCCCUUAGCCUCGCCGCAGCCAGGCUGAUACCGCCUGAAAUAACCCCGUAUUGGACUCGAGCAGACCCCCAUAGUGGGCGAUUCGCAUACCGAUUCACGGGCGGACCGGUACGUACCGCCCGAUACGGGCAGUACGAUUCGAAAUCGCAAACCUUGUUCAUAAUAAGCUUGCUCCUUUGAGAUCUAACUGACCAAGGUUUAAGUCAACCUUUUUACUUGUAGGAAUAAGACUGCAUAUAUUGAUCCUUUCAAGACCUGUAUUAUUAGUAGUCAUGCAUUAGAGUUUAGACAACCCAUUUAUGUUUAUACUUCUAUAUAUAUCAGAUAUGUAUAUAUAUUCUUACACAUAUGAUAUAUUUGUAAGAAUAUAUAUACAUAUAUGACAUAUAUAAAGCUUUUUCAAUGCAUUAGACAACCUUACCACAGAGUGACUGAAGCUUUUUCAACUCAUUCCUCCUAGUCAAGAAAGGGGAGGGUUGAUCAAGCCCACCUCGCCAACGCCAAGUAGUAAUAAAUUUUUAUUUUUCUAUUAUUGUCGUUCUGUCAUUAUUUUUAGUUGAUGAUUUAGGAAGUUUUUAUAGUCUUUUCUAAGCCCACUUGGUGUUCUAAAGCCCCAUUAUACUCUAGUAUAAAACAAAAAAAAUUAAUUUUGAGAUUCACAUUUCGGAAGAGUAAAGAUUACUUUUGGUAAGAUUUUGCAGGAUAACAAGACUAACUUCCCUCCCACAAAGUCGUAGUAAACAUAAGUGCUUGUCAAGCCUAAAGCUCAUGCUUGGAUGUUCUUUUCUAUAAAAAAUUGUUAUCUUGGUAGUUAUAUUUUCUAAUUGACAACUUGGAAGGCAUAUUCGCCUGAAAUUGGAAAAAUGCUUGACAGCGGAAUCACGUCUAACAUAUGUGUAUGUGUGCCUACAUACAUAAUGGGAGAAUUAAGGAUGUGAUGUCAUGGUGCAACCUAGAUAAUGUCUAAUGUUCAUCUCAACUGUCCAUGCUUGGGGAGAGGUCAAAAAGCAUCCAAGAUUCACUCAUACAGAUAUCCUUUUCCUAAUAGUGUACAGUUAGGACAAUUUAAGUUCCAAUGGAACAUAAGUUUUUAACUCAAAUGCACAUACAAGAAACAAGUAUAUGAAUGUUAUAACCAUAGUUACAAAAUCACUGUUACAUGAGACUUAUUUACUUCUUUCUACAAUCCCAAAGUCUUGUUAGAGAUGUGCUCUUCUGCAACAGUAGCACUAAGGUCCAUAAUCACCAUGAUUCCCUAUAAACACCACUCGAUAUCUUAGGUGCCUCCUCCAUUUCAAAUUCUCAAUCACCCUCAUUCUGUUGUUGGUGCCUAUGCUGUGGUCUUCUCACCUCUCCGGUCUCCAAGGCCACUACACAUGUACAAGCAAGUUCUACUAUGACGACAGAACAGGAAUCAUCUCACACCACCACCACUGGCUAUGUUAUGCUUCACCAUUAUGGUGCCCUUUUUCUAACAAGUAUAACUCAACUUGAAUAACUGGGAAACCAAGGAACCAAAUUGGUCCACAAAUUCACUGAGACGGUAAUAGUUCUUAGUUUCACUUAAGGGAAAACUCAACCUGGUUCAGACUCCAGUAAAACUUGGUAGCAACCAGUUGACUAGACCUUGAACACCCUUAGUUAAUACAAAAAGAGGGGUUCAUAGAACAUGACUGUUCUGAAAAAUUUUCAGCCAUAACAAAAAACGAUCAAUAAACUCAAUCAUGAAAGACUAGCAACUUCAAGAAUUUACUAGUUUAGACUUUAGACAACAAAUAAAUAUUUGACCAGUAUACAAGCACAAAAAAGAGGGAAUGUCAAAAGCUUCAUAAAUUAAGAGACAGCACAGCACUUGCAUGCUUAUUGUAAAAAAUGAACUUACCAGCAAAAGACGGUUCAAAAUUAAUGGACCAACAAAUUGAGAUGCAUCAUUACCAAUCUGAGCCAAGCAGAAGAAAAAAAGUUAUCCAAGAAGAAUCAUGAAAUAUAUAAAGACUGCCAUACAAAGAGUCGGAAAUUUGCAAAAUGUGGUUUCCAUUUUAUUCUCCAUCAACUUGGUUCACUGCUACUUCAUGAAUUGAUCACUAGAUGAAAGUAAUUGGACUACCGCCAUAAAUCAACAAUUAUCAUAUAUCAAAAAUGUUUCUUGUCCCUGAAUAAAUUCAUACCUAAUCAAAAUUAAGUUCAUUUAUUAGACACAAUCCAGCUAAAUAGAUUUCUAAUUAUUGACCCUAGGUAAGGGGAAAGAUGCAUCUGGGUUACUUUUAACAAUGAAUGCUCACUGCUGAAUACUGAUCACAUGGCCAACUCAUGCAUCAAGUCAAACUCACAUUAGCAUAAGUAUUGUUUGCAAUAGGGAAAAUGUAUACUAGAAUCGAGUUUCUACAUAUUGAAGCAGUAACCUUAAAGGAGCUUCAUCUUAUAAUUUUUAACUGAAUUCUAACUCAAACAAGCAUCAAUCUUAUUAUUGUAGCCCUACUGAUAGUAUGCAAGUAUAUGUCUGGCAACAAAUUGGCAAUUUCUUUCUAAUUUACAAGAUAUCUUCAGGUAAUACAGUUAGUGGCACUGCAGGAGAGAAGCUGAUAUAGCGAAAAAAAAUUUUACUCUUGGAAAACUAAUAUAUAGCUUUCAUCAGAAAACUCCACAGGAAAGAGGAAGCACGGCAAUUAAAUUACCAAGAUACUCUGACCACAAGUCAAGACUUAUCUAAAUAGAAUCCUUUUCUUUCUGUCAUUUUCUGUAUUGCUGAGAGAAAAUUAAUUAUGAUCAAAUAGAGAUAUGAACCAUCUCAUCUGGAUAAAACUUUAAACAGACCUAAAAUUCAUAUAAUGUUCAAGGCUACAAGCAUUAUCGACUAAUCCGUCAUGUCACCUAAGCUUAUUAUUUGACAUCUCUAAAUGCAGGGAUCCUUUUCUUUCCCAUUAUUAAAAAAAAGCGAAUAAUCUGUGCUUGAAAAUUUAAAGCAAAGGUUUUGGAGCAUAAGUGCCAUGAAUUGUUGGAAUUGCCGGAAACAUUAAACAAAAUAUUUAUUAUUAUCUGAUAACAGGAACUUUCACAUAAAAGAUAACAAAAAGCUUUGUUGUUACCAAGUAAAUUGCAAUGCUCUUAUUUCUAUUUUAAGUUCAAAUGAAAGAGAAGAACUCAAUCAAAAGAGACACCACAGAACGAUAACAAAAACUUUCAUUUAUUACCUUGAAAAAGCCACCAAGCCAAAAUCUGUAGAGAAAGUAAAAAAGUGACUGAAGUGUUUGAAAAAUAGAACAAAAAGGUCAUCUACAGGGUAUAAAAUCAAAAAACGGAUGUCUCCAAGAAAUAUGAAAAUUCAACCAGUUAGUAGUUUAUACCUUCCCCCAAGGCUGCGAUGCAAUGCUCUCAACAGCCAAGGUUUGGGUUUCCUAGAUUCCUCAGCCCAACAUUGCUGAAACCUGAAUCAAGAGAGCAUUACAAGGAUACGAAAAGAGAGACAUUAUGAGAAACUAGCCAUGGAGACUGGGGAUGCAAACCUGCUAUUCAGUGUUUCUGUCUGGUCCCAUGAAUCUAAUUUCCAAAUAUCUUUCUCAGUGAUGGGCCUCUUAAAGCCUUGUUGCAUGAGAGGAGUCAUCCAUGAAAACAAUAUUCCUAGGGUAAAAGCAGUAAGUGAGCAUCCAAGAGCGUCCAAGAUACCACUAUCAAGAUUCAAGACAUUACAUAAAGAAUCAGCUUUCUAUAGAUACUCACUGGAAAGUAUGUUGGCCUUCCUCUCAGGACAAAUCUGCUCCCCUCCAGGAAGUGGUUCAUAGUCCAUGUCAUCAAUCGAUGCCUCAGUUCUAAUUGGAGUAUAUCCAGGAUAAGGAUCCAAACUAGGAACAUAGACCAGCAAAAGGAUACCAAACAAAAACUGCAUCGCAAAAAAAAGAAUGUCCUAAGUAAAAUUCAUGUCCUUGAACACAAAAAUAGAUCUAUUUAAAGCUCAGUUCCACCAUGCCAAUAGAUGCACUGAAGAGCUGACAUUGUGAACAAAGGAUUAUCAAGUGUUAUUAUCAUGUGCCCUAAACACUUAAAAGAUGAGAUGUCAUCCUUCAAAGACCAUUAUCGAGUGUAAGCAUCGCAUGCAUUAAAACACUUCUAAGAUGAUAUUUCAUCCUUCAAAGAUAAUUUUAACUAAUUUAAAACAGAAUUUAUAUGACAUAUUAGUAAGAUAAAUGAAGAAAAAUAUAAAUACCUGGGACACGAUCUCACUGGUGUACAGGUAAAAGAUCGAUCUGCAGAUAAUAAAAAUAACAUAAAUGAUUCUCUAGUUCUAAAAUGUAAAGUAUUAUAGUCAGAUAAUGCAAGUCAUGCAUAGAAAUUGUAAACCAAUGAGGAUCAACUUCCACAUGUACUAGACAUUGUAAAACCAUUUGAAAGGACCAAAGCUAUAAUUGGUUUUGAGUAGGAUCAAUAUACUCUCAGGAUUUAAAAGCUUUAGAUGUCUAUAACAAGUGGUUCCCUUUACAUGCUUGCAUACAGCAACAAAGAAAAUAAUCAAUCAGUUAAAAAGUAACAAAAAUGAAUAUUCAAGCAACUUACUUGUCAUAGUAUCGUCUCACAGAGAGAACAAGUUUGUACAUAGAAAUUUCACCAACCAGUACAUAGACAACUAUGAAACGGAUAUACCACCGAAACUCGUGAAUAUAAAUCUUUGUCUCCAGUACUAUCAUCACAAACAUGCAGCACCAAGCAACAGCCUCGAUGAGCAGUGAAAGUACCUGCAAGAAGUUCAUAAAUUAUAAUUAACUUGUAAAUUCAGAUACCUCAUGCUGCAAAAUCAAAAUCAGUAUAAAAUGGAUCAUAAGAGGAAAAGUCUAGAACCAACUGGUGAAGAAGCUCCUCUAGAUAGUGACACUUCAAAUGACAUGAAUGCAGAGGCUUCUGAAAGAUUAAAAGAGGAUGCUCAUGAAGUAAGAUGCACGCUAACACUUAUGGAGGAAAUUAUUUGUCUACUUUUUUUCUUAGAAGAUGAGAGUGAUAAAAACCUAGUUUACCAGUGUGAGAAGUACUAUGAUUGAUGUAAUAGACCCAUAUAUAUGUAUAUAUAUAUAUAUAUGUAUAUGUAUAUAUAUAUGUAUAUGUAUAUGUAUAUAUAUAUAUAUAUGUAUAUGUAUAUAUAUAUAUAUGUAUAUAUAUAUAUAAUCUUAAAGAGUAUCUUCUAGCAUCCCAAUUUAAAACUGUUCAGCGACAUGCUGCAAGCAAAAUUACAACCACUGAAACCAUAUAGAUUAAGUGCAUAUGAUGAAGUUUGUCACACUGAUCAGGGAGAAAAAUCACUCCAACAAAAUCCGUAAGCCCAUUUUAGCAUCCAAGGCACAGUAUUAUAGGUAAUGAGUUGUUAUAAAACAAGACUAAUUACGAGACUGCGUAAGCACUCACCUCAAAGGGAGCCUGACCUGUGUGUCCAUCCAAGUUUGUGAUCGAAAAGCCCAUUACCAUCCUAAACAACGGCUCCGCUGUGCAGUACGCAGCAACCAGGCCCAACAAAUAAUUAUAAUAUGGAGACCUCAGACAGUAUCGCCGGACGGUGAGAUCCCUCUUGGUCCUCCAUAUUCGAUAGAAACAGACACCAAAAAGGGCCAAAUGAGAGAUGCAAACGACCAAGCUCUCCAUGCCACAGGGUGUGUACGCACCAAAUGCGUUUUCAACCACCUUCGCCCAAGCUCCAUUCUUCUCCGGCUGGCAGUACCAGACCAGCGGCUUGAAACCCAUGGCUUCCAAGAACCUCAAACCGCAACUCCUUCACUGAGCAGACCUCAAAUAGCAACUCCAAGAAUCAAUCAACUGAAUGCACAAAAUAGGCCCAUAAGAGUCGCGUCAACGAACCAAACCCUCUGAAAAAGCGGGCUUAAGGAAAGGAAAAUCUCUCUCUCUCUCUCUCUCUCUCUCUCUCUCUCAGAUAUACAAGAAAAACUCAGAUUCUUGAAAAGAAAACCGUUAUUGCACUAAAAAGCGGACACAAGAACUGGAAAAAGGAAAUCAUCUUGCCUGCAAAGAUAUACAAGAAGAAUAUCAACUUCUUGAGAUGGCCCCAACUUUUUUCACACUAAAAAGCGGACACACCAAAAGGAUAAAAGAAUCCAUCUUGGCCUCUAAGACAUACACGAAAAAGUCAAAUUGGUGAAAAGCUUAUCCAGGAGAACCUGACCGGAGCCACACAAACUCCGGAAACAGAAUCUGCCAAACGCAAAAAAGGAUUGUUUCCUCGUCUCUUUCAAGAAACAAAAACGAAAAAAAAAAAGAAGAACAGCGCAGAAACAAGAGCAAUAAGUGGAACUGAAGCGACCAGAUCUCGCACAACUUUCGAGACGGAGAUUGUGCACCAACUCAAAAAAGAAGAAUCGGCAGGACAAAAUCCAGAGUCCGGGGUGGAAGACGACUCAAUACCUACUGGGGAAGGUAGGCGGGAUCGACGGCCGGCCGGCCGGUGGUGGGCAUCAAUCCCGUGUGCCUUUGGUGGGGAACUUCCUCGCCUUCUUUAUCAUUACACCGGGUGCGGUGAAACAGAGGUUCCCUGCUUCCGAAAUCCUUUUAAUGGUUCUCUUUCCCUGGAGGCGGCAGCGAUCGACGAUGGCGGGCACCCGGCGGAGGUAAGCGCUUCCGAGUUUCGAGAGAGGAGACGGCGACGUCGUCGACCGCUUGUCGCUUCCCUUACGCUCUUAUGAGGCAACGAUGAAUGAUGAACGAUAACUGAUCAUGAUCAUGGUGAUGAUGAUGAUGAUGAUAUGGCCAGAUCAAACAUCAGCAUCGAACGAAUUAUUCAUUACAACGUUGACUUGAUUAUCGAUCCACCCGUAUUCGUACCUGGUGGGGCCAGCGUUAUCUACAAUAACAAGCCGAGUAGCGGAGAUUAUUAUUAUUAUUUUGUUCAAGUUAGUAGUAUUAUACGGACUACAUUUGUGUACUAUCUUUCAAUGUCUACAUUUUUGUUCAUAUGUAUUAUUUCAUAUGCUAGCAUUGUCAUUACUUGCAUGACAGCAAACCUUCCAAAUGUGCCUCAGAAACAUGUCCCCCAGUGACCGAAGCUAAGCCUAGAAAGAGAUUUCAAUGAGUCAUAAGGGUUAGAUAUCCAAAAUAGAAAAAAAAUCAACCAAAUGUGGAAAAUCCAAUAAUUGACGAUUUUGAUUCAUUUAUUAUAUUUGUUAUGUUAUUAAAUUAGAGAAAAUACUAUAAUGAUAUUUCAAAACAGUUUUAAUAAUUUUUUUAUAAUUUAUAUAAAUUAUAUAUUAUUGUAUUUAUUGACAUGAUAUGAAGUGGAAUGAAUGAAUGAAUGACAAGAAUUAUAAGUGGCCACCAAUUUGGCUUUCAAGUACAAGUUGCAUCGCUUCAGUACUCACCCGUGCUUGGUGGCCUUGCACAGUGAGCCCAGCAUCGGACCACAGGAGGUUUGAUUCCUGCAACCGCCUCUUCUCCAAUAAGAAGGCUUCCUUGUGCUUCCGCCAUUAUCCUUUCUUUCACUACUGUGGUUGGCAUUUCAUCGAACACCGAGUGGGCUGAACAUGACAACAAAACGCAGCAGGAAUCCCCGCAUUUGACGGCCUCCGAGACGUGGGGACUUCCGAUGCUUUUGCCCUCUGCCGAUCUCUGUGGCUGGUCACCAGAGAAAAUAUAGCCAUAAUGUAGAUGCUGUUGUGGUUAUUCUCAAUUAGUGGAUCAUUAGCAUAAUGAUGUUGAAAUUAUAAAUGAUAUUGAUAUUUUCAAAAAUAGUUAUAUAAAUUAGUAAUAUGUAUAUUUAUUUAAUCCUUUUAAAUUUAAGACUAGUGAAAGUAUUAAAGGGUAUUUUAGAUAUUUUAAUAUUAAUAUGAUUAAUAGAAGGAGAUUACUAUUAUUUACAAUCCUUUUAUUGUUGUUUAAAAUCCCAUGUUAAGAACUUUUGAAUAAUUCUAAGUUAUCCCUUCGUAAAUAAACACAUAUAUAUCCUCAAUUUAUAACUUAAUUUUAAUAUAAUAUUUUUACCUUUUACCUACCAUCCUUUUCUUUUUAUUUUUCCCCUUCUCUUCCUCCACAUCUUCCUUUUUUUUUUUUAAUCACCGAUAAAUGAUGAAAUGAAAUAAACUAAAGAUCAAAAAAGAAGAAAGUAAAAAGUAUUUUUUUAUAUUUAUUAUAAUAUUUUUAGUAUUAUAUAUAUUUUAUAAUAAUCCAGAAGACAUAAUCUUCUAGGUCAGUUAUAUUAACCCAAAAGAUGUUAAAUUCUAGACCUUUGUAAAUUAUGUUAGAUGCAUCGACUCCAAUCAUACAAAACUUGAUGAUAAUAACAGGAUGUAAAUAGUAAAAAUAGGGCCGUAAAUAGUUAUAUAUAUAUACAUACAUAUAUAUAUAUACAUAUAUAUAUAUAUAUAAUUUUGGAUGGACAAAAUAUGUUAUGAAUAAGUCUUUUCCUAAAUAGACAAACAAAUAUUCAAUAGAUAUUUUACUUUACUAUUUAUUAUCACCAAGUUUUGUAUCAUUGGAGAUAGCACAUUGAAUUGGCAGAAGGUUGAGCCGAUCUAAGCAACAUGAGGUAACAUUAAUUUUGAGCUAACUUGCAUUGCAAUAUUUUAUUUUUUGAGGGUCUUAAAUAAUGUGACCAUCAGAGAUACCUGAUUUCUUGUCUGAUCACCCAUUUGAUUGAUUUGGUCCGUCUACCAAUGAUGAUUAUUAUUAUUAUUAAAGAUUUUAAUAUGCUGAUGCUAGACAACAUUGAGUCAUACAAAUGUGUCCAAAGUAAAGUUAUAGCUGGCAAAAUAAGACAGACUAGAAAAAAAAGGUGUCUUCUCACUAUGUGUGCUUCAUGUUUGGCCUAAGGAAGAUAUAUUUUUCACAUUUAACCUAAGAGAUAAAAUCUUCGAAAAUAUUUUCAUACUCGAGCCAAGGUAGACGUUUCAAAAAUAUUUUCAUAUUUAACCUAAGGAAGAUAUUUUAGACACAUUUUUAUACUUAACUGAGAGACACAUCUCGGAUGCAUUUUUAAAAGCCUAGCCUGAGAAAAAUAUCUUGGGCUAAACAUAAAAAAUGAGUAUAUUUUUAUGCUUGGCCUGAGGAAGAAGAGUUUACUUAAAACAAAAGUUUGCCAUCUCAAUGGAUCAGACACAUCAGGCGGAAACCUUCUGAUGUGGCUGCUGUAGGCAUUUUCUCUCUCCUAAAGAAAAACAGCCAAGAAAUGGCAAACAAAGAGGCAAUUGUUAUUGAGCUGAUCAAUGUAUGAAAACACUUAAAUUUGUUUACUGCAUACCUGGUGAACACUUGAACAAUACACCAAAAGAAUGAGAGGAGGAGGAGAAAGAGUAGAAUCACUCAAAAUACUCCCAUUGUGUUGUAGUUGGUGGAUCAAAUGUCUCCCACUUCGUUGUCACAACCACUGGCUUCAAUUUGGUGUUGGAAACUUUCAGCACAUCCAGUGUUUCAACACAUUUUUGUACUCUUUUAGCCUGGAGAAUAACACACAACAUUAGUGUGGUUCAAUAUAGAAUUGAAAACUAUCUUCAAGAGAAUUAAUCUGGAAAGACAAAUAUCAAACUUGUAUAAUAACAUGAGAAAGUCCAUUAAGUUAUCAAGAACCAGCAAUCCGCCUUUUCUUUUAGCUCAAAGUGAUUAAAGAAGAACAGCACCAAACUUCCGUUUUCAUGAACCACAGCCCUACUGAUGUCUUUCAUAUCUCAUCAAAGAAAAAAUGACAAACUGACAGCACCAGAGAUUGCAUCGACUGUUUUGUUUUUUAGAAGAAUAAGUUUUGACAGCACAAAACUGGUUCUGACUAUUUCUAACAACGGAUGUUGUGAACAAUAAACUAUAAUAUAUAGAUAGUAUAGCACAGAAUUUACUAUGUCAUAAAGUUUAUUCUAUUUUAAAAAUAACUCUACUUCCAGUUGGAAGCUCCAUUAAUCUGUGUAGAUUCAGAUCUCAUCUAACACUAACUCUUUCUUCCAUUCAAAUGCAUAUUCACUGACUAAAUAAUGCAGAAAAUUUCUAAUCAGAAUUUGAAUAGUCCAUAAUGAACACAAGGAUAAUAUGAUAUCUGAAAAUUCUUAUUCCACAAGCAUGCUGGCUUUCGACCUGCUAUCAGCGUAUGACAUGGGUUUACUCAGAUAACAUGAUUCCUGGGUUUAUACUAUAUUUUUUUGUGGAAAGGGUUUAUAAUAUAUACCAAGCACAGGCAAGCAACAUGAGAUCAGAGAACUGAUUGAACUAUUUAUAUAUAUAUAACAACAUGAAAUCAAAGAAGGUACAGAUUGGACAAAUUCUAUAUAUACAAGACAUUACACCUCUUACUAUAUUGAUAUUUGAAAUUUUGAACUACACAGAAAUAAAAUAAGAAAUAAUUCUGUAUACCCAAACCUGCAGAUUUCUUUGGGAAGAAGCAUCUCCCUCAGCGGAAAUGCUAUCCAGUCUAAUAGCUUGUCUCAUGAGCAACUCUAUUAAUGUUGUGAUCUGUACUUCAGCAACUUUAUUUCCAUUUCUAAUAUAUUUCUCCAUGGUAGUAACCUAGCACAAAAGUUUUAAGAAAAAUAGAAGCAUGUAAGUCAGAGACAAUACUGUUGAAAAAAACAAUCAAACUAUUUGAAAUUUGUAGCAGCAGUAAUAAAUAACUAAAACAAAUCUAUUCUUUUACAUACACAUUAAUGUUCUGUGAAGGCAAUUAAAAGGUCACUUCUACAGUUGCAUAGUCAAGCAAUCAAUGGAUAAUGACCAUUUUGAAAUUAUCAUUUUACACACAAAAAAAAAAGGUGGGCGCGAGUUAUGUUCUAUACAUACAUUUUCUAUUAUUAUCAGCUCACGGAAAAUCAUUUAGGUUACUGUAGGACACUGCAAAAGAUGUAUCUUUAGCAGAUGAGUUCUAUACAUAUUACACUUAAGAAUUUCACCUAACUUCAAUUAUAAGAUUUCUGCAGCAACAUUAUAAUAAUAUCAAGUAGAAGAUUACUCUUGCAUGUCCUAGUACAUAACACAAAGUUCCAAGGGAUGAGGUUGUUGCACCUGAUCUGCCAAUUUGUCAACAUCUAGUGAAAUGGUGGAGACGGCUCGGUGGGCCCUUUGCAUCCUUGCAUUCUUGCGCAUCUCAGUAUAUCUUCUCUCCAAGCUUGUCGAGUCCUCAACCAACACAAUCUUAGACCGGUUCUUCACACCACAUGCAUCAAGGUACUCGGUGUCGCCUCUCUGCUUCCCUUUGUAAAGCAGCCUCUGCUCAGCAGGCUGCAACCCUGAAUCGGCCGUCAGAAGCUUCUUCAAUUCUCCUACAGUAGAAGAGAUCAGAUAGUUAGAGAAUUACAAAGAAGACUCACAAUUUAGUACUUAACUACCACAAUCAACUGUCACCUUUAUAUUAAAUUAAGUGGGGCAUAGGCAAACUGUCGGUGGACUGCACCAUUGGUCCAAUAAAUUUAGGAUGCUGGAUCAACAGAAUCCAAUAAUUUGAAUGGCUCACGCAACAAAGAAAUUGCUGCCCAUUUGAAAAUUGCUGGUUUGGGAAUCUAGUUACAUAAUUAAUUCCAAGUUGACUACUGGAUUGAAUAUUAAAGUGACAAAGCAAUCUCAAGUUCCAGCUGUGUAGAAUCCCAACGAAAGAUGGGAACCUGUGACCUCCAACCAUUAUUUCUAAGAGUUUGUUGAACUUAUCGAGUAACAAGCGAACAAUGUUUUCGAUUCUUGGAAGAACUAUGCCGUUUGUACUGUGAAAGAGGAGAUUGAAAACGACAAAUUUAAAGGAACUAGGAGAAAUAAGCUGCAACGGACAAGAAGGGAAAAAAAAAGACUAGAACUUUAAUACCUUCUAUAGCCUUUCCAGCUAAUUGAUCAACCAAUUUUGAUCGCUUUCACACAAUUACUGACCCAGAAUUGGAAAUGAUUAGAAGCGAGAACGAAAUCAAACGACAAGACAAGCACCAAAGAAGAAGCUAGCUUCACAUCAGGAUUCACUCGCGAACAGCGUUGACAGCGAUAAGGAACUAAUUAGUAUAGCAAAUCGAAGUAGAAAAGAGGAGGAAACUUACCGAAGGUGGCGACGGAGGAGACGGAGACCUCGUAUCUGGCAGCGCCAUACGAGAUUCGGACACGCACCUGCGGCGGCGGCGGUCUCCCGGGGACCGGAGCCCGCUGUUGGACCAGCAAACCUCCCGGCCUCAUCUCCCACCCCGCCGCCUCCCCCCACAUUUCCUCUGCCGACCCCCCACUCGACCCCCCUUCCGAGCCCGAACGCCGCAUCAUCUCCGCCGCCCGCGUCUCCCUCCCUCUUCCGGCUCGGCGAGACUUAGCCACCGACAAUGUAGAGGCGGUCGGAGGUCUUUUAUACCUGCCGGAAUCGGAAGCGCAGGAUCCAGCGCACCCACCCUAUGGAGACGCGGCACGUGUCCAUACAGCUCACACAGGCCCACCGACAGCCGUCUGGGUGCAGUGUCGGCUGUUUUCUUCGAGGAAUAUGUUUAUCUACCCGCUAAAAUCUACCCUAACAUGUACCUGUUAUUCGAUUGCUAAAUACACGGGGCCUUUUCUAUCACCCAGUAAGAAAUCGCGGAUAUGUUGAAGUAGGUAUAGAUGGGUAAAUGGUUCUUAAAAAUUGCAGUUUUUGAAUUCCAGGAACUGUUAUCAUUUAAUGAAUUAAUUAUUUUUAGGCGCAUAUUAAAACCAUAAUAAAAUUGUAGUAAUUGUUUGAAACUUGCCAAAUGCAUUCAUUACAUUUGAGGGAUAGGCUAAUUUGAGUUUAAGUUCCUAAAACCCUAAUUUAGGUUAAUUUUAGAUGACCACAAGCAUAGUCAAAGUUCUGACCACACGUCGUGCCACACAGUCAAAGGAAAUGCCAUGCUGGGACAGACACUACAGGGAGAGAGGUAACACAAGAAGGCUGAUGUGAUGGGGUUUCACCAUGCGGCCUCAGCCAAAGCCUUCAGUUCUUUGCAUCGGUCGAUCAGAUCGGGCAAACCUACAACACAAAGAUGAUAGGUUGUUUUAGAUGAUGACCGUACAACUCGAGGAAGAAACAGCUUGUGUUACCUACCUCUCCUCGUCACUGCUUUGGCUCAGGCUUUUGUUGUACUCUGUCUUCAGCUGGGCGGCAAUGGAGGAGGCAGCGGCACGCGUCGCUUGGGCUUCCCUGUCUCACGUCUUUUGACCGACAUGCACAGGGAUCAGAGAGGCUGUGUGACACAGGAGAAGUCUGGGGUUCAGCAGUCUUACCCGACAAUGCCGAGCUCCACCGUCGCUUUGUAUUGGAUGGGGAUCUCCAUGAGAGCUGCGAGGGCAAAGGCUGCUUCCUUCUCCGCUGCGGUUGCAUUGCUCCCCAUGAUAUCGGUGAAGUUAACGAACUGCAUCGUACGUGCGACAGAAGCUGAAGACCAGCACAGCAUGUUGAGUCUUGGAAUAGAUGCAAGAAGAAGAAGAAGAAUACCUGGAAAUUGUCGAAAUCACGCGCUGGGAUCCUGUCGUCAAACUUCCUCAUGUCAUCCCAUGGUCCGUCGCCAACUCCAACAAGCACAAUCGAUAAUGGAUAAGCACUGUCAGCUUCAGAGAUGAGCUUUCAUGAACUGCAGCAGCGUGCAACUUCGAUCAUGUAAUAUGGACACACGUACCUUGCCCUCACGAUUGACUCGAUUGUUUCCGGUUCUUUGUUGGGGUCUCUGGAGACCUUCACGGCAGAGGGAGGCAGGUGUUCAAAGCUCGAUCGAGAAACAAGGGACGGAAAGCAGGGGAGAGCAGAACCUGGCCGUCUGCAAUGAUGACCAGCACAUGAUAUUGCCCGCCACUGCUCUCGGCAAUGUCGACAGCGGUCUCCACGAUCGGUGCAAAGGAAGUAGGCCCUUCACGAACCAGAUCGUAUGUGCAGAUUACCCUAUUCCCACAACACGAACAGCAAGCGGAGAAUUUAAGAGGCAUACCUGAUAAUUUUAAGUGUGGCACAAUCUCCCUGUAGCAACGCAAGACUUCGUCGAAUCCAUGGCAGGGCGAAUGAUCACUGCGGAAGCUGAACACCCCUUGAUCCUUGGUGGUCGCUGGAAGAAGAAGAAGAAGAAGUAGGGAAACAUCACAUCCAAACCAAGCGACAGCAGCAGAGGAGGAGGAGGCCAUACAAUCGCCGAAUCCGAAGCAAGGAAUCAGGUCGUCUUCAUCGAACGAGGCCAAAACCUUCCCGAUAAUGGAGAUCGCUUGCUGGUAAGGAUUCAACCGGUGGUUGCUGAUGUUGUGCAAGCUCAGGUCGUGGAAGGAACGUUUGCCUUGGAAGAAAUGAGCAGCGUCGUUAGCGAGAUCGAACAGGAAGAACACCAUGUUUCUGGGCUGCGUCACACAAACCUGUCCACUCGUUGCUUCCGGUGAAAUCAAUCCCCAGUAUGAGGUUCGAUGACUCCAGACCUGCGUCUCUCAAGGCAUCGGUGACCUGCGGAAUCAACGCCCGUGGAAGAACAGAUCAAAUCCGCGCCGUGUUGACAGUAACAGCAGCGCAAGCAAGGACCAAGGAGAUCCUGCAAGAUCCACAUCAUGACACCCAACCUGUUCGAUUGAGGUGUAGUUGUCAGGGAUGUAGGCGUAUUUCUGCUUCCGUCGACUCCUCUUGGAAGCUUCAUCUUUGGUCGUCGGCUGCUCCUCCUCGUCAAGGAAGCUGGGCCGGCAUCCUAGAAACCGAGCCACCACGUUGCCCAUGUCACUGUUACACAGAAGAUAUAGGGAGGAAGAAAGAGAGAGAUGGGGUUUCUAAUACUAAGACUCCAAGGUGGUGGACUGUACUCGUUAGGGUUGGAUAAAAUGAUGGAGAUUACUUGAUCUGUAGGACUGGUAUAAUAGAUCAGAGAUCUCAAAGAAGAGAGAGGAGGAAGAGAGAAAAAGUUUGAUUCCAUUCUUCUCAUACAAUCUAUGGAUGAACUACAGUUACAUUACAUUUUCAUUGUUUUCAUAUACAACCCCACCAAUUGAGUCUUUCAUUCAAUCUAUGAAAAGUGAAAUAUAUGUAUGUCCCAUAUAAGUUUUCUAACCAUUGCUAUAGCUAAUUUAUUAUCAUAAAAUAUUUCUUGCUGUUCUUCAAUAUUUUUUGAGAAUUUUACUUAGAUUAUAUGAGAAGUAGUCAUACAUGCUGAAAUAUACCUUACUUUUGCAAAAAUAUUGUGCUACAAGAAAAUAAUACUUGAAAAAAUAUAUAUAAAAAUAAUAAAAAUACUCUUUACCAUAAAAAAAAAAGCAAAGAUAAUAUCUUUUGUCAUCAAUUUUGCAUUUUUUUUUGUCGAACCAUAUGCAUUAUAAUCACUUUAUAGAACCAUUUGAAAUCAAUAAUCACCCAUUUCAUCAAGCAUAGAUUUUAUUAUUUUCAUUAAUGCUUGAUUUUUUUAUGUUGAGGUCUAUUGAAAAAUCUAAAUUAUCUUUUAAUCUAUUCAUUUUCACAAAACUUACUGUUAUAAUCUCUAACAAUCUAUAUUGAUCAAUAUGCUUUUCGACAAGAUAUUUAAACUUAUUAAAAAUAUUAAAUACUUCAGAUUUUCACCUCAUGAAAUAAACCUAAUUUUUAUCUUUUCCGCGGAAACGAUUGAUGCUUUGAAUGUUCAUAAUCUUAUUUUUUUUAUGAGAGAAAGUUGAUUUAUAUUCUUCUAGUAAUGUCUUUCGUGUAUCCGAGGAAAAAUGGAUAGCUUGUAUUCACUAUUUAAGUAGCAUUAAAAUAUAUCAUUUAUUCUUAUUGUUGUAGAUGAUAGGUAGAGAUGCUCAUCUUUGUAGAGGAAACUUCUUGUGUUCUUCUCGUAGUGCUCUCACCUUUAUUUAUGCGGAGAAUACAUCUCUUUCCACAAGCAGUGGCCUGUUAGAACAUGGAGGUCAUCAUGCAGCUCUGGAAGAGAGAUGUACGUGGACUAGGAAUGACAUGGGAGCUUCAGCGAGCAGCUUCUCGGUUGCAUAUAUUCUUCCACUUUAAAGCUUUGCCAAAGAGUCUUCAAAAGCGAUGAGCAUUCUCUGUACCAUCGAUUGCACUCUUAGACUUUUCUGCUCUCUCUCUUGGACCAGUCGGUGAUGAUGACAACUGCAACCAUUAGUUAUCCGAACUGAAUCGGGAAGCAAUUCGAUUAAUUAUAUAUUAUUUAUGUAAUUAAUUAUCUUUAGUAUAUCGAUCUUUAUACUUUCAAAAAUUACAUCGGGAUGAUCCUCGUAAUCGUAAGAAUGAAAUAUUUAACGACGAAAAUACCAUAUUUGUUGUUACGUAUGGAAAAUAAUGAUAAAACAAAGUUUAAAAGGUAAUUUUACAAUGCUAUUAUCAUCUAUAUUAAUUUUUUUUUACUCUCCCUCUCUCUCUCUCUCUCUCUCUCUCUCUCUCUCAAUGCUGGUCGAGCUGGCAUUGACAGUGAACUAAAGACCUCUCUCUCUCUCUCUCUCACACUCACUCUCCUCUCUCUUUUCUCUUCUCCAACACAAACACAACGUUGGUAUCAUCCAUUCCUACCCUCCUCUCUCUCUCUCUCUCUCUCUCUCUCUCUCUCUGCGCGUUACGGGGUAAAACAACACAGAAAAAGCUUUAAGUGCAGUGCUCACGGAUCAGAUCUCCCGUUGACGGACCCAAUCGGUGUCGGCAACCACCACCGCCGCCACGCCCACCGUACAUGAGAUCACGUCAAUUCAACGUGAUCUCAUGUACGAAGAUUCCACCAAAGAAAUAGACACGUUGUUCAAAAUAGAUUAAAUUAUAAAAACUCCAACAUAAUCUUUAAAAAUAGGCGAUGAAAGAUUGGAUCGGACAGUCUUAAGUCCCAAUCAUAUCUUUGUUAUUUACCCUUUAUAAAAUUAAACAAGUCAACUAAGAUCUUUUAUUUUAUUACAAUAACCCAUAAUAAAAAUAUUAGUUCUUAUAGAAGAAGAAGAAGAAGAAGAAGAAGAAGAAGAAGAAGAAGAAGAAGUGCCCAAAAAUAUUAUAAAAUUACAUGAGAUACUAUUACCUAAUCUUUAGGUUGAAUUGAAAAUUCAGCAGAAACUUCCGAUGCAAGCAUAAGAGAGAUAAGGAGACGAACUCGAAAGCCUAUUCUAUACGAAGAACAUCCUCAACAUGUAAGAUUUUAUCCAUCGAUGGACGCAAUUGACGCUUUCUCCGAGUCAUCAAAGGCAAUGAACAUGGAGUUCCCAAGCACGUUGCCAACUUGCAUGGUGUGUAGGACACGCAUAUGACCAUGUCUUCUAAAUGGCAUACACCAAUCCUAGAUUGCUCACCACUAAAGAACAUUACUCUUUGACCUUUUGGUCCGUGUAAGGUAUGUCUGCAAGCAAUCGCAUAACUCUUGUGGAAGAGUCAAGUUUGUCUAGCUGUGGAUACUUUUGCUCUGCCUCCUUCUUCCUCGAGGAGACAUGGUAUAUGUUCGAUGCUGAUCUGCAACUACACGAGCUGGUAAUUCAAUGCAAAGAGUAUGACAUAUUCCACACGGAUCAAAGUUAAGAUAGACAUCAACAAUAUGCACAGUAUUCUGUGUGAUGUGUUUCAGAGGCUCUUUUCCAACCAUCAUGCGGAAGUACUGCUGCUUAUAAAGACUUCCACUGGCCUCUAAUGUAAGCAGUACUUCCAAGCAUGUUCUAUCUUGAUAAGAAUAGUCAAAGUUAUGCUUCACCUGCCUCCUUGAUAGCAUAAAAGCUAAUUAUCAUUUGUGAUCUUUAGAUCUCAUUGUGUUUGAUUUCCAAUUAGGUGUAGCAUGGUGGAGGAGUAAAAACAACUUGUGAUAAGACAACAAGCCCUGAAACCACAAAACCUUCUUCUUUCAUGGCAGCAACCUCAUUGAUGUAUCUCUGAACGAGGUGCAUUGAGACACCCAACAAUUCAAGAGAUGUACAGCUUCAUCCCAUGGAAGGUAUGAUUUGGUAACAUGUCGCACUCCUCUGGUAGAUCAGUAGCCAUGUAGAAGCAAACAUGCAUCGACUGAUAGUGGCAUGUGAACUAACUAGGCUGAAGUAGCGACAUUAAGAUGAGAACAAAGCAGUUGAGGACCUUAGGUUGGAUCAAAAAGGACAUCAACUUUAUCUUAUAGAGGCUAUUAUCUCAUGAACAAUGCAAAUAGCGUUGAAGAAACUGAUACUGAUUGGACAAUAUUGGCUUUAUCCUAUACAAGUUAUGAUCUGGUGCCAAGUCAGAGAACAUGGUUUCAAGGAAUCAACAGCAAGUUGACCAAGCUUCACUAUUGGAUGAACUGAAUAUUAUCUGAAUCCAGCUCAAGUUUCAACAACCAAAUCUUUGGUUGAUGAAAGUGAGUGCGAUGAGAAAGUGUUACUUUAUGUCACUAGAUGACAUGGAUGUUUCAAUACCAAUCCUUCCAACUUCGAUCUGUUCUUAGUCUCCAAAAAAUGUUCUUAGAUAAUUAGAGCUCAGCUUGAGUGUCUCUUAGCAAAUAACAACUUGAAGACUGUGUUUGGUUGGAGGAUGCUUCCAAACCCCAAUUCGAGCUCCAGUAUCAAUCUUAAUUGGUGGGAUGAAUCCUAUCAUUUUGAUACAAGUAAAAGGAUUCAACUUUAUCUUUGUGAUGCCAUUUAUCCAGUCAUUUUCAGCUGACUGAAUAGGAUGUUAGGUAAAGCAACAAAGAUAGAGAAAAGAGAACAGGAGAGAGAAGAAACGUGCAAUAUAUUCCAACACGCACACACAAACCAGAGGACGGAAACAAGUCUAGCCAUUGAAAGUAGAGCACAAGAAAAGUCCACAUCUUCAUAGUUGUCAAUGCAUUUAAUGAUACUUCAAUUUCAUUGCUUUAACAAAAACUCACCUAAUCGCAUGAUAUAAAGAAAAAAAAAAAUCACUAUUCAUGCCGGUAGAUAACAUCCUCUCAUUCAUUAUUCCUUCCUUCACAAGAACUACUUUUCACAGGAGCCAUCCCAUUCAUGAAGUCCUGUCUCUAUCCACAUCAAGAGUCCUUCCCCAAUAGGAGCUGCUGGUCUCAUGGGAACUCUUUCCUUCAUCGUCGUCAAGUCAGACACAGCAUUUAGACUUUUCUCUGCCUACAUUUCCCUUCCUUCUAGUUAAUGCACUCCAACGUUUGUUCCCAUUGUGCUUCCUGACAAAUCUUGUUAACAUUCAUAUAUAUAUAUAUGUAUAUAUAUAUAUAUAUGUAUGUAUGUAUAUAUAUAUAUAUAAUGGUGUGGAUUAAUCUCUUAAGAUGGAUCAUCUUCUAAGAAGUUGGGUUCUAACACCAACCUAGCAAACUGGCACAAUAAUGACAAGAGAACUCCAGCACGUAAUUAAACCUCGAUGUUAACUUGCCCCAUUUAGUCACACGUUGCUCUCCAAAUUCAUGUGUAGGACCAAACUGCACGUAACCAAAAAGUCAUGCAAAUGACAGCAUGCAGGCUCCCCGUCUCUCUCCCACUAUAAGUAGGUCACGUCCCUCCCAGUCCCACAUCGAUUACCAGUCCAAAGCGACGACCAUGGCCGGCCUUCCUUAUUCAGCUCCUCACCCUGCCACCAUCUCCGCUUCCUCCAACUCCUUUGCAUGCCCCUUCCGCAGCAAGGGGCUUGUCUUCCCCUACCCUACCAGAAGAGCACUCCAUGUUCGUCCCAACAUCGCAUGCAAGGCAGGCGAGGAGCACGAGAUCGCUGCUAAGGUCGACCGACGCGACGUACUCGUGGGCCUCGGUGGGCUCUGCGGAGCCGCCGCUGGCCUUGGCGGGUUCGAUAAAGCCGCCCUCGCUAACCCCAUUCAGGCCCCUGAUCUCUCCAAGUGCGGCCCUGCCGACCUCCCCACCGGCGUGCCAGUCGUCAACUGCUGCCCGCCCUACCGUCCCGGUGCGAAGAUUGUGGAUUUCAAGCGGCCGUCGCCGUCCUCCCCACUCCGCGUCCGCCCCGCCGCCCACUUGGUUGACCCCGAGUACCUGGCCAAGUACAAGAAGGCCAUCGAGCUCAUGAAGGCGCUCCCGGCCGAUGACCCUCGCAACUUCAUGCAGCAGGCCGACGUCCACUGCGCCUACUGCGACGGCGCUUACGACCAGAUCGGCUUCCCCAACCUUGAGAUCCAAGUCCACAACAGCUGGCUCUUCUUCCCCUGGCACCGCUUGUACCUCUACUUCAACGAGAGGAUCCUCGGCAAGCUCAUCGGCGACGACACCUUCUCGCUCCCUUUCUGGAACUGGGACGCACCCGGCGGAAUGAUGCUGCCUUCGAUCUACGCCGAUCCUUCGUCACCCCUCUACGACAAACUUCGCGACGCCAAGCACCAACCUCCUGUCCUUGUCGACCUCGACUACAAUGGAACCGACCCAACCUUCCCCGACGCCCAGCAAAUCGAUCACAACCUCAAGAUCAUGUACCGCCAAGUCUUCUCCAACGGCAAGACGCCGUUGCUGUUCUUAGGCUCAGCUUACCGUGCCGGUGAACAGCCUAACCCUGGCGCGGGCUCCGUCGAGAACAUGCCGCACAACAACGUGCACUUGUGGACCGGCGACCGCACCCAGCCCAACUUCGAGAACAUGGGCACCUUCUACGCCGCGGCGCGCGACCCCAUCUUCUUCGCCCACCACGCCAACAUCGACCGCAUGUGGUACCUGUGGAAGAAGCUCAGCAGGAAGCACCAGGACUUCAAUGACUCGGACUGGCUCAAAGCUUCCUUCCUUUUCUACGACGAGAACGCCGACUUAGUUCGGGUCACGGUCAAGGACUGCUUGGAGACCGAUUGGCUGCGCUACACGUACCAAGACGUGAAGAUCCCAUGGGUGAACGCCCGACCGACUCCCAAGCUCGCCAAGGCGAGGAAAGCCGCCAGCAGUUCGCUGAAAGCCACCGCGGAGGUGCAGUUCCCUGUGACGCUGGAAUCCCCGGUCAAAGCGACGGUGAAGAGGCCCAAGGUGGGGAGGAGCGGCAAGGAGAAGGAAGAUGAGGAGGAGAUACUCAUAGUGGAGGGGAUCGAGUUCGACCGCGACUACUUCAUCAAGUUCGACGUCUUCGUGAACGCGACGGAGGGCGACGGCAUCACGGCCGGGGCCAGCGAGUUCGCCGGCAGCUUCGUGAACGUCCCGCACAAGCACAAGCACCGCAAGGAUGAGAAUAAGCUGAAGACGAGGCUGUGUCUUGGAAUCACCGACCUGCUCGAGGACAUCGGCGCGGAGGACGACGACAGCGUGCUCGUCACCAUCGUGCCGAAGGCGGGCAAAGGAAAGGUGUCCGUCGGCGGUCUUCGGAUUGACUUUUCCAAGUGAGGAAAUAAAAGAAUUCACGUGCCGUGCUUGCUUUCUAUGUACGAAUAAAAUAAGAGUGCAUCAUCACCGACCAUGGUUCUACUUUAAACUUCGUGUUGUACGUUUGAUGUCAGUAGUCUCUCAUUGUUGUUGUUUACAGUUUCUAUGGACAUGCAUUUGCAGUAUCAGUCUUCGUAUGUUUCCCGACGUUAAAUAGGUUGCAUUUCCAGUAGUAUUUUUGAAGCUAUUAAGAAAUAUCGAAAAGAAAAAGAAAAAGGAGAAAUAUUUCCAUGGUCAAAGUCAAAAUCUUGGUGGCCAAUCUUCAAACACACGGGAAAGAGGCUCCCGACAUGCGCCGACUCUGACGUCGGGCCCACAUCGCUACUUUCUUCGGCCGUCAUAUCGCGAAUCUUAAAGCGGCGACUCUCCGAUCCAACGGCUGGUCGCCAUGCGGUGGAGGUCACGACGCCAAGCGCGCCGUUGUCUCGUCGGCCGAAACAAUCGAGCCCCUUAUUCGUACCCGUACGUGAUUGGAGAAUCUCCACAAGACUUUAUAGGGUCCCGCAGGUUAGUGAUUAUGGUAUACGCAUGAGGGAAACUAGAACUUUUAGAUUCGGUAGAAUGAUGGAAAACAAUACUAAUAAUGACACAUAUAUAUAUAUAUAUAUAUAUUUAUUUAUUUAUAUAUGUAUGUAUAUAUAUAAACCAGUCGUCUUGAGAGGAGAAAAGGCGUCGCUCCUCGUGCUCAAUCCCCCUACCACUUUCCUCCUUCCCUCCGAUCUCUCGGGCUUCCCUACCGUCCGAUCUCGUCGAUCAUGUCUUCGGUAAGCGAUCCUAUCCUCCUAUGGACUUCCUGUGCGACUUGUGAUCCCUUUUCGGUCGAGUUAGCCCACGGGUGGCGUUCUUCUUGCAAUCGGUAGGUGCUUUAGUGUUCGUCUUUCUUCUUUCUUCGACAUCGAUGAAUCGGAUGUUGAUUAUGCAAGCAAGUGUGAUACUUUACUCGGAGUUUCCUAAUCGAGGGAAAUGAGUGAGUUUGUUUAGGUCCGCCUACUGGUUCCUGUCCCGUUUGGGGAUGGGCAGAAUGUUGUGGGAGAGUGACUGUGGUGUAUCGAUUUGAUAGGUUAUGGAACUUGAUUGUUCUUACAUAUAUGUAGAAAUCGACGAUUUUAGGUUUAUUUCUGUAAAACCCAGUUUUUUUAUGAUGUGUCGUCUUUCAUCUAUUGUGCUUUUUGUUGAAUUAGUACUUCUGAUGCAUUUUCAUGUUCUAAGUGCAAGAUGUAAAGUAAUUCAGGUCAUUGGCUUUAUGUUAGGAGUUUGAAAUCUAGACAUGCAUUACCUGUUUGUGUAAGAUAAUUUUCUGUUAACCCAAGACUUCAAAUUGGAGUGUCUGAAUAGAUUGUUUGACCUAGAGUGCUGACUACAAGUUCUUAGACAGACUUCAACUUGAAAAGGUUUACAGGUCCGCGAAAUGUCUGUUGAUAUGUAAUUUAGUUAUAUUUGGAUAAGCAGCUACCUAGAAUUAGGUAUAUCAUUCUUCUCACUUUCUUGAGCUUAGCGCCUACUGUCAAGCUUCACAUUGAAUGUAAGAGGAUGGUGUUGAUUUGUUUCCAUACACUCCUUGUCCUUUCUUCUCCAAGCGGGAAUUAGAUAAAUUAAAUUUGGCAUGAUGUUUCUUAUCAAACAUGUCUCUUAUUUUUGGGAAAUUCCAAGGGUGAUGUGGACCUAAUUUGUUAAAGCAUAUCCAAAAUGGAACAAUGAAGAACUAACAUAAUAAGCUGCAGAAGAUACUGGAAUGUUGGUUCAAUUAGGUUUUUUUACCACAUCCACUGAAGGAACAAUGAGUUUCUUUAUUAUUGAAGCAAUAGUGAACUUGUUUUAUUGCCAGUUGAGUUGCCAGCUAAAGCAUAAUUCUGGGAGAAAUAAAUAAAUAAACCAAUGCCUGAUCUUACAGAUUUCAUCUUACAUGCCGAUUUGUUAGGUUUUUUAUAGUUUACAUAUGUUGCCUUCUCAAUCUUCUACGUUGUUGUACUUUCAUGUCAGAAGAAUUAUGGGUUUGAAUGAAGUGUUUCUUUUCAAAGUUUUACUUUGUUAUACUUAUGAGAAGGAUUAUUGUGCUUUCAAGUACUUGAGUGAACCUUUGCUUUUCAAACUCUUGCUUAUGGGAGUACUCAACUGAAUUAAAAUUUAUUUAAGAAGAUAAUUGAAGUUUAUUCAAGGAAUAAAGACUCCAAAAACUUAUGAUAAUCUUCUGUGUUGAGAACUAGGAAUAACAAUAACAAAGAGACAUGUGGUUAUAGACAUGCUAACACAGCUUAACUGCAGUGUGUUCAUAAGCUGUUUUUUUUUUUAACUUGUGUAGUUCCUAAGGUUGUUCGAUUUUUUUUUUUAAUAGUGAGAAGUUGAAGAAGAUUGCCUGUUGAUUGCUACUCUGCUAUGAGAUGAUCCUUACUUUUUGUUCUAAUAAUUGUAACUUUAGAUGCUAAUACAUUCAAUUUCCAAGCUACAAUCCUCUCACUGACAUCCGGUGGGUCAGUAAUUCAACAGAAUGGAUGUUCUGUUGGGAAAAUUGAGAAAUGUGUUUCUUUUUUCGUUUAAAGCGUGUAUACCUAUGUUAGAUGAGGUGGAAGAUAUUAUACAAAAAGUUAGGUUGUUGAGAGGAUGUUCAGAUACGUAAAUGUAUGGGUUUGUAAUAAUGAUCGAACAGAAAAUUUAUACAUUUAUGAACCAUUAAGAAUAGUUCUAACGAGGAUAAAAAUGAGAGAAGACCUAUAGUAAAGGAAGAUCUUAAAAAUAUUUUUUUAGAAAGAAUAGAUAUGAUGGUCCUUGGUUUGACUGGUUAACCAAUGACCACAGAUUCUUCACUGUCAUUUAAAAUUAACUAGCAAUUGUUUUCUUGAUUAAUGCUGCUACUUCAAGCUUCUUCCUCACCUAUUUACAGUUUCGGUUAUCAUUCAGUCUUUUAUCUUUUGAGUGCAUCAGGAGAAGGGUCAACCACUGCCCAAGUUUGGAGAGUGGGAUGUCAACAAUCCUGCCUCAGCUGAGGGGUUCACUGUUAUAUUCAACAAAGCUCGGGAUGAAAAGAAGACAGGUGCUAACUCCGGGGCAACAGCAACACCACCAAGAAAUGAUGCAGGUGGUUUCCAACAAGAUGAUACCUAUCAGUAUCGAAGAAAAAGUGUAUGAUCCUAACUUAUGCUUUUCUGUUCCUUAAUCAUUACUGAACUUUGGAUCUAAUGAUUAGGAAAGAAAAAGAUCGAAAACCCAUAUUUAUAUUAUUUUUGCACUCCUAUCCAUGAUGAUAUUGAUUUCAAACUCAAACUAGCUUGAAACAGUCAUUUGCUGCUUUCUGUCGUCACAAGCACAGUGCUCUGUUCUUCUUCUUUUAACUAACCACUAUAUUUUGAUUUGGUUCAGCGGAAGUGGUUUUGCUGCUGUUGAAUGCCUGCUGUUUGGAGCCAAUAGGUACUUGUUCACCGUAGUUUGGGGUCGCAAGCAUAAAGAAUGUUUGUUUUAUUGUAACAGAUGCUGUUUAUGAAUAAUUAUCAUAUCUGGUUCGUGUGAAUCGGUAUUAUUUGUAGACAAAAAAAGAGGGCAGAUCGAUGGAAGAUGGUUUAUAUCUUGUUCAAUUUUGCUGUAUGAUUGCCGAGUGUAAUUAGAAGAUACUUGUGUGUAGAUUUGCUAUAGAUGUUGGUUUAUUAAACAUAAACUUAAAGAGGCAAAGUACAGUAAUUACUUUGGAGUAUGAUGAAGAUGUAUAUAUAUGCAAUUUUGGGUUUAUUGAAUUAUAUUUGCUCUUCCCAAUUCAGUAUCCAUUUCCUUUUUCAAUACUUUAAAUUCUAAUCCAUAUUAUGCAUGUUUUUCCCAAGUCAUUAUCAUAUCAAUUGCAGGUCCAAAAUGUGUCAUCUUCCCAUGCAUUUUUCAUAUUACUCCAAAGUGUAAAUAUAAGAAGAAAAAAAAGGGGGCAAACCAAAGUCACCUCAGCCAACAACACCUCACAUGCCUCAUUUCUGCUACAGCCAUUAAUAAAGAUAAGGCCCCAAGGAAUCUUUCCAAUAGUUCAACCUCUGCCAUGAUUGGUUGUCCUAAAUCUUAUGAAACACUCUCAAGAUUCUUCAAAUCUCCACAUCAUUUCUCUAUGUCAUAAUAAUGUAGAAAUUUCUAGGGCCUAUGAUUGUUACUGAAGGUCUGAAUCUGGGAGCAAUUCCCAUGACAGAGACAUGGCCCGGAGGCAAAAUAGUUUUCUCUGUUCUUGGCUGGCAUUUCCAGCCACCAAGCAACAUGGAAAACCACAUUCCACACGAAUCAUGGCAUGAUGUUGUGCCAGAGCACACGGUCCCCAGUCGUUCAAGUUCCAUGCAAAUGUGUUGUGCUUCUUACUGCGUGUUGGGAAAAUGAUAUGAAGCUCCCAUCCAUUGAUAGAUCAAGAGGUGCACUGUUUUGUAAGGAUCGAAGCAGCGGACAUGUUUAGCAUGGAUGCAUGUUUGUGACAGACUCCGGAUGGAGUCGAGUAAGGUUGUGAUGGAUCAAGAAAUUGAAUGUUCAGUGACGAAGAGCUUGGAUCGGGCAAAACCUUGUGAGCGACGGUGAUUCACAUAACAGGGAUGGAUAUAUGUAGCUGAGUUAUGACGAAGAAGAAAAGCCAAGGAGAGAUAAGUCUGUCGACAGUGGUUGUGAUGAUCCACCCGCAGACAGCAGCAACAGCAUGUGCCCCAUCACCCUCAGUGUGGAUUCUCCCUCACUUGGGUGAUGUCAGCACCCACAUCCCCUGUCACAGCUGCAGCAGAGAGAGAGAGAGAGAGAGCGAUAGUAAAGCCAAAGUGAUGCCUGGAGCUCAAGUUUUGAGCCUCCCGCAAGCAAAUGCUGCAGCUGGGAAGACCCACUGAGCCCUGGACACUCCUGUCAUAAAGGAGGAGAUCCAUCUGCGGUACACCGAGCAUCUACUCUCUGGGUGGGCUUCUCGUCGUCGCAAGGUACGCAGGGACGAGAAAGUUCCUGCCUUUAUCGCAAAGAUCGCUUCUUUUCGCCGGUCUUUGCUGGGUUCUCAGUUUGUUCUUGGUCGGAGGACCGUUUCGCAUCAGAUCUGUAAGCUAUUUUGCUCGGAUGAUUAGAAAAGCUGGUGUAUCAGACGCAACAGGAGGGAGAUCUGUACGGAUCGGUUGAUCGUGUCAAGGAUUUCAUCGUCUGAGAUCUUGCCUCGUUCACGUCAAUUCCUCGGAUUUCUGGGUUUUGGGAGCAUCUCAAAAGGAAAACUCUCGUUUUUCUGUCUCUUUGCUGUUCUAAUUUUUACGUUCUUAAGCAUUGCUGGUAGAUCUUCUUGAAGGAUGCUUGGUAGCAGAUAAAGAUUUGGAUUGGAUCAAAGAAUGACGUUUCUUGGGCUUCUUUUUCUGGGUCUCGCAUCAUUUUCUUUUGGAACUGGAAAUGCUCAAGCGAACAGCUUUCUGGUCGAUUGUGGUUCUAAUUAUAGCACCACUGAUGCUAAUAGUAGGAAAUGGGUUGGAGAUUCUUCCGGUGAUGGUUUUUCCCUGAGCUAUCCUGGAACUACUGCAUCGACUUCCACAGUGGAAGAAAACUCCGUUUACCAGUCCUUGUAUAAGACUGCUAGAAUAUUUGAUACUCCAUCUCACUAUGGCUUCAAUGUGUCUUCUGGGAGUUACUGCUUGAGGCUUCAUUUCUACCCCUUCUCGUUUGUAAAUUUGAAUGUCAAUGAUUCAGUGUUUGAUGUAACCGCGAACGAGCUCAAGUUGGUUUCUAAGUUCAAUGUGCCGGCAGAAAUCUCAUGUCGGAGCACCACAAACAACUCGGUCAUUACUUCCCUGGUGAAAGAGUACUUCCUUUACAUCAGUUCAAGUGAACUGCAAAUUCGGUUUGUACCGAACUCAGGGUCAUUUGCAUUUGUCAAUGCCAUCGAGGUUUUCGAAAUACACAACAACUUGUUUGUUGACUCUGUCAACAGAGUAGGCAGCAAGGAGAAGGUUCCUUUGAGUAUGAAUGACCUUGGAAUUGAGACGAUGUACCGGUUAAAUGUUGGAGGGCCGGCACUUGAGCCAAGCAAAGAUCGAGAUCUGUGGAGAACAUGGGAGCCGGAUGAUGGAUUUAUGUUUUCUGUGAAUGCUGCUACUGCAAUUAGUAGUACAUCCAAGAUAAGCUAUUCAUCAGUUAAUGACUCUUCGAUUGCACCUCUAUUGGUUUAUGAGACAGCCAGAAUAAUGUCUGAUAAUGAAGUUGUUGAGAAGAGAUUCAAUGUCUCAUGGAGGUUUGACAUAGAUCCCAACUUUGACUACUUGGUCCGGUUGCACUUCUGUGAGUUGAUCUAUGACAAGCAAAACCAGAGAAUUUUCAGAAUCUACAUCAAUAAUAAAACUGCGGCGGAAGAAUACGAUGUGUUUAUACGAGCAGGAGGGAUGAACAAAGCCUACCAUGAAGACUAUGUUGAUAUUGUACCACAGCAGAUAGACACCCUUUGGCUUCAGCUAGGGCCUGAUUCAUCGAUAGGUGCUUUGGGUAUUGAUGCGAUCCUCAACGGUGUGGAGAUCUUCAAGCUCAGCAGGAAUGGAAAUUUAGCUCAUGUUUCAGAGAGGAUUGGUACUGGUGGGGAAGGAUUUGGUACAAAGAGGACAAAAAGUAAAGUUCUUUGGGCAGCCACCGGUGGUAUUAUUUCUGUGGUUACCAUUUCCAUGGCAUGUGUUUUUUAUUGCCACCGAAUUCAGAAAAGGAAAGCAGAUGGUGUUAAGGAGAAUCCUCCUGGUUGGCAUCCGCUUUUCCUUCAUGAGACAAUUGCAAGCACCACAAAUGCUGGCACAUCCAAACUGCCUUUGAUCAAUGAUGGUUUAGCAGCUUCUUAUAGGCUUGGUAGAAGAUUCACUUUAGCAGAAAUUAAAGCUGCGACAAGCAACUUUGACGAUUCCUUGGUCAUCGGAACUGGAGGCUUUGGCAAGGUCUACAAAGGUGAGAUUGAUGACGGGAUACCGGUUGCUGUGAAGCGAGGAAAUCCACAGUCGCAGCAGGGCCUAGCAGAAUUUGAAACAGAGAUCGAAAUGCUGUCAAAGCUUCGGCAUCGGCAUCUCGUCGCGAUGAUCGGUUACUGUGAGGAGCAAAGAGAGAUGAUUUUGGUUUAUGAGUACAUGGCAAAUGGGACACUUCGAAGCCAUCUCUAUGGCACUGCUCUUCCAGCUUUAUCAUGGAAACAGCGGGUUGAUGCAUGCAUUGGUGCAGCACGCGGUCUACACUAUCUUCACACUGGUGCAGACAGGGGUAUUAUCCACCGAGAUGUCAAGACAACAAACAUUUUGUUAGACGAGAACUUUGUUGCAAAGAUGGCCGACUUUGGGUUGUCAAGAGCUGGUCCCUCUUUGGAUCAGACCCAUGUGAGUACUGCAGUGAAAGGGAGUUUUGGUUACCUUGAUCCUGAAUAUUUUCGGAGGCAGCAGUUAACCCAAAAAUCAGAUGUGUAUUCCUUUGGAGUUGUGCUCUUUGAAGUUGUUUGUGCGCGUCCAGUGAUAAACCCAAGUUUGCCGAAGGAUCAAAUAAACCUGGCUGAAUGGGCACUGCGAUGGCAAAGGCAACGGUCACUUGAGUCGAUUUUGGAUCCCAGAUUGGCAGGAGAUUACUCUCUGGAGUCUCUGAAGAAGUUUGGAGAGAUUGCAGAGAAAUGUCUGGCAGACGAGGGAAAGAACAGACCUACAAUGGGGGAGGUACUUUGGCACUUGGAAUAUGUUUUGCACCUGCACGAAGCAUACAGGAAGAGCGGAGAUGGGGAUUCUUUUGGGAGCGGUGAGUUGGGAUUCGCAGAUAUGUCUUUCUCACUCCCAUUUGUCCGAGAAGGAGAUGAGGAACCUUUUCCGUAGCCAUCAAGAUUCAAAGAUUUCCUCGAGAGCCAAAAGGCCUUCGACAUUGUUCGCUGUAGACAGUUGCUGGUGUUGGUAUUCCAAAGCUAUUUUACCAUCAGAAAAGGCAAGUGGUUGUAUCACUUUCCCAGUACUAAAGCUUUUAUGCUUGAUCUCUUGUGACUGUAACUCCUUGGUACAAAAUCUUAAGAAGUUUGUCAUGUUAGUGAUCCUUCCCUUGUAAAAAGGAAAUAGUUUCUCGGAAUCAUGGAAGAGUUCUAAUUCUUUUGAGAGAUUUAGCUAAUUGUUUGUGAUUUAAUCAUUCUGAAAAGCCAAUGUAUGUCAGGAUUUUGCCAAGGCUGCUAAAUAGCAACAUUCGUUGCUUUUUUAAACUUCAGAUCGUGUGGCGAUUACCGGUUUUCACUUCAAGUUAUUGUCUAUUGAUUCAGAAUACUUGUUGUCGAUCUUUAAGUCUUUUAACAUAAGUUAUUUUGCUUGUGCUUAUUUAGCUGUUCUUGGUAGCUUAAACAAGUGUUGGUAUCAACUGGUAAACUUAAUUCAAUCCAGUAUUCUGCUCAAAUGUUGCCAGAAUCAAAAGUACGAAAACCAAAGACGACUUUUUUUAAUUAAAACUCCAUAGUUCAUUUUGCUGAAAAUUGCCAAUGAGAGAUGUCUCCAGAGGUGCAACAAGAGGAUUUUUAUUUGAUUAUUGACUCUUCAUGCCAGCACUAUUUAUACGCAAAAUCUGUAAUCGAUAUUACCUAACCUAUCGAUGUCUUUUGCCUCCUUUUUACCAGGAAAAACUGUUCUAGAGCUAGCCGAGCCGCCAAAUGACACUUUGAAAUGUGUUUCCUAUGAAGGUAUCUUCCCUCAUGAGCUAGCCUUUUACAUCUGGGCACCAGAUUGACAUGAGAUUUAUGAAGACCAUUUUACUGUGUGUUAAAAACAGACAACAAUUGCAGAAUGCUUUUUUUUGUGCUUGGCUGUUGGGGGGCAAUUAUAUGGUAGAGUUUUAUGAACACAAAACAAACUGCUGCUAUCUGAUUUGCUGAGAGUCAUACUCUUAAGCAGACUUUUAUGUAAUCAAGGAUUGCAUUUUGUAGUCAUAUCCACAGAAGUGCAAAUAGGAGGCGUUUCUCUUUUUUGUUGCUUACCAGUCUUUUGUAUCAUAUUCAUCAUGGAGAUUUUAUGUUACCGAAGGACGACAGUGUGCCAACAGUUCUGUGAGCACAACACAAUCUAUAUAAUGGACAUCUCUGCUCAUUUUCAAGAACAGUAGUUGAUUGAUUAAGAAUGUUAUCUCCUAUUUACAUUCACUUGAUAUUUCUGAGAUUUUACAGAUUAUAUUAAUAACACUUAAAAAUACACUAACUUUGUGCAGUUCUGAAUGAACGUGCAAAAAUAGGUUUGAAGUGGUCUAAUAGAUAACAAAUCAAUCCUAGAUAAUACUCGAAGACCAUCGAUAUGAUUGUGGUUAGAUAAUAUGUUUUUUUUAAAAAUUAUUUUUUUUAACGAUCAGUAUUUAUAAAAGCAAGACACAAAUAUCAACAAAUAUUAUAUCAAACAUCCUGUGUUCAUGAUAUUUUUUUCCAUUUAUUUAUUUGACGUUCUCAUGGAGACAUUUGAGGACGUUAUAUCUUUUUGACUUUGCUGAAUCUUUAAUCUUCUGGUCAAAUUACAAUGCAUCUCUUGUCACUCAGUUAGUUUUUGUUGUUAUUGUUAAAUAGUCAAACUUUGAUGUCAUAAUACUCAUAAUCACAUUUAGCUAUGAAUAUAGAACAAUGCCCAAUAAUAAGUAUGAUUCUAUCAAAUAUUUCUAACUUAUUUUCAUUUUUUUUUAACUAUUUAAUCCAAACCCUUUUCACAUUCCUCUCAGCUCAGGAUAUAUAUAUAUAUAUAUAUAUGUAUGUAUGUGGAAUUACUAAUUAACUUGAAAAUUGGUAUUUACUUGGUUGAUUGGCAUGGAACUAAUAAUUGAAAGUUCAAUUGACAUAAAUAUCCUUUAGUGAUAUUUUAGAAAAUGAGAUAAUUAUAUAUAAUAUAUGCUUUUAUAUAUUUUUAAAUUCAAACAAACUAACGUCAAUCACAAUACAAAAUGUGAACAAUAACGUCAUUGGAUGGAUGUUUUGCUAAUAUUUUGAGAAAUUAUUAUGUUAUAUUAAAUUUAUAAGGUUUAAUAUGCUAAUCCUAAAUUUAUUACGUUAUAUCGGCCGUUUAAUAAGGGUUGGGUUUCGGCUCAAUUCGACCAAAUUAUCUGUGAACCGUCGGCCCAUUAACCCAAUCUAACGGGAUGGCAUGCGGUUCGCCCAUCCUACGUUUUCUUUUUUACAUUGGCUAAAUUACCCUUAGGGUUAGCUUCAAAGAUUGGAGCCGCUUCCGGAAAGGAGAAAGUCGAUUGGAGCAGCGACAGAGAUCAUCGAGCGUUUGGGAGUUCCCAAGAGAUGAGCGCGAAGGUAAAUAUUUGAUCUUUCCCUCUGUUCAUUCUGCUUGAAUCGUUCCUUCUCUUGCGAUCCUUCGCUUGCGAUUGUUUUGUUUUCGAAGGCAUAUUGUCAUUUGCCUCCUUUUUACCAGGAAAAACUGUUCUAGAGCUAGCAUUGGUUUGUGCAGUUGUUGCGGAGCCGAGCCGCUAAAUUACACUUUAAAAUGUGUUUCCUAUGAAGGUAUCUUCCCACAUGAGCUAGCCUUUUACAUCUGGGCACCAUAUUGACAUGAGAUUUAUGAAGACCAUUUUACUGUGUGUUAAAAACGACAACAAUUGCAGAAUGCUUUUUUUUGUGCUUGGCUGUCGGGGGGCAAUUAUAUGGUAGAGUUUUAUGAACACAAAACAAACUGCUGCUAUCUGAUUCGCUGAGAGUCAUACUCUCCAUGUUAAGCAAACUUUUAUGUAAUCAAGGAUUGCAUUUUGUAGUCAUAUCCACAGAAGUGCAAAUAGGAGACGUUUCUCUUUUUUUGUUGCUUACCGGUCUUAAUCAAGUAAACAUUUUUUAUGUUGAAUUGACGGUUUGUUUUCAUGUUUUGUAUCAUAUUCAUCAUGGAGAUUUUAUGUUACCGAAAGACGACACUGUCGACGUAUAUCCAUAGCUUAGGUAUUGAAAAGAUCAUUGUGCCAACAGUUCUGUGAGCACAACACAAUCUAUAUAAUGGACAUCUCUGCCCAGCGUGAAGCUCCAUUUUCAAGAAAAGUAGUUGGUUGAUCAAUAAUGUUAUCUCCUAUUCACAUUCACUUGAUAUUUCCUGUUCGUUUUAUUUUGUAAGAUAGCUUCGGAUAGAAAAUAUUUAACUCGAGAUUUCACAAGUAAAUAUAUUAAUAAUACUUAAAAAAUAAAAUAUGUUACGAACAUAAACUUUACGAGUUCUGAAUAAACGUGUGAUAAAAGAUCCGAGGUGAUCUAUCACGCUCAAAAGUCUUCAGCAUAACAUCGUUACAGGACAAGAUAACAAAUUAACCUUAGACAAUACCUCAAAACUAUUCGAGUAGCUUCAAGGUGGUAUAUUGGCUUACACUUUGCAUUACUUAGCGGAGCUAGAAGACUCCCAAUAUAAUCGUGGUUAGAUAAUAUGUUCUUGAAAAUUUUAUCUUUACUUAACGAUGACACAUAAUUUGUAUUUACAAAAGUAAGAUGGUCUGAUAGUCCUCUACAUGUCAUGUAAAAAAUGAACAAAAUCGAAAGACACAAAUAUACACAAACAUUAUAUCGAACAUAUUGUGCUCAUGAUAUUUUCUCGUACUUAUUCCUUUAACGUUCCCAUCUUUAAGGAUAUUGUAUCUUCUAAUCAUUUCUGAACCUUCAAUUUUCUGCUUUAAUUACAAUGCGUUCUUGGCCUAGUUACUUUUUAUUAUUGUUGUUAUUAAGUAGUCAAACUUUGAUACCGUAAUACCUAUAAUUGAUGCAUUUGGCUAUGAAUAUAGAACAUGAUUCUUCAAAUAUUCAGAGAGUUAACUAAGAUAGGCCUGCCAACACACAUUGAUCAAAACCAACUACCAAAUCACAAAUGCUUCUUACAGAUACUAACAAGUCAAAUUGCCGAAGAGGUCAUCAUCACAGAGAUGGAAUGGAUGACCAAAUCCAUCGGAAAGAUGCAGCCUUCCAUUUCCAUUGUGGAUCAUAGUACUAGUUUGUGAUCUCACUGUUGUCAAUAGCCAUAUAUAAACUGUUCUACUUCCUAAAUCCGCAACCUCUUCUGUGAACUCUUGUGAAGUAUUUCUGCAUACCUUCUUUUUUGAGUCCGUAUGAUCCAUCUUCCUCAACUUAAUGUUGGCUGGUGAUCCCUUAAUAUGAUCCCAAUUCUCUGUGUAGAAGUGGAGAUGGCACUCCAAUCAAAUGCUUAGCUUCUUGUUUGUUGGCUGAGAAUUAUGAGAUGGUUUUGAGUCUUUUGACUGUGAUAACCUUAUUGCUUUGGAUGAAUGCCAUGCAUCUAAGCUUGACAGUGAGAACUGUUGCAGAGGACACUUCUGCAACAAAAGAUCUACAGCAAAUGUUCAACAAUUACUUCAUGAAUCUACUAUAUGCCUAAGUAGGAAAACAUACACAGACAUCUGAACCAAUCUAGAGAGAGAAUAGUACUACUGCAUGAAAGGAGCAAAGCAGUAGUACUGUGAAACCUCUGCCUACAUGCAUGCAUACAAAAAUAAGUCAAUUAUUUGGAUGAUUAUUGUUAAUAUUUUAAGAAAUUAUUACGUUAUAUUAAAUUUAUAGGGGUUAAUAUGCUAAUCCCAAAUUUAUUAUGUUAUAUUGGUCAUUUGCUGAGGGUUGGGUUUUGGCCCAAUUUGGCCCAAUUAUCUGAUAACUGUCGGCCCAUUAACCCAAUUUAGCAGGAUGACACGGUGUUCUUUCAUUAUGUUCUUUCAUCGGACGUUUUCCUUCCUCACAUUAGCUAAAUUAGGUUAGCUUCCUUCUCUGCAAUAAAUAGGAGCGAGCGGUGGGUUUGAACCCCUCGCCUCUUUCGAAGCCGCUUCCGGAUCGAUUGGAGCGAGCGUUUGGGAGUUCCCAAGAGAUGAGGGCGAAGGUAAAUAUUUGAUCUUUACCUCUGUUCAUUCUGCUUUAAUCGUUCUUUCGCUUGCGAUUGUGUUGUUUCGGAAGGCAUAUUAGCUUCUUAUUUUCUUUAUAGCAGUUCAAAUCGUAAUAGAGUAGCAUCGUUUGGCGAUCUGAUAGCAGGCUGCCGAGAGUUCCCUUUGAUCUUUUAGGGUUUGGGAUUGCGACGACAUUCUAUACAAAGAUUGGUUUCCCUUUGUUCUCUCUUCUCCUCAUUUGGUUAAACGCAUCAUUGUUUACGUUGGCAGAUCUUGUGUUUCUAUUGCUAACAAAACUCCAUGUACCGUAUGAUGAAGAGACUCAUCCCUUGUCCAUCUCAUGUCUAGAAGUUGAGCUGGCAUAAUAAUCAUCAAAUCCGUACCGAACACACGCAAAGUUGUUGUCUUUGUGCGUAUAUGUCGGUUAGGUUGUACUUGAACCUAAACGUUAUUUAGCGGGACCUUUUCUUAUGACAUCCAAUCUGAAUGUUUUUCUUUUAAUAGGAUCAUAUAUUUAUCCAUUUUAUCAUCGUUUUGUAUCAGCAUAACUAGGCAGAUGCACUUUGUGCUGAUAAGAUUUGUUCUUGAAUAGAUACUUUAGGUUUUGCUGUGGUUUUGUUAAUUGAGUGUUAAUUUAGUUGAUACUUCAUAGCUUGGAAUUUGAUUGUAUUUUUUGUUGAACUAAAUUGCGUAUGCCAUGCAUAGUUUCACCUCUAUCAUUAACCUCUGUCACUACAUGUCUUUGUCGCUUUUAGUGUAAUAUUCGUUUGUAUUAGUUUGUAAUAAUGUCUUGUCAAGUUAGGUGGAGUAGGAGAACGAGGGGAGUGAUCAAAGUGAUGAACCUUCUUGAUUAUUUUUUAUUUGGAUGAAAAUUUGUAUGGCUCAGAUAACUUUGUCAUUUUUCCUGGUUUUUAAUUCCUCCUGUUAUUUCUGACAUGCAGUGAAAGAUGAAAUACUUGAUUCUCAUCUAUUUAGUUUGUAUUUAAAGAAUGGUUGAGUUAUUCAGACUAUUCUGCUAUAUUGAUGAAAACUCUACCUAAUUCAAUUAUGUUCCACACUUUGUGUUGUACCCGUGGAAAUGUUAUUUGACUGGUGAUUCAAGUCAUAUUCAUAUCAUAAAUAUCUGUAUUUGACCAUGCCUGUCUACAGCAAAAUUGAGACAAAGGAGACAAAUAUAGCAAUGAGUUGCAUGAGGUUUUCAAGGGGAAUCAGCAUCACUAACAAGGCUGCUCGAUUGGUGGGUGCGAGAGGGUUCGCAAUAGCUAGUGGCAAGGGAAAGAAGGGCCCGAAAGGUGGCGCUAAUGAUGCGCCUAAAGCUUCACUUAUGAGCCAUGAAGUAAAGAGCACAACAGUUGUUGGAGCCAAUAUCCUCAAGGAUGGUACUGAUCCGAAGAUAGUGCCCGAUUCUGAGUACCCAGACUGGCUGUGGCGCUUGCUCGACAAACGCCCAACGCUGAGUGAACUGCGGCGGAAGGACUCGGAAUCUCUCCCAUUUGAAGACCUUAAACGCUUCGUGAAGCUGGAUAACCGUGCCCGAAUCGAGGGAAACAAUGCUGCCAGAGCUAAAAAUUGAAGUUUAUACUAGAAUGUUGCCAUUGUUGGCUGUUCUCUGCAGUGUAAUCCCGUUAUGUUUAGAAAUGUCAUUUUGUAAUGAUUUCUCAUGGCAUUGUCAUGAUGCUGAGAGUUCAUGAGUUUCGGUGACAAUGCCCAAUAAUUUGUAUGUUUCUAUCGGAGACUUCUAAAGUAUUUUCUUUUCUAACCUUUUGAUCUAAACCCUUUUCAAAUUUCUUUUAGCUCUGGCUAUAUGUAUAUGGAUUUUCUCUUUAACUUGGAAAUUGAUAUUUACUUGGUUGAUUGGCAUUGAACUAAUAAUUGAAAGUUCAAUUGACAUAAAUACCCUUUAAUGAUAUUUUAGUAAAUGAGAUAAUUAUAUAUAAUGUAUGCUUUUAUAUAUUUUUAAAUUCAAACAAUAAUGUUAUUGGAUUGAUGUUUUGUUAAUAUUUUGAGAAAUUAUUACGUUAUAUUAAAUUUAUAGGGGUUAAUAUGCUAAUCCCAAAUUUGUUAUAUUGCUAAUCCCAACUCAUUUGCUGAGAGUUGGGUUUGGGCCCAAUUUGGCCCAAUUUUCUUAUAACUGUCGGCCCAUUAACCCUAUUAAGCAUGAUUACACGGUGUUCUCACAUUAGCUAAAUUAGGUUAGCUUCCUUCGCUGCAAUAAGUAGGGGCGAGCGGUGGGUUUGAACCCCUCGCCGCUUUCGAAGCCGCUUCCGGAUCGAUUGGAGCAGCGACGUCGAGCGUUUGGCGUUUGGGAGUUCCCAGGAGAUGAGGGCGAAGGUAAAUAUUUGAUCUUUCCCUCAUUCUGCUUUAAUCAUUCUUUCGCUUGCGAUUGUGUUCAAAUAUUAGCUUCUUAUUUUCUUUAUAGCGGUUCAAAUCGUAAUAGAGUAGCAUCGUUUGACGAUAUGAUAGCAGGCUGCCGAGAGUUCCCUUUGAUCUUUUGGGGUUUGGGAUUGCGACGACAUUCUAUACAAAGAUUGGUCUCCCCUUGCCGAUUAGGUUGUACUUGAAAAUACCAUCGAUGUUCGAAGUCGAGGUAGGGUGUGAGAGGGUUCGCAAUAGCUAGUGGCAAGGGAAAGAAGGGCCCGAAAGGUGGCGCUAAUGAUGCGCCUAAAGCUUCACUUAUGAGCCAUGAAGUAAAAAGAGCACAACAGUCGUUGGAGCCAAUAUCCUCAAGGAUGGUACUGAUCCGAAGAUAGUGCCCGAUUCUGAGUACCCAGACUGGCUGUGGCGCUUGCUCGACAAACGCCCAACACUGAGUGAACUGCGGCGGAAGGACUCGGAAUCUCUCCCAUUUGAAGACCUUAAACGCUUCGUGAAGUUGGAUAACCGUGCUCGAAUCGAGGAAAUCAAUGCUGCUAGAGCUAAAAAUUGAAGUUUAUACUAGGAUGUUGCCAUUGUUGGCUGUUCUCCGCCGUGUAAUCCCGUUAUGUUUAGAAAUGUCAUUUGUUAACCUUCACUUUGUGGUAUAAUCCAGUUUGUAGUGGUUUCUCAUGACAUUGUCAUGAUGCAACUAAAUUAUCUCACUGAUGCUGAGAGUUCAUGAGUUUUGGUGACAAUGCCCAAUAAUAUGUAUGUUUCUAUCGGAGACUUCUAAAGUAUUUCUUUGGUUUUUCUAAUCAUUUGAUCCAAACCCUUUUCACAUUCCUUUUAGCNNNNNNNNNNNNNNNNNNNNNNNNNNNNNNNNNNNNNNNNNNNNNNNNNNNNNNNNNNNNNNNNNNNNNNNNNNNNNNNNNNNNNNNNNNNNNNNNNNNNNNNNNNNNNNNNNNNNNNNNNNNNNNNNNNNNNNNNNNNNNNNNNNNNNNNNNNNNNNNNNNNNNNNNNNNNNNNNNNNNNNNNNNNNNNNNNNNNNNNNNNNNNNNNNNNNNNNNNNNNNNNNNNNNNNNNNNNNNNNNNNNNNNNNNNNNNNNNNNNNNNNNNNNNNNNNNNNNNNNNNNNNNNNNNNNNNNNNNNNNNNNNNNNNNNNNNNNNNNNNNNNNNNNNNNNNNNNNNNNNNNNNNNNNNNNNNNNNNNNNNNNNNNNNNNNNNNNNNNNNNNNNNNNNNNNNNNNNNNNNNNNNNNNNNNNNNNNNNNNNNNNNNNNNNNNNNNNNNNNNNNNNNNNNNNNNNNNNNNNNNNNNNNNNNNNCGUUAUAUUAAAUUUAUAGGGGUUAAUAUGCUAAUCCCAAAUUUAUUACGUUAUAUCGGUCGUUUAAUGAGGGUUGGGUUUCGGCUCAAUUCGGCCUAAUUAUCUGAGAACUGUCGGCCCUUUAACCCAAUCUAAUAGGAUGGCAUGCGGUUCGUCCAUCCUACGUUUUCCUUCUCUGCUUACAAAUAGGAGCGGGCGAAGGGGUUGAAUCCUUACCUGCUGUCGAAGCUGCUUCCGGAGAGGAGAAAGUCGAUUGGAGCAGCGACAGAGAUUUGGGAGUUCCCAAGAGAUGAGGGCGAAGGUAAAUAUUUGAUAUUUCCCUCUGUUUAUUCUGCUUUAAUUGUUCCUUCGCUUGCGAUUGUUUUGUUUCUUAAGGCAUAUUAGCUUCUUAUUUUCUUUUUAGCGGUUCAAAUCGUAAUAGAGUAGCAUCGUUUGGCGAUUCGAUAGCAGGCUGUCAAGAGUUCCCUUUGAUCUUUUAGUGUUUGGGAUUGCGACGAGAUUCUAUACAAUGAUUGGUUUCCCCUUGUUCUCUCUUUUCCUCAUUGGUUAAACGCAUCAUUGUUUACGUGGUUAGAUCUUGUGUUUCUAUUGCUAACAAAACUCCAUGUACCAUAUGAUGAAGAGACUCAUCCCUUGCCCAUCUCAUGUCUAAGUUGAGCCAGCAUAAGAAUCAUCAAAUCCGUACCGAACACACACAAAGUUGUUGUCUUAGUGCGUAUUUGUCGGUUAGGUUGUACCUAAACCUAAACGUUAUUUAGCGGGACCUUUUCUUAUGACUUCCAAUCUGAAUGUUUUUCUUUUAAUAGGAUCAUAUAUUUAUCCAUUUUAUCAUCGUUUUGUAUCAGCAUAACUAAUCUAACUAAGCCAAUGUAAGCUAGGCAGAUGCACUUUGUGCUGAUAAGAUUUGUUCUUGAAUAUAUACUUUAGGUUUUGCUGUGGUUUUGUUAAUUGAGUAUUAAUUUAGUUGAUACUUAAUAGCUUGGAAUUUGAUUGUAUUUUUUGUUGAACUAAAUUGCGGAUGCCACGCAAAGUUUCACCUCUAUCAUUAACCUCUCUCACUACAUGUCUUUGUCGCUUUAGUGUAAUAUUUAUUUGUAUUAGUUUAUAAUAUUGUCUUGUCAGGUUAGGAGGAGGAGUAGGAGAACGAGGGGAGUGAUCGAAGUGAUGAACCUUCUUGAUUUUUUUUUAUAUGGAUGAAAAUUUGUAUGGAUCAGAUAACUUUUCAUUUUUCCUGGUAUUUAAUUCUUCCUGCUAAACCUUAUUUUUGGGUUUCUCUGUUUUCGAUAGAGGUAUUCACAAGGUUAUUGGUUAUAAACGGCAUGGCAUUGGCCAUGACCAGUUAAUUGGUGUAAGAGCUUCUAUAGGAACAUAUAUGUUCUAUAUAAAUUUAUAGGGAUAAAUAAACUAUUUCCGAAUUUUGUAAGAAUAGAUGUGUAAAUUAACUUAUUGAUAGGGUUAUCAAUAAUAAUUGAGAAUAUAACAAUCAAAGGCAUUUGCCCAUUGCUGGUAUGUAGAGAUUAGGAAUCUGUCUCGACCUAUCCAAGUUUAUUAGUCAAUACCUGGCUUACAGGCCCAUUCAACCAGGAUGGGUCUGCCCAUCUUACGAUUUACAAAUUUUUGUUUGUCAAAAUGACUAAAAUACUAUUAGGGUAUGCUUUCUUCUCAGGUGAUAAAUAGGAGUGCAUAAGCUUGGUUUCACAUUACCCGGACUCAAAGCUGCUCCAGGUGAAUAGAGGGAGGGGGAUCAGGAGUUCUGAAGAGAUUAGGGCGAAGGUAAAGAAAGAUCUUGUCCUUGGUCAUUUGCCUUCUGAUUGUCCGUGGUGAUUUUGUUGUUUUGGGGUUUAGAUCAGUUUUUUUUUCUUAUGUUGUGGAUCAAGGGAGAAAAGAACUUUUAUAUCUUGAAAAAUUUGAGUCUUGUAGAUUGUUUUUGAAGGGCAUACUUUAGACAUUUUCAUGUUUACCUUGAAUGGAUCACACCUCUAUUCCCUAGAUGAUGGCCAUGGUGUGUGUGUGUGUGUGUGGGUUUUUGUGAGACCUGUCAAGAUGCUUAUAAUUUUUGGAGGAAUAAAAAAAAAUGAAGAUUUUCAGUUCAAGUGCUAUGCUGCAGCAGAUAUUAAUUUGUUAGAGUAGAUCAUUUUGGUGCUUCUUUGUGGUUUUCUUCUAAUUGGCCAUCCUAGUUGAUGAUGAAUCUCUUGUUAUAUUUUCAUGCUCGAAAAGUGAAAUAUAUUGUUCUAAUCCAUUUAGUUUGUAUUUUAAGAACCAUUUCGUGUGCACAUUGCUUCUAGCAGACAUUGUUGCCAGAGUGGAACUCUUUUGUGUUUGCCAUCUUGGUUAAAGAUCCUCCUGUUAUUUCUGACCGGAGUGGAACACUUACAGACUGGAAACCAUUUUGCGAGAGUGGAACAUUUUUGUGUUUGCCAUCCUGGUUAAAUAUCCUCCUGUUAUUUUUGACAUAGAGUGAAAGAUGAAAUACUUGAUUCUUAUCUAUUUAGUUUGUAUUUAAAGAAUGGUUGAGUUAUUCAUACUAUUCUGCUAUAUUGAUGAAAACUCUACCUAAUUCAAUUAUGUUCCACACCUUUGUGUUAUACCCGUGGAAAUGUUAUUUGAUUGGUGAUUCAAGUCAGAUUCAUAUCAUAAAUAUCUGUAUUUGACCAUGCCUGUCUGCAGCAAAAUUGACACAAAGUAGACAAUUAUAGCAAUGAGUUGCAUGAGGUUUUCAAGGCGAAUCAGCAUCACUAACAGGGCUGCUCAAUUGGUGGGUGUGAGAGGGUUCGCAAUAGCUAGUGGCAAGGGAAAGAAGGGCCCGAAAGGUGGCGCUAAUGAUGCGCCUAAAGCUUCACUUAUGAGCCAUGAAGUAAAGAGCACAACAGUCGUUGGAGCCAAUAUCCUCAAGGAUGGUACUGAUCCGAAGAUAAUGCCCGAUUCUGAGUACCCAGACUGGCUGUGGCGCUUGCUAGACAAACGCCCAACGCUGAGUGAACUGCAGCGGAAGGACUCGGAAUCUCUCCCAUUUGAAGACCUUAAACGCUUCGUGAAGCUGGAUAACCGUGCCCGAAUCGAGGGAAACAAUGCUGCCAGAGCUAAAAAUUGAAGUUUAUACUAGGAUGUUGCCAUUGUUGGCUGUUUUCUGCAGUGUAAUCCCGUUAUGUUUAGAAAUGUCAUUUGUUAAGCUUCACUCUGCGGUAUAAUCCAGUUUGUAGUGGUUUCUCAUGACAUUGUCAUGAUGCAACUAAAUUAUUUUCCAUGGAAUUUAUACUCUGAGAAGGCAGAAUCACUUGUAUUGUGUGUGUGUGUGUGUUAGGUUCCAAAGGGGCCAUAAAUAUUCAGCUUCUUAAUUGUCAUAUCAAAGAAUAUUAGGUAUUGCUUGUUACCAUCAAGAUUACACUUAAUGGUGGGUGGAACAAGUGAUUUGCUUUUUUUUUUUUGUGGGGGGUAUGAAUUUGGAUCAAUCUUCAAUGUUCCAUCAGAAUGCGUUUUUACUUUUUGUAGUUUCAUGGUUAUGCUCAAGUUGCUUUCAUAUGGUAUUUUUUUCACCUGGUUUACCAUUCAACAUUUGUUGUUACUACUUUGCUAUCUAAGAAAAAAGAACUUUGAGAUGUAUAAUUCCCUUUGGGAUGACUUAUGUGUGGAAUAGACAGACAGGUGGAUUUACUCCCUGUAUCAAGUUAAUUAGACUCACUAAUCUUACAGAAAACCUUGUUUCAGUGUUAUGUGACAAUGAUUUAGCUGUUUUGUCUUGAAAAAAAAAUCGAUUUCGCUGUUUUGCCUUGAAAAGAAAAUUGAUUUAACUUCACAUUAUCUUGCAGUGGAAGAAGAAACGCAUGAGGAGGCUCAAGAGGAAACGCCGAAAGAUGAGGCAGAGGUCAAAGUAGGCAUGUAUGGCUGCACAGCAUCUCAGUUUUGAAGGUGAUUGAUUCUGAUUCCGUUUUCCGCAUGAUGGUGGGUAGGGUGUAUUCAAUCGAGGCAACACAGUAUCUGAUACUUUGUUAAACAUACAGUUUCAGGAACUCAAUACUUUGUUUAGGAAGUUGAUACUUGGUGAUUUACAUUCAACAGUGGUGUUUUUGUUCGACACAGUAUCUGAAAUUAAUCAUGCUCUUUGUCUUGUUGAAUUGGCCUUUUUCAUAGUGGUUUUAUUUAUGUCUGUGUAAGAGUAGAGUACCACUAACAGGGGUUGCUUCUUGGAAAAUAGUUAAUAUGCUUUCUGAUGAUAUUUUUUGUUCCUGGUUUUGUCAAGUGAUCGUUCAACUGUUUUGGAAUGAGUUCAGGGCAACAAUUUGAGUUAGGAAUUGUAUGGUUAUGAUGAUGUGUUUUAACUCAUAGCAGAUUGAAGAAUUUGGUGAAGAGCAAAGCAUGCAAACAGUUCUACACUAAAUGCUUGCAUGAGCAAAAAAAAAAAAAAAAAUUAGUGAUUCUUGUAGGAGAACUUUUCAAAUGGUCUAUUAGCAUCAUAUUCGGUAAUGAUUAGUCUAUAAUCGAUUUAUAUUUGUAAAGAUUUAUUUUUUAACCAGCUUAUUAAGCUCGUUUGGUCUAAAUCAUUCAUCAAAAUGUUUAAGCUGAAAUUGAUAAUAGUACACUCAUCAGACUCUUAUAAGACAAUCUUAAUCCUGUCCACUUUUGAUGUGGAACUAAUCAGGGAUAUUACAUUUGUUCACUUCAAUUCCAAUCAGAUGAAAAUAAGCUUUGAUAUGAAUACAUUAUGUAUGUUAUACAUGUUGAAUAUAUGUUUUUUUUUUUUUUUUUUUAAUUUCAUCAUGAAUCGUAUAUGUUAAUCGACAAACAUAUUGUGUUGCAUGUCAUAUUCAUCUUAUCAUCGUCUUAUUUAAAUUAAUUUAUAUAUUUAUUUUAAUUAUAUAACUUCACAUUUUUUCCUUGCUUAAUUCGAGAUUAGGUACGUCUAAUCGACAUGCCAUGUGUUUUAUAAUUAUAUUUACAAAAGAAUUCCUCCUUUUUAUUCUUGUCUUCCUCUUCUUCUUUUUUUUUUUUUUUUUUUCUCUUUCUUCCUCUUUCUUUCUUUCGUUCUUUUUCUCCUUAUUUUUCUACUCUUCUCAAUGGGAAUGAUGACAACUUUCCUAAUCAAUGAUGAUAUUACUCAAAUACCCAUUUUAUAACUCGAUUUUAUUUAGAAAAUAAAGAUUUACCUGUAAUUAGCAUAUAUAUAUAUAUAUACAUACAUAUAUACAUAUAAAUAUAUAUAAAAAUAUAUAUAUAUAUAUACAUACAUACAUACAUAUAUAUAUAUAUAUAUAUAUAUAUAUAUAUAUUUAUAGAAAUAUAUAUAUAUGAUAACUACGCCCAUCUAGUCAACUACUCGAAAUAGUUGGCCAAAAUAAAAUUAUUAUUAUUUACUCCUUGCAAUGUUGUCAUGGAAUCAAGCAGCAUUUAUUUGCGACACAUGAUAACAUGAACACCGCUACAUAAUUAACUGUUCAUUUAAUCUCAUCACCACGAGUUACUUUGAAGCUUCACGUCUAUAAAUACGUAGGUGGCCUCGCCACAGUUACCGCCUCUCUAUGACUUACGUCUCCUCUCCCCUCUCUGUUGCGCUGUUCGCUGCAGGACUCGCAGAGAAAAUAGACGUCGGGAUGGCUGCGGAGGUGAGCUCCUUGGCGACAACCCUCGGGGCAUACGAGGACGACGCGGAAGGAGAGAGCGAGCUCGUCACCCGGGACUUGCUUGGCGGCGGCGGCGGCGGAGCCGGCGACGUGGAUCUCCAGCUCCAUGUCCCCGCCGGCUGGCCGACCCGCAUCGACCUCCCGGUACGUGUCGCUGCUCGUAGCUCAAUUCACUGUUCGUCGCGUCGCUUGUUGGAAUUCCAAUCUGAUCUGGCCUUCAUUGAUUCCAAGAUUUAGGUUCUCCUUUUUUCCCCUCUUUGGUUCGUUUCGUUGAAUCGAUUGUCGUCGGUGCGGAUUGCUGUGGUCCUUCGAGUCCGAAGCACCAAGGAUUCUCUUCCUUUUGACCCCCAAAAGAACGAUUCUGUGGAUCGUACAUCCGCAUCCAUUUUAUCUCGUACUGGAUCUCCUAUUCCCCGCCGAUGCCGCGCCCUAAUUAUUUAGUUGUCGCUCGCGCUUUCGAUGCAUAUUUAAUUGUAAUAAAAGGUUCUGUUUUUGGUCUUUCGAUCGGUCAAAGAAGCUGUUUCGAUGAGAAAGAAUCCUUUUUUUCCCCAUGAACUCAUGUCGAAGUCGCCGAUUUGAGUCGUCCUAGUUCAUUCUUGCUUUGAUUCGACUAAGAGCAUCUCGAUUCCCAUGGUUGCAGUCCGGGAAGGCGAGCCUCGAACAGCGGGACCCCGAUCCCGCUCCCCGCCAUCUGCACGACCUUAACCUGUCGCCGCCGUCGCCGUCCGUCGCCUCUCUCGCCCUCGAGCUGGCGUCACCCUCCGCCGAGUACCAGAGCGUCUGCACCCUGGAGAAGGUCAAGUCGGCGCUGGAGCGGGAGUCGCGCCUCGUCGCCACCACCGGCCCCGCGUCCCCGCCCCCCUCUUCCACCACCUCCUCCUCCUCCUCCUCCUCCGCCGUCUCGACCAAGCGUCGGGCGCCGACCUCGCCGGACGAGGACGGCGCCGCGGGAAGCACCAUGGCGGUGGCCACCUGCCCGGUGUGCCUCCUCUACGUGCUCGUCUCCAAGGCGGAGCCCAGGUGCCCCAGGUGCGCGGCGCAUGUGCCGGUGAACGACCUCCUCAAGAAGAAGCCGCGCAUCGACCUCAACUCCUCCCUCCCAUCCCACUGAAACCUGCACAGAAGCGAGAACAAUACCCAAAUCUUCGAUUCCCGAGCGUAGAAGACGAUUACUACUACAAGGGUCAAAAAAACGAAGAAAGGCCUCUCCAUUUUUGGCGACUGUAAGAAUUUGUUCUCGGUUCAUGGUGUUCCACCGUGAGAUGAGAUCAUCGUGCAGCAGUUUGUUCUGCCCUUUCUCUGGGCAUUAAACCUGCCAUUAAAUUUUGGGGGUUCAAAUCUCACUUGUCACAGGAUGCUCUCUUCUUCUUGAUGCAACCCUUCACCGGUGAUUUGCGUGGUUGGUGGUGUUUGCACAUAGCCAUGCGGGUGCGGAGACUGUACAGCGGAAGCCUUAAUGGAGGCCUCCGAAAGGACUCGUAGCAAUCACAAGGAAUGGGACAGACUACUGAAACCAACUAAAUAAUUGAAUGGGACUUUCCCUGCAAUAAUUUUAAUGCAGUAAAUAUAUAUCUUAAACACAAAUUAAUAUUUGAAAAUAAUUAUUUAUAUUAAUAUUUUUCUUGCUUUUUUUAAUUGGUGAAAAGGGAUGUCGUCGUCUGCCGUCAGCUCAACUUAAAAAGACUGUUGCAUACUCCGUCUGUAAUAAAUGACGGGUGUCCCUAUCCGACAUUUAAUGCAGCAAGAAGGGCGCCUGAUCGUGACACGUGGUGCGUCAAUUAAUGCAGCCAUUUGUUCUCUUGCCGCGCGUGAGUAGCUGACGCCACGAAAACGAAUCGGGCCCCACUCGCCAUCAAUAAAGAACGGUCAAAACCAAACCAAGCGGGCCCACUAAAAUGACAGUUGGGUGUGUCAUAAGAUUAUAUAUUAGUUUUCCUUGGGAUGUACCUCUCUCUCUCUCUCUCUCUCUCUCUCUCUUUCUGUGUGCCAAAAAUAAAAUAUUACUCUUCGGUUUGAUAAAAGCAACAACGUGCCACAAUGUAUCUACGACCAUGGAAUUAUUUUAUUAAAAUUAAUAUAUAUAAUUUCAGACAAAUUCUCAAUUUUUUAAUAAAAUAUAAAGAUAAAUAAGGAAGAUGAGAUACAACCAAGUUUUAUUUCUUACCAUAUAAUAUCUCUAUUUUUUAAAAUUUCAACAUUAUCUCUUUAUAUUUUUAGCUUUUUUCUUUUUUAUUUUUUAUUUUUUAAAAGCACCAUAUUUUUAAUUUUUUUUUCAAAUGGUAUCUCUAUUUUGAGUAAAACUAAAAAUAUCCCUUACUAGCCCUAAGAUAUUAAUUAUUCCAUCUAAUUUUGGUUCAAGUGAAUGUUAUAAUUUGUUUCGCCUAUUUUCAUAUUUUGACUAUCGUAAUAAAAAUACUAUAAUAUCUAUUUAAAAUAUUAUAAAUAAUAAUAUGAAAUCACUUACAUGUUUUUUUAGUAGUUUUAUAGUAUUUUCAAUAUCUUUGCACCCUAAUGAUAUUUUUGAUAUUAUUUAAAAUAGAAGAUCAUUUGAAUAAAAAAAAAUGAGGACAUCUUUCGGAAAAAAAUGAUAAUAAAAAUAAUAAGGGCACUAUUGAGUAUCUUUUGAAUUUUAUGUUGAUAUAUAUUCAGCAACAAUACCAAUCAAAUAGUAAAUCUUAAUUAUUUAAGAUGGAGAAUCUUUUAUCACUAUUAAAUAUAUUGAUAUAUAUUCUAAAUAUAAAUAUCAAACAUUCAAAGCAAACCCACAUCUACACCCUUAGGAUGUGUGGAUAUGUACAGAUCCAAAGCACCUAACAUCCAUUAAAACCUGACCCCUCCUUGAAACGGCCCAACCCAACCUUAGAGAGAGAGAGAUCGAUUGAGAGAGAGAUUUCAAUAGGAGUCGCAUAAACUGAUCAAAAUGCAAUUAUUGUUUUUAGGGCUACAACAAAUUUACAAGUGUCUACGAACAUCUAAACAAUCUUUCUUAGAUCCUUCGGGUCGUCCGAAGCGGAUUCAAGAAAACAUUGUGGAUCUGCUCGUCUUCUGCUAACUUGUAUGGUUGACUACAAGCAUCGUGUCAGGAACAGGCAGGUGAUGAGAUGGUCAGCUCCAAGUUUACGUGCUUCUUUGCUGCACUUGAUCCCCGGUCGCCCGUGUCUGCCAAGCUUCUCUGAUUCCGGUAGGCAAAAGACGAUAAGCUCGGCUCGCGGUUGGUCUCCUUCGGCGGCGAUCGCUGAGAAUAAGCGAGCUGGAGUAGCUGCAACGACGAAGGAAGAGUGGGAUCGACCGCUUGUGAUCAGGACAAUGUAAUGUGAUGAUGAGGGUGUCAAACCUGGCUGUUGUCUUCGGUCAACGUGUCUCUUGGAAAGAUGGAGGCCAUGUUCUUUGCUGCCCAGUCUCUCAGCAGCUCCUCAAACGUCGGCCUGCAAUCCAGAGUCGACGCUUUAGAGGUAGAAGAAGAUGUCUGCUGCAAGAAAGACACUGAGAGAGAAAGAAGUGAAGGAGCCGGACACCCACGUACGAUUGAAUUGAACGGGUGAGACCGAGGUGUGCGUCCGCUCUCUGCUUCGGCAGACUGUAAGCCAUGAGGACGUCGUGCCGCGGUGCUUCCCGUUGCGUGCUUCGGUUCUUCUCGCAGUGGGUGCUCGUGCUUCUGUACAUCUGUUACCAGAAGAAGAAGAAGCAAGAGAGGCAUCAGAAGGCAUGUGUGAAUCCGAAACAUGCAGCCUUGACUUUGAGAUAUGACUCACAUUUGUCUUUCACCAUUCACACACCCAACUUCUAUCUUACCUUUGGAAUUGAUAUGGAACAUUAAAAAAGCUGUGACCAAACAUUUGUUUCUUCCGAUCAUUUGACUAUUCUAUUACUGAUGGAUAUAUGUGACAGAUGUUGUAAGAUGAAGAUUGGAAGAAUUGGAGUGUGCAGAAGAAGUAAACAAUCAUUACUGUUUUCUCAUGGAAAAGGAUUGGAACAAAUUACCUGCAGAUGGCUUUUGACAUGAGAUAUGCUUAUUCCUUUUACGCCCAUUAACUGUUGAAUUCUCUUUGGAGUUGCUUCUGCAGGAAUGUAUGUACGUAAACAAGAAAGAUUUAGUCUGUUUGCACAUUUCGAAGAAGAAGAAGAAGGAAAACAGAGUCUUCCGAUGUGCUCGUGAGAGAAAGCAGUCAUUGGCGACUUACCCGUUUCUCCUCCGAGGCAAUCGACUGCUUCGACAAAGCACCGAUGCAGCUCCUCCGUCCAUCGCAUGCGAGGAGCGUCGGUUCUGUUGUACUGCCUCACCCUUCUUCCCAAGAAUCUCAUGCCUUGAUCCGUACUCCUCCUUCCCGAGGUAUCUUGAUAUCUUGGCCGAGCCGAUGAAGUUGUUUAUGUAGGAGGGAGGCUUCUGAACUUUACGACAGGACUCGGUCAAACAUUCCCAAAGCCCUCCAAAGAGGUAGAAGGAAUGCCCUGCGGUUCGAGAAAAGAACAGCAACGACAGUACAAUACCAUGUCCUUUUGAAUAUGGAGACGAAGCUUAGCAUUGCUGUCAGGACUCAAAGAGCCACCAGCCAUGUAAGAGAAACUGUCAAUGGUUGAAUGAUUCCACAGACCUCGUUCCCACGAAUGCGUUGAAUGGCAUCGCUCCCUCCCUAUUCAUGGAUGCGUAAAGCAUCGGUUUCCACAUGAAGCACUGUAGCACAGGGCAGAUGGAUCGCGGAGGUCCAAGAAUACUUUUUUCUCUUCCCUCUUCUGGAUCAUGUUUCCGUACAGAAACAGAUCUUUUGGUACGGUGCGACGACUAGGAAUGGUGCGUCUUCGUCGUGCUUGUUUCAUGGCUCGAAGCUGAUGGAUUACUUUAUGCAGCUUGUGGUUGACAUGAAAGCCUUGCGGGAGUGAAAUGCUGACAAAGGAUGCCGCCUUUGGCUCACUUGUCCACGACAACAGAGAGAAGGUUUGUGAGAGAAGCAAACAGCACGGCGGCGUCGUCAACGAUAGCCAUCUCAAUCGAGAACGACUUAGAGAUCAUUCUCAGGCACCAACCCAGCAAAGAUGAGGAUCCAAUCAACAUGGUCAGAGCCAAUUCUCAAUCACACCAAAGAUCUUCUCUCUCCUCUCUCUUUUUCCUACUUUUUAUCUAGAAAAAUUAUCUGAUUUAGACAUCGGAAGGAUCGAGUUGAAUCCACUUAGAUCUUCGCUUAUGAGGUUAAAAUUUUCCGAAAUGCAUAUCUCACCUUUUCGGAUCCUAUCAACCGUCUUUUCUUCCUCCACCAUUAAUCAAAAUACUUGUCGAGGAUAAUUGUUACCCUCUAAAACUAGAUCGAAUUAUCUCUGUAAUUCACAUGACUUUCGGAUAUCGUUAAGAGGUCAUGGAUAUGUAUAAACAACAAUUAAAAACUGAGAUAGAACAAAGGAAAUCACUGCUGAACUCCAUUGAAUGAAUUGGAGAAGAGAUAGACUUCCAUUAGAGAGGUUCUUCACGCUUCACCGAUCUCUAAAUAGUGUUCAACCACCUUUUUGUUGGCUUAUGAUUUGACUCACAUAACAAUAACUAUGGGAGAAACCCAAAGCCGAAAAGCUUACCCAUCAACCUCGAGAUAUGACUUUUACACAUUAAUUCCUCCGAUCUAUCCAAUGAGUUCAUUCCAUGUAAUCCAAAGACGGUGCCUACUUUUGAACUUGUUUCGUUUGCUUGCUUGCCGUGUCUGAACCAAUCAACUUGUCAUUAAGCGAAGGAGAAUUAGUAGGACAUCAAACCAACACAUUCUUCGCACCACCAAAAGACCAAUAAGAAAAGCAGCACAGCUGCUUCCUGAGCUUUUGGGUCAACAAUGUGAGUUAGAAGGAUACGAAUUAGUUCGAUUCAAACAAUCCAAUAAAAAAAAAGGUCAGAAAAUUCAACUCCUAUUUGUCCCAAAGAUUGGAAGGUUGAAUAAUCCUUUUUAUAGCCACAACCAAAGGAUAUGAGACUUCAAAGAAAAAAAACAAAAAGAUCUGAUUGCAUCAGAACUUUCAGUACUAUCUAACUUGUAAAGACUAUAAAUCAUCAUAACGUAUGAAUAUACUCGACAUUUAUCAGUUUAAGCUUUAAGCUUUUGUCUGAGAUAAAAAUGGUUGUGUGUGAUGUAUCUUCAGAAGAAACAGUGCUAAGAAAAUGCUGAAAUAGAAUUUGGCAAGAGAAUAUUUGUAGAACGUCGUGAGGCUUCGAAUUGGUCACUCGAUAUCAACUUAAUUAAAAGGAAAAGAAAAGAGAAUUAUAAUUAGUUGAUGAGAGUGGAUCAUCUUCAAUCAGGCAUUGUCAAUGAGACUGCAGUGAAUGACCUUAGAGAAGCUUGGCUUUAGCUUUGCGUCGACUUCAUUGUACUGUCGAGUUGCUUCCUUCCUCUGUUUGACUUCAGAGGAAGGAUCUCUUGAAACUGAAUGAAUCAAGAAGGAUUGUCAGAACUUUAUUCAGAGAAUUAUCUUAUAGAUUUUGUACUUAUUCUUCUUACUCGAUUGGAUUGACUUGUGCUCUAAAAACUUGUUCUUGUUGUUAUAUACUGUCACUACUUGUACUUUUGGUCUUUUCUCUCCUUGUUCCUUUGUAUAAACUCCCCUUCUACAAAUGAAUAUUUCUCAUCUUUUAUGUCAAGAACAAAAACAACAUGAUUUUUGUUGAAAUGUAGGAGAAUAGAAAGACAGCUGAAGCCCAACUCUUUUCUCUUUGGUAAGAGUCUUGAAAGCAAUGAUCAGAGACAGCAAUCUAGUGCAAAUGUGGAGACUUACAUGCUACCUUUUAUGACCCAACUACUCCAGGAAAAUGGUGUAAAUGUGGUUGACUUUUGGCUGCAAAGCAUACAAGUAGAUAAUUUGACUUUUGCUAAUGAAAAUAUCUUGGAACACUGCUCACCAUGUCAACCUAAACCUACAUUACAUGCAUACAAUUCUGUGAUUAGUGAAACUAAUCCUCUAUAAAAAAUUUAUAAUCAACCAUCUUAAAUGUGUUUCUAGAAAUCUUUGUUGAUCGUAAAUUUUAUUUUGUAUUCCGAAAGACCUCGAAGAAGCGUUUUCAAAUUAGUCUAAAGAUUAAAUAGUUGACUCAUAAAAUAUUCUAAUAAAAAAUUGAUCAACAGUCAAGUCAAGAUAGACGGCAUAAUCACGGGUUCAUUGUCAAAAUAAAAAUUUAAAUCUCUAAAAAAAUUUAAAAAUAAAAUUCAGAUUUAAUGAACGAUGAUCGACCUUCAAGUAUACGAGACAAUUCUGAUUAUGACAAAAUUAAUUAAUUAUUUUAUCGAAUGGUUCCCAUGAGUUGGGCAUGGAUACACUAAUUAUUGCUAUCCAAUCUUACCUUUUUUAAGACAAAAAUUCGAUUUAAAUCUUAAUUGUAUUACACAUUCUAUUAAGAUAACAUUAAAAGCGCAACGUUUCAAUUUCCAUAAUACGUUCUGUAAUAUUCAACUUUAUAUUUAAAAGCAUAAUAUGUAUAUAUAUAUAUAUAUAUAUAUAUAUAUAAUGAUAAAAAUAUUAGCAAAUAGGGGCAUGUAAUAAAAUAUAUUAAUCUAACUCGGUCCUGAAUGAAGAGAAUGCCGUGGUGGACCGGUUGAUUAGACCGGUCCAGAUUUGGAAGCAAAUCGGUCCGGUUUUCUCUCUCUCUCAAUUUUCCCGUUUCCCUCUUAGAAGACCGAUUUAAAUUUCGAAAUCCACUCCCAUUCUUCCUCAAAUUCCCGUUUCCGGUCGAAACGAAAGCCCUCGACGACGGACGAGAAGAAAGAAGGCGAUUGCGAACUCUGAUCGCGCAGGGUUUCCGAGGAGUCUCCCGUCAUCUCCCUCGAUUGCUCCACCCCAUGAAGCGCUCCAAGUUCCGCGUCAUCGAACAGGUCCUGGGGUUCUUCGAAUCCGUGCUGAUGAGUUGCUUCUUCGGUUGCUUUCGGAUCAAAGAUGAUGCUCGGAGGAAGACCGAUUCAUGCGCCAAUUCGAUCUCCUCCGAGGACAGGGUAUGAGAUGCUUGUCCGUUCUUUGUUUGUUCGAAUCAUGUGUCUUUCACUGGUAUUUAUGGGGUGUUAUUAUGUGAUCUAUUAGGUUUCUUUGGUAUCAACAAAGGAGCUUGCGUCUGAUUCCUUGUUUCGAGGUAAAUGUCUGAUCCUUGAAAGGAAAGAUAGUUAUUUUGAAUGGUUUGUGGCUUGAAUCUCGACUUUAACUUCUCUAACAAAUCCUGAACUUUCUCGGUCAGAGCAAGAAGCAUAUUCGUGUGUCGUGGAGAAUAUUGAAGAAAGUAGCUUUCAGAAGGAUCUUGAGAUUCAGGUGUGCAACUGCGAUCCCGUUUGUUCUUGAAUAGGAUUUGUUGCAUCGAAUCUGCUCACUUUAGACUGAUAUUGCCAUCAUGGAUUGCAUGUGUGGAUGAAGCAGCAAGUCUUGUUUACCAUGUCACUAGGCAUCAAUUUUGCUAGUUUAGUUCAAUCACGUACUGAUAUGAACGCCUCGUGCAUGCUUUGGAUAGUUGAAUUUAUUAAUUGAUUACAAUAUUAUGAUUACUUUUACGUAUAAUUCAUGUAAACCAACUACUCUACUUGUACUCUGUUCUUAUUAAGAAAUGUAUUUCAUGGCCUUCAUGUCGGAUUUAUUAUUGAGGAUAAUGUUACAAAGCCCUGGGUUUCCUUGCAUUUGAGUCUUUAACUUGUUAUGUUAUGUUAACCCUAUCAUAUGCAUUUGGGUCUUAACUUGUUUUGCUUGAUAAUUGGCUAAAUAUCAUAUUCUUAUUGCUUUGAUUUAUACAACAAUCAUUUAGUUUUUCAAGUUAACUGAAGAAUGACACUAUUUUUUUGAUGAAUUAUUGCCAGGCUAAAUUUCUAAAGAAUUGUGGUGCACUAUCAAAAAUUCCUGAAGAAAUACUGAGAACGCCAAACAAAAUAUUUUCUCAGGCAUCUAAGGAUGAUUCGUCUCUUAAUUUCCCCUUGCGACUUCCUGGAUUAUACGGAAUGGAUGAUAAUUUGGACGAACAGAGUGAUCCAAGAGCGCACAGCGUGGAGAAACUGGACGAUAGUUUUGGACUGUCAGAAAAUGAAUUUGAAGGGUAAAAAUUUUUCUUCCCUUCUUAUAGGUUUAAAUAUCUACAAGUUCUAUUAUUUAUUUAAUUUUAACCUUUAGUGCUGAUGAUUAUACUUUUGAAUGUUAUGUAGCUCUAUCUUAGAGGAACAAGAGACAGUAAGGAAGGUUCUGCAAUUUGAUGUGAAUAAGCGUCUAUCUCAAGUAGAUCCUGCGCCGGAUCUUGUUAAUUUGGAUAUUUCUCCUUCUCGUGGUGAUAGCAAGCCUCAAAGGGUUGAUUCUAGUGAUUCACCUUAUCCUACUCCAUUGAAUUUAACCAAUGAAAUGCAGACCCCUGGAACAGUUUAUCCAGUGAAUCUGGAUAGUCUUAGAACCGGAAAGCACACCAGGAUCCGCACGCAAUAUGUAUAUCCUGUUUUGAAGCCUGUGGAGAAUUUGCCUCAGUGGGAUGCACUGAGACGAGGCUCUUGCCAGCAUGUUCAGUCGGAUGAUUCCUUUGAGCAGCAGUUGAGUUCCAGAACAGAUAGUGUAGAGAGAAGAAACAAGGUUUUCCUGACUCCAGCUCGUCAGGAUUCACAGUUUAUCAAUUCAUGGUUGCUAUCUUCCCGUGGAAAGAAAAAUCAAGAUGGAGACAGAAUCUUUACAGAGAAAUCUGUUGACAAGAUAAUGCCACCUGACUUGACACUAAUUUCAAGUGGCAGAGAUCGAGUAGACGUUGAACCAGAUACUCCAGAGCUCAUAAUCUCAAGCUUAUCUCGGUGGCUGAAGCCGAAGCCUCUUAAAAAUAGGAAUUUUGAUGUUACUGCCUUCAUUUCUAAUGAACAGUCUUGUCCUGUGAUGAAUUUUGAUGCUGAGAGGCCUAUAAUCGGAACUGUUGCUGCACAUUGGACUGACGACGAUGCCUGUUCUAAUUCCCAUGGGCAUUGGAAUGGUAAUGGAAUUCCAAAUUCAACAACCAAGUAUAAGGAGGUACUUAUUCUUUAGUUUUGUUUUACAACAAGUGCUUCGUUGUGAUGAAGGUUUAAAAUAAAUUCUGUUCUCAUUAUUAGGAUCAGCGAGUUAGUUGGCAUGCGACGCCUUUCGAAGAAAGAUUAGAUAAGGUUUUAUCUGAUGAGAAGCUUUUGCCUCAAAGGUAUAUUACACCAUAUGUAAUUCAAGCCAUCUGUUUGUUUUAUUUAGUUUUUCUAAUCGCAUGCUUAUGGUUUUCAGGAAGCUUCUAUAUAGGGAACCAAUAGAGUCAGAGGACUAGUACUGUGGCAACCUAAGAAGAUUGAGCAUGCUAUAGGAGUUUUGAGGAGUCCAAUUGUCUUGCAAAUUGAUAACAGAUUGUGGAAUUGGGAUAGCAUAUUCUUGCACUCAUUCAGCACAACUGCUUGUUCAAUCGAGUCUGGAUUUACUUUUGUUGUAUAUUGACAUCCUUCAAAAGCUUACUGGUCAGUCAACAAAUGUUUACAUCUUGGUAUCAGGUUAACCUUAUUGCUGUUAUACUUGACUGCAGUACAUCAGAAAUUGAUGCUGAAGAUCUGUAUAAACUUGGGCCAAGUUUUAUUUUUUUAAUUAAAGUUACCAAAAUAUUUCUGAAUUAGGCUUUUCUAAUGUUUCUUGAUUUCUCAAGUUAAUUUUAAAUUCAGAUUCUGAGGUUUUGAGUGCAAAUACGGACAGAUUCACUCCAUAUUGAUUCGAUUACUUGUGUGUGGUUUUCCAUUCGUCUUCAGUACAAUAUGGAAUUAUGCUGUUGGAAGGAUUCUGAUGGCUUACAGUGUAUCAAAUCUUUGUUCCUGUAGUUAUACCCAAGUAGAUUGCAUGUUGCUCAUACUAUACACAUGCUUCUAGUCUUUUUUUAAUUUUAAAUCAGCUUGAUCAUUCAUCAGGCAAUCCAAUCUAAAAUUGUUUUAAUGUAUCCAUAGCUUUUGAUGAUGAUAUUAACAAGUUUUGCAUGAAACAGUGUUCUGUAACUGCUCAGGCAUGCUUUGUUUCUUCAUGAUUAAUUAGCUUUUAGGCUAAUUGAAGUUGGGUGAUUACACAUCAAAUAAUGGAUUAAGAAAAAUGGUUGACAUUUUUUCAAUGCCAAAUAAUAAAUUCAUAUAGGAUACUCUAUAUAUACUUGAAUGAGAUUUUUGCUUCGGUGAAGCUACGAGAAUUAUUGAGAUAAUUGUCCUACCCAAUUGAUAUCGAUGCUUGUAUGAAGGUAAAGUUUGUUGUUUGACAUGUUGUUAGCUGUAGGGAAACAUGAACAGGCCUUGCUAGGUACCACUUCUUAAAAAUCUGCAGUCUGUGCAGAUAUGUUGGUUCAUGAAUGAAGAUUCUUUUCCUUUUUCAUUUCUUUCUUCUCUUGCUUUAUGUGCUAUGAAGGGUUGUAAAUUUGGAAUUGGAUUCAUUUUUAAACUUAAUCAUGUAACAAGGUCAUGAACCAGCACUUGAUGUAUACCAGACCUAAAUCUGCAGUUUGUGCAAAUGGCUUGAAUUCUGGUUGAAUAUUUUCUUUUUGUUUCUCUUGCUCAAUAUGUUCUGUUUCAAGAUGUAGCCUCAGAGAAUGCAAAUUCUGAAUUGUUCAGAUAGCUACUCUCUUGUCAUUCUUUCACUUGCUGUGGUGUUCAAUAUCUUAGCAGGAACAGAAGCAUUACCUGCAACCUGCAUGCUUGAAAUUGGAUAGCACUCACCAUGUAUCAUGGCACCAGAAGGAUUUUUGCCUCUCAGCACAGAUCUUGCCAUUGAAGCACAUACUGUAAUAGUUAGACAUAUAUUUAUAUUACUGUGAAGAUAGUACAAAUUGAGACUCUUGUCAAGCCACAAAAUGCCCAUUGUAAUGCAAUUAUGUGACCAGGUUACAAAGUUUCUGCAUUGAUAAAUUACCUUUUAGAGUGAUCAGAUCAAUGAAACUAAAUGUCAAAAUUUUAUUUUCCAGCAUAUGGUGAGAUAUACAGAAAUGAAACUAUGACAAAUAUCAUACAAGGGGUCUUUGAAAUAUGAGCAUCACAUGGUCAAACAUUGGCCUUAAUGAAGUAAGCCUUUGCCAGAACUACCCAGCUAGAGAUAACAAGGAUGAGAAUCCAAUGAACUCUCACCACUCCAAAUCCAACAAAACCUCAAACAUGGUGGAACACAACAUAUCCUAUAAGCCUUAGGUUAGCAAAGGGGUUGGAAGAGGUGAAGUCCCCAAGUCCUUGUCCACAAAACUCAGCCAUAGGAAGGAUUCAUUUGGCUACAGUACAAAGGGCAGCCAUGUGCCUCUCUCUCUCUAUUGAUCAUAUGCAGAGGCAUGUGGUCCCUCUUUUGAGGGCUUUGCCCAUGUCUCUAAUGGCUGUCAUCUGCAUGACACUGGAACCACCCUUGGGAAAAGACAAGCCUACAUUAAUCCAUGCACAAGACACUAAGCUAAUUGGCAUUUGGAGCUUCGAUGCUGUCACUGACAUUGUUAUCUCAAUGUCUUUAGGGGGUUCCUGUUAGAAGAAAUCUUUCUUUUUGGACAUUGGACAUGCACAGAUGGACUGUUGUCCAUAGGAACUGCUCAAGAUAGAUGACAAGCUGAACAGAGUAUGUUUCAAGAGGGUUUGCAUCCAUAGAUCAAUAACAAGCACGACAAGAGCACAAACUAGUACACUAUACCAUAUUUGCUGCUCUACUACUGUUGCUUCUGUCCAGCCAGUAUACAAAGCCUUCAUGAUCAUCUUCGAUCGUGAGGUCCUCAUGUUGUAAUCAUACGAUGUUUGCCUGUGUAGGGGGGAGAUGGAAGAACUUGUUUCGUUUCUCUUUUACUGCAAGCAUUUAAUGAAGUGAACAUUACACAAGCCAAACAAGGACGAUUUGCUUACAUCAAAUGAGAGAUGCACUCAGACAGCCAAAGAGGUCCUCACAUCUUUGCUCACGUAACUUUGUUUUGCAUGAUGUCCUCCCCGUCGAUGUUGUUCUGUAGUUGCUGCUGCUGAUGAAACCAACAAAACCAUUCCAUCAGCAAUGGCUACUAUUGCUGUAAUUUCUAAAACAAGUUUUUGUUAUGAUGUUGUAGUUGUAUCAUCUCGAGGGAAGAACUUUUGUCUGUGUUAUUGAGUUUUUGUCUCGAGUUCGGGUAACGCAGGAUCGCGUUAGAUCAGUGACGACCAGCGUAAAACUAUGUCGGAUUGAAUAUAAGAGGAGUGUCUGUCGAUAUCGUUGUUUUGUAGAGAGACCAGAGUCACUGUCACUAGCUGUAGGAAGGGACCGAAAGGCCACCAAUAGAUAGAUACACUGAAGUAAUAUAUUGCAAGAAGAGGGGGAUUCUUGGUGACGAGGUGCAUUUGUAUGAGGAUAUAGAAGAGUCCUCUGGGCUGCAACCACCAUGCAUGGCUUGCGAUGGAGCAGACUCUCUCAUCUGCUUCCUACCUCUACCACCCUGUGGUGGUGGCAUGUCAAAGCCCACACUUCUCUUUUUUCCCUCAUCAAUCUUCUCAUUUUUGGUUCUCACACCCUCUUCUCCCCCCCAGUUCUUGCCUUAUAAUUCUCUUUGUUGGUGUGAGAGGUUGAAGCUGCCAGCAUGAUCUGGUCCAGAGUUGUUGUUUCAUGGUUCAGACUUUAGAGCUCCCAUAAGCAUUAGCUGUAGGAAGAUUACUCAGCCUGAUCAUGGUGAUGGGAUCAAAACCAGUAGAUGUUAGAUUAGCUUCCAUUCCACCAUGAGAGAGUGAGGAAGAAAGAGAAAGAUGACCAGUUGGUUGGACUCCAUCAGAUCAUCUGGCAGUUUCAAUCACUCACUCACCAACAGAAGGUUUCACUUUCUGGUUCUCCUCAUGACAGGCUGAAUGCUUGCUCAUAAUUUGCAGAGAAAGCUCACAAAAGGUACAAACUAUCUGCAAAAGUAUUCUCAAUCUUUUUCUUCUUUUGAUUUCUUUUUACAUACAUAAAAUCAAGCUGUUGAUUUUUCCAUCCUCACCAUUCUCUGUCAGCAAUGAAUCAUAAUUGAAGUUAAUAUACAGUCAAGAUUCAUGCAUGUAUACACAUUAGCAACAGAUCCACCAAAUCACAUCUCUGAUACAGACAGACUAUAGGGUUGGAUGAAAACUCUGUGCUCUGUUCCAUGGUUUAGAGAAUAGAAAAGGAUGAGACAGAAGGCAUAUUAGUACACAGGUAAAUUUUGGUGGUGUCCACUCAUGCCCACAUAUGACAGAAUGUAAUGGACAUGUAUAAAAAAUAACACCAUUCCAUAUUGUUGAAAUCUCAUCACUGGUGUUUCAGAAUUCUAGGCAGACACUAUCAUCACCAUAUCCAUCAGUCUGCCCCCAUCAGAUUUUGACACCACAUAUAUGUAGCUGUGAAUUCAUUACAAUUUUAUCGGGGGGGACGAUAUAAUAAUGAUACAUAAGACCUAAAGGUAAGGUAUUUGAGUAGUAUCAAGUGAACAUUCAUGUUUUAGUAGAUCACACAAGUUUUACUCAUUGUUAGAAUGCAGAUGAGUCUCUGCAUACAUGUAAAUUAUACUAAACAAUCUUACAGAUCCAAUUUGGUGGUGAGAGAAGCUACUUUCAUUGUUGUCAGCAAACUAAAAUGCUAUUGGACUCCAUGACCAUCAGCACUAUCACACAGUGGUUGGAGCAGCAUAAAGGGAGUAAGUGAAUUACUGCUCACUUCAGUAAUCAUACACAGUUUUCUUGGCAAUUGUUUUUGUGUUCAGCUUCUGAACCUGAAGAACAAGCAGAAGAUUAAUUCAGAAUGUCUUGCCUAAUAGUCCAAAAUUGUGACUGUUAUCCUAGCUGGCCUUCUAACCCCAUUGUCUUCUCAAUAAGAUCAUAAACUUUUGGUACCCAAAAGAUUUGACAUAUGGUUGACCUCCCUGCUGACCCUGGCUUCUCAAUGUAUCAGCAUAACAAUCUGUAAGACACUCCUGAUCCUUGUUUCUUUUCACUUGGGGAGUUCCAAGGACUUGGAUCAGUGAGUAAUCUCUCCUAGCAUUCUCCAGGAAGAAAAGACAAAUUGAAGGUCCUGAUAGUGAUCCAAAUCCUUGUGUAUCAUGGUGUCUAAAUAUUUCGAAGAAACGCGGAAAAAUAUUGUUCUCCCAAUGCAGCCAGUUUCAGUUUUUCAGUCUAGUUUGAGUCAGGUGAGGUAAGGAUCGAGGUGAUUAGGAGUGAGUUGGACUGGUUUGUGAAACUAAUGUGUUCUUAUAUUUUUGCAGCAAUCUUUAAAUGAAGGAAAUGGCUAAUUAAUCCAAUACAAAAUGGUUCAUCUGAAGAAAGAUUAGGCAAUGCAGAUGAAAAUGAAGCAGACACAUACAUAAUUAAAGCAUGAGACAACAACCUUUUUCCUGGAUACACAAAGAUCUGCUGUUUGUUGUGUAUGCUGCAUAUGCAGCAGCAUUCUGCAAGAAAAUAUUAAUGCUUAUAUUCCAUUGGCAGACAUUGCUGCAUCAACUGUGGCAGUUCUACUGUUCCUCAUAAUGCUAGCAAUUCAUGUGUUUCUCAAAAGAAAAACAAUCCAUGUGCCUUUGUUUGCUGCUUCAGUUCCUUCCACAAUGCCAUGGUUUCCCUGUUGAAAUCACACAGGUGGAUUUAUUCUGCACCUUUUUUUUCUAGUUAUGGAUAGUAAAUAGGAAACCACAAAACCUAGAGAACAACAUACUGCAAGGACAUCCUGCUCAUCAACCCCAUCCCUACCAGAUGAACUGAUGAGCUUCCUCCACAUCCACAACAAUAAGCCAACUCAGAAGAACAUCAUUCUAUUGCUCAAAAGAAAGCUCUGAUUUCUUUUGCUACAUUGGCAAUUCACUGUGACUUAGUUAUGAUGAUACUCGAUCACACUUAACUUGGAAUUAUGUGUGUUAAGUGAAGGAAGAAAGAGAACAAAAAUAUAGAAGAAGACCAAUAGAUCUCAGUUUCUCAUCCAUGUUUUAAGCUUCUCAUUGGGAACAUGAGAUCAAUCUUGCAGAAGGGUCGGAUGAACAAGAAAACAGAACUCUUUAACACCAACCAGAACAAGUUUCAGAAUAUUAGGAAGAAGGAUGGUGAGGACACAUGAAUUCAGCUAAAAAUUCAGGCCUGAAUGAAAUGUCAGCAUCAUGAUGUCUCAAGAAUGUCGUGUUCUUCUCCUUGGAUACAUGUUGGCAAAGAGCAUGAAGGGACAUGUGUGUGGUAGGAGUUGGUGCAACAGGUCUUGAUAACACCACCAAUUAGCCCUAAGCAAGCAUGUGGUUUGCCCCUCCUUGCCUCACAAAGCCACUGCAACCCACAGACUCCUUUCGCUACCAAAAGAUGUUGGUGUUUCAUCUCAGAAACAAAAGCGUCUUCGUUUUUCUACUCACUCAUCACUGAUUGUUGCGGUUUGGUUUGGUUUGGUUUCCAUCACCAUAGCCUAAAUGAUUCGGACAGUCGUAAUAUGUUGCCAGUGGCUGCACAUCUCCACCUUAUCUUCGUCGUCUCCCACCCACCCAUCCAUCCAUCUACCAUCGGAUGGCUGCUGCCCGUCUUCUCUUUUCCUUCCUUCCUCCUUCAUCCUCUUCCUCUUCCUCUUCCUUCUAAUCGAUACUGGUCUGGUCUUGCUUACCAUCAUUACUGCAGCGUUCAUCAGCUUCGGGUACCAACCUGCAGGAUCUUGGCAAGCAAGAUACAGAGAUUACAGUGAGCAUCACGCUGACACCAACCUGUGCGUUUCUAGAUGCAAAUUCAAUGGUUCUUGUGAUAAGCAUCUGUCACAAGAACACACAUAGUGUAGAGGAUGAUCACCAAGAGGCAAAGCACAUUCAAUGGCUCUGACAGGUGAUAAAAAGAGUUUUCAGGAUCAUCCUAUUGAAUUGAUGAUGACGAGGAACUGAAGUGUUGAAUGAAAAGAAGAAGUCUUCCUUCUUUCUUCUGCUUGAUUAACAAAAUCUUCAAAGAUGGUCAACUCCAGAUUACUUUACCUGUCGUGGGCUAAUUCUUCCUUCCUUGUGUGUUCUUACUGGGCUACUACUAUGUUCCCACUGCAUCAACCAAUCACAGUGCUUUUGAUCUUAAUCAUUUUGAUGUAAAAUGUAACAUGUAUAGAGCAUAUAUAUAUAUAUAUAUAUGUAAAAUGUAAUCAUAAAAUGUAAGAUAUAUAUAUAUAUAUAUAUAUAUAUAUAUAUAUAUAUAUAUAUAUAUAUAUAUAUAUAUAUAUAUGGAAAAAGUUGACCUUUUUAUUUGGGAUUUGGAAGAAUAAUAUUCAGAUUUUUUUUUGACAUUUUUGUGAUUAAUUAAACAAAGAAAAAGAACAGAAAAAAAAGGAAGCCUUACGAAGCACAAACGAACAAAAGAAACGAGAAUGCUUCCGCAUUCAGAUAUUGUUGGAGACAUUCUCGAUCGUUCGUCUCUUAUCACACGCUCUCUCGCUCGCUCGCUCUCUCUCUCUCUCCCUCCUCGGUAUCACCUUCCCACAUAUAGAUAUGGGAACGUGCAAUUGAUUCUUGCUUCUUUGGUUCCCUUCACAAGCUCGGUGUCAUCCAUGUCAGUCGCUUCUCCUCCAUGAUUCUUCACAUUCUUUUUCUCGUUUUGACGUUGGAUUACGCCUGAAGCGGAGCGGGGGAGAAAAAUGUCGCCUUUUUGCGCUUUAAUCUUUUCUUUCAUUGUUGAUGUUGCCUCCACUGAUGGUCACUGUGUGGCCGGCGACGCUGCGGUUUUCUUCUGAUGAAGCUGUUACGACGAGUCUGUCGAGCAUUUUGGGAUUAGUUUAUGUUUAGUGUCAUGCACGAUCUGUCUGCGCGGAAUGUGUUCUCGAGGUGGAAUCUUUGUCGUGAAAACAAUACAAAAAGGGCUAUUUUCCCCUCUUUUAUUGGGUAAAUAAGCCAUCAGCUUGCGUUGGGAACGGCUACCUUAAUAAUAGCUGUAAGGUGAUCGAUCCCUUAGCUCUGAAAUUAUGGGGGGUCAAGACAUGAUUAGGAGGUUGAAGAACCCUUGUUGAUGAUUUGCUUGGGCCAUGCAAAUGAGAACCGGACCCUUUUUGCUUUAGAUUUUAUGCUCUUUCGAACAUAGAAAGCAAGAACAUUUGUCUUUUGUCUUCUUGUAAAGAUUUGUAAUUCUUUAGUUGAGACUGUGGGAAAAGCAGAGUUCGGGCUAGAAAACAGAGAACAUUAGCUCUCUGUGCUGCAGUAUGGGAUCAUAGCCCUGUGGCCUGGUGCUGCAUACUGGUUCAGAAAUCAUGGCAUCUUAUUAUCUAGUUAACAGAAGAUAUGAUAUUGGUAAUAUGGUUUCUUAAGUCUAAGAUCUUCAAAUUGUUGAUAUCUAGUUUACCAACUUUCUGUAAUGCCCUAUUAUGGAAAUGGGUUAUCCACUAGAAAGCUUAUUUCAUGGACUACCAAAGUAUUUGGAAUCAAUCUGUUUAAUUAUGAUUUGUUUUCUUGGUACCCUUUCUUGUAGGUUUACCAUUGAGGCUGUCUUGAAUGGUCCAUUUCCAAGAUCAAGAUUCAGCGUAAGUGGCUCCGAAAGGACUUUAAGACAAAGAGGCAAGGAUCCCAGCAUCACUCUUGGGGAAGAGAGAAAACAGAAUAUUUUUCUUGACAAACGUGGGAAAUGGAGAAUCUCUAAUCCCAAAAAGUUGUCCAGGAAAAAGGGUAUGACAAUAUAUUUUCUGCAACCGAGAGAACAAUCACUGUAAAACUGUUAUAUCUUAAUUUUGCAACCUUGCAUACCACAAAGCUCCUUUCGUUUGUACAAUUAUAUAGUUUUCUAGUUUAAUGUACCUCAGAAACACCUACUUCUGAUAUUAUUUUGGGGCAAGAUGUUGGUGAAUUGCCCAAUGCAGUGGCAUCAAAUUAAUUGGUACAUGAUAACUUUCAAAGUCACAGCAGUUUAACCUGAUCGAUAGAAGCUGCUUGGAAUAGCCAAUAAAAUUUCACUGGACUUUUGGAUAGAACUUCUCACAUGUACAUAAAUUUAUAUUUAUGUGCCUUUUUAGUAAUAGUUAAAUUUGAUUUCAUUGUGUUCUUGGCAAGCUUAGUUUGAGAUCACAUCACAAACUUUUUGGUAACAAUUUGCACUACAUUAAUCUUUUUUCUUAUUAGGUGGUUCGCUAAGGGGACGGGGAUGGAAAUAUGGAUCUGGAUUUGUAGAUGGAGUUUUCCCUGUCCUGAGCCCCAUGGCUCAGCAGAUUCUAAAGUUUGUACAGAGGGAAUCCGAUGCUGCCAAAAUUUGGGCUUCACUUGACACUCUCCCUCCUACUCAUAAUUUGUGGGAUGAUCUUAUUAGUAUAUCUGUUCAGCUUCGUCUCAACAAACAUUGGGAUCCUAUUAUCUCCGUAAGGAUCAUCUUCCAUUUUGUUAUUGAAACUCUUGUUUUCACUCAUUUCACCUGUGAAUUAAUGAUGCGUUAGAUACAUAUUUGUUCAUGUUAUCCAAACCUCCUCCUUACUUUUUCAUAGUUAUUCAGUAUUUUUUCUGAUUUGGUUGAUCACCUGGUCACCGUUUAAUUGACAUUCUACUUUCGAGGACAGUGUGUCAGCUCCUGGCACAUAUUCUGAUUUAUACUCUGGAUCAAAAAUUCGUAGUCCCAGAAGGGCUGCUGGAUUGGAUUCCAAUUUUGAAUCAAUUAGCCCAUGUACACGAGUAGUUCUUUUGUUAGUCAGAAACAAUGUCCUGUGUAUUUAAUAUAUGCCGAAUAUAUCUAAAUUCUUAUUCUUUUGAUCACACAUCACAAAGGUCUUUACAUAUUUGCUUUUCUUUUCUGUUCAUGUCUGAAGAUUUAACUUCUUGGAAUUGUCAUAUCUAGGUCUGUGAGUGGAUACUGUACAAGAGUUCCUUCCAUCCUGAUGUACUGUGCUACAACUUGCUUAUAGAUGCAUAUGGCCAGAAGUUGCAACACAAGAAGGCAGAGUCAGUUUACUUGCAGCUUCUUGAAGCUCACUGCAUCCCAACUGAGGAUACUUAUGCUCUUCUCUUGAGGGCUUACUGCACAUGUGGAUUGCUUGAGAAGUGUGAGGCUGUCCUUACUGAGAUGCGAAAGAAUGGCACUCCUCCGGGUACAUCCCUUCUUCGAUGAUAUCCUUUUGGCACUGAAUUAUAACACUUGGUUGCUCUAGAUAGUUUUCGGAGGUAUUUACGUAUUGCUCAAUUUGUAUCUGUUCUGUAAAGAUCUUCUGAAAGCUAUGAAGUCACGAGUUUAUGCAGAAAGAGCAUCAAUUUUGGUCAGGUGCGGUUGUAUAUAAUGCAUACAUGGAUGGGUUGUUAAAGGGAAGGAACACUGUAAAGGCUGUGGAGAUCUUUCGGAGGAUGAAGAGUGAUCAGUGCCGGCCAUCUACAGACACAUAUACAAUGAUGAUUAACCUGUAUGGGAAGGUAAUGUUUCGGUGCGUCAAUUUGUUUAUCCAAUGCAUGCAAAUCCAUCCCUUUCUCGUAUAUUUUUGAUGGAUUUAUUCUUGCAAUGGCAGGCUAAUCAAUCAGCUACUGCCUUAAAGGUUUUUGAUGAAAUGAAAACUGAAAAGUGCAAGCCAAAUAUAUGUACAUAUACUGCUUUGGUCAAUGCAUUUGCAAGAGAUGGACUUUGUGAGAAGGCAGAAGAAAUAUUUGAGGAGCUACAAGAAGCUGGACAUGAGCCUGAUGUUUAUGCAUAUAAUGCCCUCAUGGAAGCAUACAGGUAAAAUUGAUGAUCUUAAGAUGAUCCUCUGUAAUUAGAGUCAAUGAUCAUGCAGUUAGUGAGCCUAUGAGUUUCCGAUACAAAAGCCGUGCAGGUUUUCCAUUUGGUUCCUAUGAGAUCUUUACUCUGAUGCAACACAUGGGAUGUGAACCAGACACAGCUUCAUACAACAUUAUGGUUGAUGCAUUUGGAAGGGCUGGUCUUCAUGAGGGUAAGAGCAUUUUUCUUGAUAGUGGCAUAUGUUAUGAGUUCUUCCUUUAUUUUGUUGUGGUGUCUAACAACAUAGAUUAUGCUUACACAAUUACAUAUAUAGAAUAAUUUACUUGUGGUCUCCAUGCUGGAUAGUCGCUGCAAUUGGGAACUAAUUUUGAUCAUUAAUAAUCAUUUGUUUCAUUUCCUAAUUCUAAUAUACAUCUGCAAUCAGCAAGCUUCUUGGUCAUUGUUAUCACUCUGCGCUCCAACAUUCCUUGAUGCAUUGAAGUAAUGGAAAAUAAUCAACUUACUUUAUUACUUGGAAGAACUAAACGAAUUUACUAUGCAUCUAUAGGCUUUUAAGCUUUUAGAUGGAUUGGUGGUGACGGAAAUUUUAUAAUUGUCACAACUUUUCUGCAGAAGCCGAGGCUGUGUUUGAAGAACUGAAGCAACAAGGCAUGACACCAACCAUGAAGUCUCACAUGCUGCUCCUUUCAGCCUACUCAAAGGCAGGAAACAUCCCCAAAUGCGAGUUCAUCAUGAACCAGAUGCACAAAUCUGGUCUCAAGCCCGACACCUUCGCGCUGAACUCGAUGCUGAAUGCCUACGGCAGGGUCGGUCGCUUUGAGAAGAUGGAAGAAGUGCUGACCGCAAUGGAGAACAGUCGGUUAGAAGGGGACAUCAGCACCUACAACAUCUUGAUCAACAUCUACGGUCGGGCGGGAUUCCUCAGCAGAAUGGAGGAGCUCUUUCGGUCCCUCGUGAGCAGGGGACUGAAAGCUGAUGUGGUGACAUGGACUUCGAAGAUGAGCGCAUAUGCGCGGAAGAAGCAGUACAAGAGAUGCUUGGAGAUCUUCGAAGAGAUGAUUGAUGCGGGCUGCUAUCCCGAUGGAGGGACCGCCAAAGUGCUGCUCGCAUCUUGUACCACGGAUGAGCAGAUCGAGCAAGUUACUACUGUAAUUAGAUCAAUGCACAAGGAGGCAAGGAAUGUGUUUGAUAUAUGACAGUUUAAUCCAGUAAUCCAUGAGAUAUAUGCACACUGUAAUGACACUACAGACAGUUUCUCCUCUUGUUCACGAACUCAAAUCAAAUUUGAGUUGGAUCCAUUUAAACAUAGAUUGCUUUGUGGGGGUAAGACUAGGUAUUUUGAUCCUUUUCCAGAUCCCGUAUUGACGACAACAUAGAUAGCUUCUGACAGUAUUGGCAAGAACAAUAUCCAUUUCCUAAGCUCUGCAUGGAGACAUGUUUCAACAACUAAGAGAGAAGGCAUCAUCCAUUCAACAAUUCUAUGGAGAGCAAACUAGAAAAGGCAAGCAUACACUUCCACGGAAAACAGUUUCGCAUCUCUGUAGAUCAUUUUGCAAAGGUUCACUAAGUAAACAUGAAGAACAACUUAUUCUGGGUAUUAACAUUUUGAUAGUCUCCAGCCAUUGGACUGAACAGAGCAUGGCUUUAGCAAUAACAUACUGAUAUCUCAUGAUACCAACCAUGAAGAAGAUAAAAUCGGAAGACAAGUUUUGGAGAAGAUAAUGAGCAAGGAAGCAUCUAUAGCAGCAGUUGAGUUAUCCAGGAGGCCAUUUCAACUGCCUUCCACCAAGUACGUGCAAAUGUAGAUGAUAGACUGAUUGACCUGAAAGCAGAAUGACAUGAUCAUGAUGCUGCGGACAAGCCAUAGAUAUCAACAAUCUGUAAAGAAAGAUUGGAGAGACUUACAUGCUUCAGGACCGUUGUUGAUAACAACACGGAAACCAUCUACUAUACCUUCCUUCUCAGCCACUAGUUUUGCAGCAAAUAGAAGAUGACCUAAUACCUCAGCAUGCCUUGGUUCAGCCUGAACAAGUUCGUGAACAUGUUUAAACAUGCAGCCGGGAUAGAAGCUUAUCGAGACAAUACAUAGAUAAAAAUUAAAAAAGACAAUCACAUGUUUAAAAAAUUCUGCUUCAGCACCUCAGAGAAUAAAAAAUCAAUCUUGUAAUAAAUUAGUUCGACAACAUAUACUCAACACAUGAUACAAGAAAUUGCUAUCCAUCCUUCAUUGUGAUUCAUUGCUUUUAUAUACUUAAGUAUCAAAACUGUUCAACAAAAUAAAAGGUAAAGAAAUAGGUCAAGCAGUUAAGUAAGCAGUCAGUCAGGUUGUUACUAAUUUCUAAAGAAGUGGUGACCGAUAAAAUGAAAGGCAACAUGAUGAUGUCCACCUAUGUUAAUUUAUUAAAUGCAGAUGAUCUGUCUAGUCCUUGUUCAGUUAGAUGUUUCAUGGUCUGAUGUCUGCAAGUGUAUGCCCUUUAACCUUCUAACAAUCAAGAGUAGCAUGGCACCAAGCAUCUCACAACGAGAACCCAAUUGCUUUGAUGUAGAAACUAGAAAGUAAUAAUUUUAGUUAAUUGUGGCACAUAUAAACUCAUAAAAGUGGUCAUUGACUGGCUAGUAAUAUACACCUUUUUACCUUCAUUUGAAGCAAUAAAUCUUAUAAAAUACAAUAUAAUACAACAUGGACACAGUAAUUAUUGUAACUUUAUACUUCUUACAUUGUAGCAAUCUCUGAUCGAUCAUACUGUAUAAAACUCAAAAGAAGCAUCACUACCAUUCGUGUAACUAACAAAUUCAGCAAGUGGUAACUUAAAAGUUAUCAAUUACCUACAUAUUGCCAAUUCCCCAUAUAUGCUAAAGCUUUAUGUAUAUGAUGCAAGUGUCCAAGCUACGUGCGAUAUAUUAAAUGUGCAUGGUACAAUAGUCGUAAUAUGUUUGAACUUUCAAACAUGUGUUGAAGACUGUCUGAUAAACAUCAUUGCAGACACAAACAUUUGAAAUUGUUACGCACACUGCAGAUGCUAAAGCUUUAUGUAUAUGAUUUAAGUAUCCAACCUAUGUGUGAUAUAUUCAACGUGUAUGGUACAAUAGUCGUAAUAUGUUGAACUUUGAAACAUGUGUCAAAUACUGUCUGAUAAAUGAAAUUGGCAGACAGACACAAAAAUUUGAAAUUGUUAUGCCUCGUAGGUGCAGUAUGUGGGCCAGCGACUAAGGAAGGCAUUUAUGAUUUCAUAACAAGUCAAAAAACCUAGUUCAAAGAAAAGUAUCAGAUGAGCAUAGAAAUAUAUUUCUAAACAAACGUGAACUCCAAAAACUGACAUAACAAAAUUGACAAGUCAAGGAAAAUAGUUUUUCUAUCUUUAAGUUAUGCACAAAAUUCAAGAGCCUCUAGGAGAGUCAUAACAAAAAAUAUAUUGAACAACACGGUAAUUUAUAAACUUAGAGAAUAACAACACAACAUGGGCUAAAAUUCAACGGUAAAGUAUUAUGAUUUUGUCAUCUGCAAUUUAACGGUGCAGGAAACUAUACUGUGUGGAUAAAGGAGUUGUAGAUGCAGAACGCCAAGCUCCCAGUUAUAAAAAAUAUAUCAGGAGGUUAAUGUCCCAGUGUAUUAGUAUUCUAUUCUCAUAAAUAAUUGUGGAAACAAGUAAUUCACAAUGAUCUUAGGGGCUUAACAAAGAAGAUGGGAUGACAUGUUACCAAAAACCAUUGAAGCAGGAUAUUUUUUCCUUGCAUGAGAAAUGAAGCAACAGAUUUGUUUACAGGAUUCAUUGGAAAACCUCUCAAAAGAUUAUUGAUUAUAGCUAUUCCCUGUUCAUGCUGUCUUGAAAUCUAUCAUCUAGUUUGACAGUAGCUUUAUCAGAGAUUUAUUCCAAACCUUCUAGUUAAGUUGCUCCCGUAUUCUUGUAUCUAGAUCAUCUUAAUGAGCUCUUAUGACUACUUACAGCUGUUAUUACAGCAAAGUGUAUGGAAAAAUUCGGAUUGAGGUCUCUAAAUUUUCAUUAGUAAAGAUCUAAACCAAGGCAAUGGUUAACUAAAUCAGAGGCGCUCGGUUUAUUUUGUUUUCCGUUUCAUCUGUCUAUGUGAGUACUAAUAUUGUUUUUUCUAACUGCAGAAUUUACUAUUAGAACAUAUUAAGCAAUAAUAGAGUAUUUAUAUAGCCGACUAAGAAAGCAUUUUACUGUUUCCGGUACCACAGAAGCACUGUUUUUCCGGAUCUCAUAGUAGACCAUCUUCAGAAAAAUUCUGUUGCCAAGAUAGAGUAUAAAGGCUUUUAAGAAACAUCAAGAGUUCUCCAUUUUCUUAUAUGCUUAACAUAAGCGAUAAACGAAAUAUAUGCAUAAGUGGGAAAAUUUUGUAUACUGUUGUCCUGGCAAGUAGCAAUUCAGUAAAUGUUUGUAAUAGGUCAAGAGCAUUACUUUCUUUAUCUUAUAAAUGAACAGAAUAAAAAUCAGGACGGGCGAUCAAAGGCACCUUUCCAAGUUGGGUCAAUCCAUCCCUUAUCUUUGGAAUCACCAGAAUGUGAACUGGAGCUUGAGGGUUAACAUCUCGAAACGCCAAUACCUUGUCAUCUUCGUAAACAAUUGUGGACGGAAUCUCCUUUGCUAUUAUCUUAUCAAAUCUAAACAAGAAAAAAGAAAGAUAGAUACAUUAAUUAUCUAAUGUUAAAUCAGUCAACUAUGUCAACAGAGUAGGACAUCAAGCCUCUGCAAGAUGUAAUUUUUAUCCAGCAAGGAACAGUAUCCAUCUUAUACAUGGUUGGAGCUCCAGUAUCCGCAAUCUCGGCAGCUGCUUUGGCAGCAGCCUCUUCAUUGCCCGAGGCAGCAUUACGGCACAUAAACCUGACUCGUUGUACCAAACAAAAAGGGUAAUAAAUUUUCACAGGCACCAGAGAAUUUCUCGAUCGUCAUCGCACAACACGUAAAUGUGUGCCAAGUUUGCACUUUUGAGUAGCAUACAGCCAAAUCUGGCAAUGAGAAAUGAAAGGAAAUAUUGCAAGAGAUCUCGAACCUGCGAGGGAGAAGAAGGACGGGCGGAGGCCGGGCGAGGUUGAUGGAUGAUGGAUUUGGUAGGGGUUUUGGGAACACAUGGCCUCGUAGCGCACGAGAACGCCUGCCAACAUCGAUGUGAGAGAAAGAAGAAGAACGACAGAGAGGGAGAGAGAGAGAGAGAGUACCGAAGAAGAGAGGAUGUUGUCAAAGCUGCGGUGGAGGCCAUGGCAGCGAGCAAGAACGCUUCCUCGCUCUAACGAAGGCUUGGAUCGGAUCACCCAAUUCGUGUAGGGGAAAUGUCUAUACUACCCUUUAGAUUGAAGAUUACUCUUUUGCAACUCUUUUUGUUAUUUAUAGUCUCAUAAGAAGAAGUCGACGAUUCCUAAUGUUAUCCUUUUAUAAAUAAAUAGACGUCUAUAUCCUUAAUUUUAUUUUUUAUUUGUUAUAUAUAUAUAUAUAUAUAAUUUUGAUUUAAAGUUCUUUUCUAUUAAUGCUAUGUUGCAUAUUUUAUUUUGAUUUUUGUUUUUUCCCCCUACGAAUUGGUGGCAGAGAAAACAGAGAAAUUUUAUUCCCCAUCAUAUCAGAAUUUUAUUAACAAGAAGAUUUUUUCCAGAAAAGAAAUUUGCUCUGCAAUAUUUAGCUUAGUAUUGUCAUAGAACAUCUUCCGCAUCAUUCCUGACCAUAUAUUUUUCUCAACUAAAAUACAAUAGUUUUUUCUUAAUUUUUAUCAGUUAUGAAUUGAAUUGCUACAGUGUCAUUGUAGUUUGAGCUUUUCAUUUCCUUAAUUGCCACCACAGUUUAAGCAAUCAAGUUCAGCCACACUCCAAAGUUUAAUGUUCCUUCUUCUGAACAUUAAGAAGUAGAUGCUUGCAUGUCUAUCCAAAUUGAAUCAGGGAAUAAACUUAUUAAUUGAGAAUUGAAGUGAAAAAUGUGUACAUCAGAACAGCAUUGUUUUCAGAGAAAUUUACAACUGGUGACUACCUAGAGAAAGUGGCUGAUGACAAGAAAAAGCACCAAUGAACACCGAUACCGACGAAGUUACGACAAACAUGAGGAUCAGGCGAUCGGUCUCGAUAAGUUUCGUGCUAUCGAACAAGUUAUGUCAUCGCUCUGUUGUCAGGAGGAUUAGCUUCUAGGAUGGCACGCUGAUGCAUUAUUACCUCAGAAUCCCAGAGAGAAUUUCGACGUAGCUACUUGGAAGUUCCAACGACGAUGAAGCCACAGACGAGGAGAAGGGAUCACCUGGGGUUAGAUGGAAGGUUUCUCUGGAAAGUUCCGGGAGCAAACACUGGGAAUGAGUCCACUGCUUGUGCCCUUUCCCUUGUGUCGCGACUCGUACUUGGUGUGCUCUCAGAUUCCGGUGGUCUUGUUACGGUGCUGCCAUCGCUUCUCUUAGUAUCUUUAAGAGGGGCAUUUAGAAGAGGCCCGCCAAAGAAAAUAGACUGCCCAGUGUAGGUUAAACUCUCUUGUUGCUGUAGAGGAGGCGUCACUGAUGUAGAAACAUUAGGUUGAGAAGCCUUCCUCCCAUAAGCACCAGUUUCCGCAGAAGAAAUAGGCAAGGGAAUCCAAAAAGCCUUAACUGGGGCUUCUGCACUAUUCUCAGUUCUAGCAGUUGCUGGUACCGAGACAUAGCGACCAGCUUCUUGAUCCCAAACAACAGAAGCCCUUCUAUUCUCCCUGGCCAUUGCUGUGGCAGAUUGGAACAUUGUGUUGGCGAGCUGGGUGGCAGGAGGAGGUCCUGCUGGAAUAUAUGGCGGAGGUCGAUCAGGAAGCGAAUGCUGCACAAGAAGUGAGCUCGGGGCAAUCAAUUCAUGAGUAUGAGCCGGACUGCUCAGGCUGCUUGUGCUUUGUGUUCCAGUCUCAUAAUCAUCCUUGCUAGCAAUACUUUGCGGAUAAGAGUUUCCUAGGGGAGAUAAUUUUAGUUCCCCUCUUGAUCCUUUAGUAGCAUUGUACUCUAUGCUUAAACUACUCCUGCUGCUUGCAUUUACACUGGAACUUAGAUCAGGAACAAGCACACGAUGAGCAUCCAUGGGCCGAAGAACUGAAGAAGAUGCCCUGGCUUUGGCUGCCGCUUUCAUGGCCUCACUAGGGUCCAAUUUGGCAAGCUUCCAAGGAUUUCUCUUAACAGCCUUUUUGGACUUGGCAGCCUUUUCCACAUACCCAGCUGCAUCUGGAUCUACAGUUGAUGGUACCAUUCCAGGUUCCAAGUGUGGGAUAAUCUCAUCCUGUAGCAGAAAUUUAGGAAUGAAGUAUACACGGAUUAAGAACAACCAAGAUCAUGGACAGCUGAGAAAUAUUAGCCUGUUUUGGAGUUUAUUCAUAGACACGAGCAGACAUAUGUCACAAAGUACGAUGAAAAGUAACCUUGACAAAUUGAUUUUCUAUGACUGACUCAUGCAAAACUUUUAAUAAUUAUAGCAGGAAUAUGAGUAUCUAAUGAAGGCUUACCUGCUGAUCAACAAAUAUCCUUGGAGGGGUGCACCAUACACCUUUGUACUGGAAACCAAGGGAACUUCCAGCACUUAAGCCAGUUGUUGAAGAAUUAGUUGGAGAAUAGACAGGGUUUGGUGCUUCUUCAUCAACAGAUGCUGGAGGUGCCUCGCUCAUCGCUCUCAUAGCCACAACAUACUCGUAGGUCGUAAUUCCCUGGUAAAGGGAGGGAAAGGUAUAAAAAUUUGCUGCACGAAGAAUCUGGAUAGGUUUGAGCUUUGUUUGACAAACCUUUUUAAUCAGAAUCAUGUGGAAAAAGAAAAGUUCUCCCAAAGGUACACAUGCGACUACUGAAACUGCAGUGCAAACAGCCUACAAAACCAAGUUUUAGCAAGAAUAUGCCAUGAUUAAAGCUGUUAUCUUCAUACUGGAUUCACUGAGCAAACAUAUUCUAGAACCAAUUCAUUUUGUUUGUUAAACUAAAAAUAACCGAAAAGGACAUUCAAAGAGGAAAAUAUUACAACAGUUGAGUGGGCACAUAGGUACUAAAAUCUUGCUAUUGAAUUUCCUAUUUCAAUUAAGAAUACAAAAUACCUACCUACCCAUCACAAAGAGAAGAUUAUCCAUUUAGCAAGCAAAUUGGACAUUUCAACGAGCAACAUAANNNNNNNNNNNNNNNNNNNNNNNNNNNNNNNNNNAUAUAUAUAUAUAUAUAUAUAUAUAUAUAUAUAUAUAUAUAUAUAUAUAUAUAUAUAUAUAUAUAUAUAUAUAUAUAUAUAUAUAUAUAUAUAUAUAUAUAUAAAUUUUUAUUACAUAUAUUGUAGUUAUUAUUAAUCAAUUAAAACUUCACCAUUUUUAUCUUUUAUAAAAAUCUUGUCUUUGAUAUUUUAAAUAUUGUGUGAAAGAAUCGUUUUACCAUAUUAUAUUUAUUAAAUUUUGAAUAAUUUAUUACUAUUAUGUUCUUUGUAUUCACAUUUAAAAUUAUUUUCUCAAUUGAUGUCAUUCUUGUUCAUUGAAUCUAAUCAAUUUUGAUUAGAUUAUGAUUAUAUCAUUUCUAAUAUUUUUCGAUCCCAAUACCAAUUUUGUGAACUAUGUGCAAAACAAACAACAGUUGUGUCUAGGGGGCCUUAAAUUAUGGACAUCUUUUAGGGAAAAAAGGUGUCCAUAAGAAAAAAUAAAUCAUACCAAUAAAACAAUAUCAAUUUUGAUCUGCUGAACUUACCACAACAGUCGCAAAUGGAGCACGAGAAAAACCAUUUCCGAGCUUUUCCUCCACAUCGUUCUCCAUUCUGUUCUUAUCGACAAAGCAAAGUACAAAAACUGCAAUACCAACUCCACAUUCCAGUGCAAGCUGGUAAAUGGCAGUGAAAAAGAAAAAGAAGGGGAAAAUGUUAUAGUUGGACAAGCUCUAUGCAUAUUGAUUCACAAGUCAAAAUAUUAAAUAGUCAAAAUGGUAACAUCUUCCACAUACCCAGAUGAGACUGGUGGCCAUAAGAGCCAUAAAGGUGACAUAAUUUUUUCUCCCCACACAAUUAUUAAGCCACUGUAAGCAAAUGAGAAUAUAAAUGAUAAAAAUUCUUAGUAUUCAACAGAGAACAAGGAAAAUAAUUCAAGACAAAAUUACCCGACAAUGGUGAUCAAACCCAUCCACACAUUUAUCACAGCUUCUACAGUGUUUACUAUAUCUGCGCACCUGCAAAAUAAAAAGAUUCAACAAAUGAUGAUGUUAAGUAGAAGUCCAAACUGAAAUGACCGUGUACCACAAAGCAAAAAAAAAAAGAACAUUCUGCAACAUUAUGAUUAGAUGCUUAACAAUAGUAACCACAAACAGACAAGAGAAACCAGUGGUAAUACUUCAUCACCCAGGAUAAUCUGUCUAAUUUUCAUCUAGUGGCUACUUAGGAAAUCAGAUGCUAGAGAUGCAAGUUUUAGUCACUAUUAUUUAGUAUGUAAUUCUAAUCUAAAGCAUUAUAUUCAAAUGCAGAGAUUUUAAUAAGUAACAAACUAGUAGUAAAUAAGAAACAACAAAAGAACCUGAUGUAGGCAAGACUGUGAAGUUAUGAAAUACAAUUAUGUCUUAAAUUACCAAUGUAUACACAAGAUUUUAACUAUGGAUAAAGUGAGUGAAAGAUUCAUACCUCUUAAAGUCCAUUCUACAGAAAAUUAACUUUAUGAAAGAAGAAAGACUCAACAUUUGCCUCGUACCUCAGUUGGUAUGAUGCUCCUCCAAAGCAAUAAAAAGUAAAAGAAUCAGAAAGGGAACUAAAAAUUUUGUUUUAUCUGAUUAGUGAGAAAUGAUCUGUUAAGUUUUUGCCAUAUAUGGAGAGAAGUGGAAGAGUAGAAGGCUCUCCCAUUACUUUUUCUUUAUUAUAGCAUCCACAACAAGUCCAAUCCAAUAAAACCUAUAGUAUUCAAUGGAGGGAGAAGCCUGUUUUGUCAUCUUUAUGAAUAGUACUAAGUUGAAAAGACACAAUCAGAAAGAUAUGAAGAUCCAUGGAUUCAUUGUAACACUUUUUUUUGACCUACUAUUCAAGAACAACACCUGCUAAAGGUUAGCUAAUGCAUGACCAAGUUAUUAUAAAAGUGAAGCUUUGACAAUAGAAAAUCACAACUCAAAUAUCAAAUCUAGCACGAAGGAUAGGUUCUACUGUAGUGAGCCCAAAGCGUCAAACUUUCAUAUACAGUAUCACAUAAAUAUGACUAGACAAAGUCCAACAUAAGCAUAUUGUAUCAUUUUUUCACCGAAUGACCAAUUCAGCAAUUGCCUUAUCUGCAUUAAAUGUGAACUUACUGCUGAGCAACUGAUUCCAUGGCUUCAUUAAGAACUUAACUUGAGCCCUUUCAUUACACUGAAUGGUGAUUAAACAAUAGCCUUAUAUUACAUACCCAAGAACUAUUUUUAAUGUCCACCAAGUACUCUGAAUACAACACUCACAGGGAUCAAGAUAUCUAGAUGGAGAACAUGCAACAAAGAGCAGCAGAUAAACGAGCAAUAAAAGAACUAAAAGGCAAGAAAGAAGAUGAAUGAGCUGUACAAUAUGCCACAGCUGUAAAAAAUAUGGUAAACAAAGGAGCUAACAAAGCAAUCUUGGCAAGAUCUAUCUAUGCUCAGAGAAUCUAAAUGCAUUGCUCAAGUUCACAUAUAUAUUAAAGAUUGCUUGGUAGUAAGGUGUAUAGAUAGAUAUAUAUAGAGAUAUAUAUAUAUAUAUGGCAAUAUCUAUCUAUGCUCAGAGAAUCUGAGUGCGUUGCUUGAAUAUAUGUUCACAUAUUUAUUAAUGUUUGCUUGNNNNNNNNNNNNNNNNNNNNNNNNNNNNNNNNNNNNNNNNNNNNNNNNNNNNNNNNNNNNNNNNNNNNNNNNNNNNNNNNNNNNNNNNNNNNNNNNNNNNNNNNNNNNNNNNNNNNNNNNNNNNNNNNNNNNNNNNNNNNNNNNNNNNNNNNNNNNNNNNNNNNNNNNNNNNNNNNNNNNNNNNNNNNNNNNNNNNNNNNNNNNNNNNNNNNNNNNNNNNNNNNNNNNNNNNNNNNNNNNUAUAUUCAGAGAAUCUAAGUGCGUUGCUUGAAAAUAUCAAAUUUACAUAUUUAUUAAUGCUUGCUUGGUAGUCAUGAAAUUAUAUAGAUAUUAUCAUUUAGAGACAAGAAUGUUAAGAUGGAUGCGUGGGCUAUUAAAAAAAAAGAAAAAGAUAUAUUUGCAUGAAUGGACAAUUAUUGGGAGAGGUCUAAAAUAUCUAAAAUUCCAAAGGAGUCACCGGUUAAAUAAUGUCUGAUAUUACCCUGGACAGACUUCAGUCAAUGGAGAAGAUCGACACAAGUGACUCAAAUAGUCAGGAUUCUGCAUAUAUUGCAAAUUAAAGUUCCAAGAGAAAAACUAAUUUUGAGAAAAGCAAAUAUUCAUUCAUUUCCACACUCCUCUGCGCCACUCAAAGAAAAACCCAUACUAAUGUCCUACCCUACAAAUCUUGUUUUACAAGGAUCAAAUAUAACAGGUCCUAAUAUUUCAUCAAUAAUGAACUAAUAAAAGAUUAGGUAAUAAGAGCUUGUGUAAGAAAUUAGACAGAUCUGAGCUACAACAUUUUGAUCCUUUUUAGCCAUUGUCAUGUUCAAACAAGUUCGCAUAAAAUUACAACUUGUAAUUGAACUCUUUAUUAUAUGAUGAUUUAUACAAUCAUACAGUUACAACUAGUAAAACAUAUAAUAUUAUUUCACUUCAUGAAAGUAAGCCAAUCAUACUUAUUUUAUCAAAGCAGAAAGAAUGGAUUGGAUGAUUUAAAAGCAAUAAUCCACAUUAUAUCAUCUAGAAGAUAUACCUCAGCAUUGCACAAAGUACAAAAUAAAGCAUCUUCGCCGCCAGCUUGUUGGUCAGUUUCUUCAAGUUUCCGGCAAUCUUCUUUAAUAAAUAAUGCACACAUAAAUCCUCCAAAGCUGCAGCAAGAUGAACUUUGCUUUCCUACACUUAUUGAGAUAUUUGUAUUCACAUCUCCGACAGCUGAAGAUUUUCUAUUAGUAGAACCAUCUAAAGAACUUCUGGAAGCUGAUGCUGGAGAAGAAUGUGCUUCAGUUGCAUUAUUAUCAACUUCACAAGAUAAAGGCCCACCUGGCAAUCCAGUUUGAUCACUUUGUUGAAUUUUGGAAUUGUUAUCAAACUUUGACAUGAUUCCUGGAUCAGCAGGGUUAAUGCGUGUACAACGCACAUAAAGUAUAAAAACUGCAACUGCCUGAAACAAAGUGAUAAGAGAUGAAGAAUCCACAUGACCAUAGUCAGAAUUGACAUUUAUACAAGAUAAACACAUGUUGUGUUAGUGUUAUCAUGGGAUAAGAAGAGCUCACUCACCACAGGGGUAUAAAUGGCAAUUGCAACAUAUUCAAAGAUGUGUUUACCAAGAAACGGUGCAAAGAAGGCAUAGAAUGCAACAACCAGGAGGAAGAACACUGUUAUAGCAACAACCUGCAAAAGAAGGUAGAAGAAAAAACCAUUGCUAGUUGCACAAAUGAGUAAAAACUAAAACUGCUAGUUAAUGCUAGUUAUUUAGGCUAAUUUCAAUUAGACUAAAGUGAUAUAGAAAAAACUGGGAAUACAUAAAUGCAUUAUGACAAAAGGUGUUAUAACAACUCCCCUAGAAUGAUACGAUCUCACUUGAAGUUAUAACUCCAUCAUGAGAAUAGCAAUAAGAUAUAUUCACAAAACACUCCAUGAUAAAUGUUCUUUUGGGAGUUUUCCUACCUGAUAUUACAAAAUAGGAAUAUAUUGAUGGGCCCACUGAAGAAUGUUUAACAUUUUCAUUCUGGACCGAUGACUGUUUAAGGCAUACAUUUAUAAACAACAAGGAAGAGAAAUACAUAGGUUGACCCUCCCUAGACUCUCAUUGGCAGGAGCCUGAUUCAUUUAAUUUGUCACUAUUUAAGCCAAAGAAAUGCAUUUACCCACAAAGAACUUAUCAGGCUAGAAAUUGUAGGUUUAUAUGGAUUUGGAAGGUCCUAGCUCACGAGUGCACUCAAAUACUCUAAUAACAUGGAACCAUAUACCAUGUGCAAUAUUUCCUUUCUGCCAAGGCACUAUCUCCCAACUAUAAGUGAGACAUUUGCGUGGACAAACAAUAAAUUCUGUUCCAUAUCAUGGUUGAUUUUCGUUAUGCAAGGUCUAUGUGUGAUCUAGGGACUUAGUAAUCUACAAUGUAACCAGAGCUCUUUUAAAGCAUUCUUACUGGUCCACUUGAAAGUUUUCGUUAAUUUAACAUGUUAGUAAAGAUGAAGUUACGAGCUUGCCUGAUGACAUCAAGUAAUCAAUUGAUGUAGUUAGUUUCUCAAUUUCCAAUAAGAACAUUGAUGAACUAUUAAACGAAACUAAUGCCAAGCUUCCACAAGAAAAAAAAAAUUAAACAAUGGCAUCUCAGCAAUGAAACGGCCCAAUUUCAAACAAAGACAAAGUAAAGCUCAGACAUGAAUUCAGUAUAGAUUUGCUACAAAAAUCAAAGUGAGCAGACAUCGCACGCUCCCCGGUUUCAUAAGCUGGGGAGAAAGAAUCAUCCAAGACACCAACUUGGACUGUGUAAGAGCACGAUCGAUGUGUAAGGAGAAGAAGAAAGAAAACCUAGAAAUAACAUCAAUGCACCUUGAACCAAGAAGGCUUUUUGAAACAAUUAAACCCUUCGGAAGCCACAUCUUCCGAGAAAUCCAAAGGGCAAAACCAAAAGGGAAAGAAGGAAUUGUCGGAGCAGGGGAGGAGGUACCUGGAAGGUGUGAGCAGGAAGCUGCCAUCCAUGGCGCCUUACCAUGGUUGCAGAGAACAAGUGCUCCUCAGGCACAAACCUCCUCCGAUCACGCGGACAUAGAAGGAGAAAACCCACGGGCCAAAGGAACGAACGGAUUGCCCCCCCUUUUGAAGGAAGUGGAAGUGGAUCGGGUGGCAAGGAGACAGACGAAAAGAAAAGACAAGGAACCUCCUCCUGAAGACUCAGUGGGGGCAAAAGAAAAGGGUUUGGUCCUCGAAGCUGAAACCUUUGGAGCCUUCCUCCUCGGGACUCACAUGGGGUGGGGGCAAAGGAAUAGGGUUUGGGCCUCAAAGCUGAAAUCUUUGGCGCAUAAACUGUACAUGGAUGCUGGGAAAAAAGUGAAAGACGCGAUCUUUUUCCUCGGAAUGCAAUUUCUUCCCUUCCCAGCAAGUCAAUAUCUGCUCAAAUUAGCACCCUCUGUUUCUGGAUGAGCUACGGAAGCUAAAGGCGAAAGACUUGUCAUCCAGUGUUCUCCAAGAAGACAAGAGAAAGAGAGCAGAGCAAGAUUUGCCUGUGAAACAUGGCAGAGAUCGGCAAUCCAAAUGAAAACAACACCUCAAUAUUUGCCGACCGCAAGCCGCCGAAACGCCUCGUGUUGCCAUUCGGCGUCCGACCACCAGUGGCAGGUCAUGUGAAGCAAAUAUAUUCUGUGUGGUCAUAUACAAGUCAUUCUUCACCUCUCUGUCUUUAUAUAAUCUAAUUUUCUAGUUUAUACUAUUCUGUUAAGACAAAUUAAGAUUAUUAUUUCAGCUGACAGAGAAUUGCAGACUGUGUGUUUUCUUUGACAUGGAGUUUGGAACAUAUUAGGCUACCAAAUUCUUCUAACCAAAUCCACCAAGCAUGGAAUCUACCAACCAACAUCCAAUAAAUUAAAGAACUACUUCAUCACCUAAUACUUAUGGCUCAUCUUGGAGAUGUGGAUCUGCAAACAAGCAUAUUGAAACAGUGCCAUGGAGAUCAAGAAGUUUACAGUAAUCUUGGUUGCACCAAUGACGAUGCUUCUUUUCUUGAGGUAAAUUUAUCUCAAAGCAGAGUAAUGGUGACUUGUUUCUCAUUCCCUUUGUUCUUCCAGGAUCUUCACUUGCAAGGGAAAUCUUGGAGCAGCUUUGUUAGGUAGCAUAAGAGACAACAGGAGAUCUUUACGUCAGUGAGCUGCUAUCUUAGAUUCUGUCGCAAGAUUCUGUCCUGCUAGUAGAGCAGCAUUUGGCACCAAAUCAAGUCUUUGGUGUUUGUCCUCAGGCUGGAAGCUGCUGUAAGUUCCAAAGCUAACACCAAGUCACAUAACUUUGGUAGAUAUCUAAGAAAAGGGCAUAAAUAACAGAGAACUUAACAUGAACUCUAUGAACAAAAUUUGAACUUUAACGUUAACGAGGAGGAAGAAGAAGAGAUCUCUGGUAGUAAACAUAUCUAUGUCCCUGCCAAAGAUUUUGCCAAUGAAGCUCAAGCAGCAUUGUCGGCCUCGAGCAUAUGUUAUUGUAGAAGUGGAGUUCGAAUUCUUUCAUGAGUUAAGUGAAGGAAGAGACCAAGAGUGGCUUAAGAUAAUUGUACCACUUUUAUGCCGAGACCCUCAGCGUUGUUGGGACCGCUCAACACAUUAGAGCGUCUGAUAUAUUGUAUAAAGACAUCUGAGCUCGAAAAGCGAUUGUAUGCUCCGCUGGGUCAAAGUUGUCGUUGAAGGUUUCCAAUGAUGGGAGACAAAAGUUUACAGACAUCAGCUCCUCCUAGAGGCUUUGGACGAAAAGGGAGCGGCCUGAGGUGGGGUCAUCUGCAUCUUCCCUUCUGGAUUAUUAGAACUCUCGAUGCAUCUUGUCCAUGUGUUGGUCCAUCUAUCAUAGUUAGGCUCUCAAGGAGUCGUUCAUUGAAUCUAUCAAUUAGGUCUUCGAUUCAAGUAAUGUUGGGCCCUAGUGCAAUGGCACACUGAACUCCACUAUUGGGAAGGAGGAUGCUCUUGUCAGUAGUUCAGUUGGUCGAGUGCAGUCCUGGGUUGCCAGUACUAGAUCAAUCGGGGAAACCCUGGUGGGCGCUAGUGCUAAUAGUGGUUGAGACACCGAUCGUGGUUGUAAUUGCACCAUAGUCUAUUGAGCUAGCUGAGGCAGAAGUUGGGCGAUAGCCUACAUCAUCCCCAUGAGCAUUUGCAUUUGGUGAGUGAGGUUCAAUAAUAUAUCGAUGAGGACAACUAGGUACCUUGCAUUCAUCCCUAGAGGUGAGAGUUUGGGGUUGUUGAAUAGGUGCCAGUAAUGCCCCAGUGUUUGAGUGGAGGUGGAUGCAUUCACCAGAGGAACGGUGGGCAAUUGCUCGCCUUGUGUGAAAGUAAUAUGGAUUGGGAUAAGGCCUCAUCGCUGGAGUACUCGUUAAGAGAGUUCAUGGGUAGAUAUUUUUGCAACAUUCAGGGCCCUCCUUCUAACGCCAAAAUGUUGUAGGGAGAGUACCGUCGAUUGUGAGUCAACACGACUUGGUUUUGACUCAAAGGUGUAGGGUCAUCCGAUUAAUCCUCGUACUCAUAUGAUGAAGCGGUUGAUGGGGCACCAAGGCAUCGAGGUGGUCGUCGGGUAGAAUAUGAAUGUCCAAGGUGGUCUUGAGGGAAGGUUGAGGUGGAGUUCGACUCCUCGAUGGGUUUCUGAAUAAAGGUUAGUGUUAGGAAGAGUUUCCUGAAUUGACCCUCCAAUGCUCAAGUUAGCUUUAGAGUGGUAUAUAGUGUAUGAGACUAUUUGCAGAGAUAUUCGACUCUUGGAUCAGCUUUUAUAUCUGACUGGUCGAGAGAUUUAUUUGUAACAACUAUAAUGCCCUCUCAUUUGUCCAUGGAGGCCAACCAAGGUGGGGUCGGGGCAGGCCCGAACAAUCUCUCGUGGACAGUUGUCCACGGAGGCCAACUGGGCUAGUCCGAAUGGUCUCUUGUUGACUAUUAUCCAUGGGGGCUAAUAAGCCAUAACUAUCUCCAUGUCACCGCCUCAGGUGACUCAACCUUCAACUUCCUUGUCAGCAUAUCUAUCAUUAUAAAAAGAUAUAUAUUUGUGUCCCAGUCGACUUUGUCAAAACUCUCAUAGCUUAGCUUGCUGGUGUUGUCUACCUAAACAAAACAUAUGUAUUUGUUUAGGUAGACAACACCAUUUCUGAGCAAGUUUAGACAGGAUGAGGAACCCAAAUUUCUGAGCAAGUGCAAGAAUUCUCAAUAUUGAAAAGAAGAGGAGGAGGAUUACUACCUGAAGCAAAUAGGAAGAAGAACGGCAAAGUGAUGGCCACACCCCUUGUGUCCAUUCUUGAAGACCACCUUCUACCUGCAAGAAAUUCUUAGUGUGCUCACUAGAUUUCUGGUAUUGUCACCAGGAGUUAGGGUGUUGUUUUAGUUGUUUUCUUGUCAUGGGAAAACGCAUUGCUUACAUAGCAACGUUUUGGACUUGCUUGAUUGUGUCGGCGCACUAGAUGUUUUGCAGCUUGAGCAGAUACAUCAUAUGCAAAACAAGGGUCAUUUUGGACACAUUAUCUACAAAUAAAAUACUUUAGGAUUGAUAUAAUAGUGGAGGAGGCAUGGCUGACACCUUAACAUCAUAUGUGAUCGAUACUUUAGCAUUAUGUGGAUUAACACCUUAACAUCGCAUCAUCGAUACCUUAGCACCACGUAUCUCAACAUGAGACACCUCAUCACCGUAUGACCAACACAUAGUCAGCAUGAGAUUGACAAUUGGAUGAUAAUGAAAAGAUUGGGUUUUAGAUGAACUUGCAAUCCCUUGUGAUCAACAUUGAUCACAAGAAUACCAGUCCAUAGAGCCCACUAUAAAAGAGCUCUCCAAGUGUGUUCCCUAUAUACAUUUAAACAUCGCUUUUAAGCUUGGUUCGAAUCCUUCCAAACCCUUGAAAUGAGACAAAUGAGGAGGAAGGUCUCGGUUAGCUCCGAAUCGACAUCCCUCGAUGAUGAUGCAACCUCGGCUCAAAAGCAUCUCUUGAUAGUUGUGCAAGUUGAAUUGACCUAGAAGCGUCUCUUAGUAACAACGUAGGCUAAAUUGGCUUAGAAGCGUUUCUCGACAAUGAUGUGGUCGAAUCGGUCCAAAGCGCUCAAUUCGAUGAUAGCAUAAUCAAAAUGACCCAAAGCAUUUUGUCCAACGAUAGUGCAAUCAAAACAACAUAAAACAUUCUCAUCAAUGAUAACAUAGUUGAAAUGACUUGUAGUGCUCCAUUUGAGGAUGCUGAACAAAAUGGUCUAAAGUGCUUAAUUCGAUGACAAUGCAGCCAAAAGAACCCAAAAGUACUUCCUUUAACGAUAGCAUAACUAAAACAACCCAAAGUGCUCACUUCGAUAACAAUGUAAUGAAAAUAUUCCAAAGUGCUAUAUUUAACGAUAGCACAAUCGAAAUGGCUCAAAAUGUUCCCUAUGACGAUAGUGCAAUAUAUACAACCUAAAGCGCUCCUUUUGGUGAUAAGAUCAUAAACCCUUUUUUUUAGUUUGGUAGUUAAGUAGGAGUUAUAUCCUUGACUCCACUGCACUUAUCGAGGCAUGCUAUGGGAAUAAUGAUAUAAGGACGAUCGAUACCUCAAUGUCAUCUUAGCACCAUAUGGCUAACACUUAACACCACAUGAUGGGCACUUCACAACCACGUGGUUGAAACCUCAUCACCACAUGGCCAACAUAUCACAACUACAUGGCAUAUAUCUCAACAUUGCAUGACUAACACAUUAUAACCACGUAUUCAACACCUCACAGCUAUGUGGUCGACAUCUUACCGCUACAUGACCGACAACUUGACAUUAGAUGGGUGAUGAGGUGAUUGACUCGACCUUGCGAAAAUUGAUACACAUAAUUUGAUACAACCAUGUUCGCUGGUUUCAGCGCUUCAUGAUCGCAUGUGGUUGGAGAAAAUGCAUAAUCAUUCCAAUUAUUAAUUAUGACCUCAAGCUAAUGGUCAAAUACCAUAUUAUAAAAUGCUCCCAAGUAUGUUCUAAGGGGGCUCUCCCCUCUAUGUUGAAUUACACUUUUCUUAUUUGACAUUUGACUAAAUUCUUUGAACCUCUUACUGAUUUAAGUAUCAUAAGAGCUUUGUUGGGUAUACCUUUAACGUAGUUUUUUUUUUUUUUAGGAUCCCUUAUCGAACCCACUCAUUGCCCGAUAUCAAAUUUUUGAUAGACUUGGACAUCAACAAAGGUUGCCUCCAAAAUUCUCCCCAUGUAUUGGACAACCAAAUUACAUUUUCAUACCUUCCAAGUUGUGAUUUUGGAGAAUAAUAAUUUAAUAUCUUCUCACAUAUCCAAUUUUGUAUGAAAAAUAAACUUAAUUUAGUAACUUUUCUUUUAUUUGAAAACACGAAUUAGUAAAAACAAAUCUGCACUGAAAAUUUCUCAAUAGUCAAACCUCUUAAUUUGCUUCAAAACAUAGAAAUUAUCAAUUAUUUUGUAUUGGAUACGAAGAAUAAUAUUCUUAGUAAUAAGAUUCUUUAAUCUUAAACUUGAUCAAUUAUUGAAUAUAUAUAUAUAUAUAUAUAUAUAUAUAUAUAUAUGUAUAUAUAUGUUUGAAUGUUCAUGGUUUUGAUAGAUCUGUUGUUGUUUACUUGAACAAAACAUACCCUAAGUCCUCGUUUCAAUACCAAGAAGAUAGUGAGCACACUAAAGAUUGCUUGUAGGUUGAAUGUGAUGGUGGUUUUCAAGAUUGGACAGAAGGGAUGCAGCCAUCACUUUGAUCUUCCUAUUUUGUUUACUGUAUAAAAAUUAUUAUUAUUUUCCUAUACAUGAGUUUCAUAAUGAAUUGGUAUGCUUUCAUUUCAUGUUAAAUUAUUGAUAUUUGUAUAUAUUUUAUGAAUAUUAGAUAUUAUUUUUAUAUUUUUUAAAAAUUACUAUCAACAUGUGUGGUUGUUGAUGCUUCUUUAUAAUAUAUUUAUUUUUAGAGUAGUUUACUACUUUCUAAUAUGUCUAAGGUUUGGAUAGAGGAGACUUUUCAGAAACACUAUAAAAAAGGCAUGAUUUUUUUAGUUAAAAAAAAGUUACUAUUAUAAAGAUAGAGAUUUGAAUUCAAAGAUAAAAAAGAGAGUGGCUUCUAUAAAUUAUGAAUAAUGAAAUAAUAGUUUAUUUUUUUAUAAAUCUAGGAUGUGAUAAGAUCGAUUUGGUCUAUACCACUAUUGGGAGAUGCUUUUGAAUCGAGAAGGUCGCAUCGUGGUUGAGGGACGCUUUAUGGCUAAAUUUAGUUGCAAUGUGCUUCUUGAUCAAGUUUAGUUACUUUGUCAUCAAGGAAUGAUUUAUGACCAAGUUCAAUCACGUUAUUAUAUAAGGAUGCUUCUUUAUUGAUUCGAUCAUGUUAUUGUAGAGGGUUGAUUUUGGCUGGGUUUGGUCACCUAGUUAUUAAGAAUUAUCUUUUCAAGUAGUUCAAUCAGGUUAAUGUUAGGAGUCACCUCUUCAAAAAGUUUAGUCAUGUUGGUGUUGGGAGCUACUUCUUUUGGUCAUGUUGGUGUUAUAAGCGAUCUCUUUAAGCAGUUUAACUAUGUUGGGAUAAGGAACCACCUCUUUCGAGGCUCGAAUAGUACGGUGUGGAGAGUCACUUUUUUAGGUGGUUCGACCAUAUUAAUAUAAGGAACCACUUCUUUGGGGAAUCUAUCAUUAUAGUGAAGGGAGCUACCUCAUUUAUGUUGGUGUUGCUCAAUUAUGUCUAACUACCAUUUUAUCCUAUUAGAGGGUGGUAUAAUGCAACUACAGUCCUCAAUUAUGUUACUUGUUAUAGAAUUUGAUCAUUCGAUAAAUGAAGAAAUUUCGGAGCCACAAAUCUGAAUUUGUCACAAACUAGACAUAGUGAAUUUGGAAAGAGAUCCUAUAAAAAAGAAUUAUGUUGGAGGCAUACUCGAUAAGGCCCCUCCGUGCUUAACACAAUAAAGAGUUCUAAAUUCACUACAAGAGAUCCCCCUAAAGAACCUCCUCCGGGCCUUUUUGUAGUGUGGUAUUUGGCUACUGGGUUGAUGUCAUGGUUAGUAAUCAAAAUGGUUUUACGCUUCUUCCAGCCACAUAUGUGAUUGUAUAGUGCCGAAUCCGAGUAGGAAACAAAGAGUCGCUGCUGGUGUGUGAUAAUGUCGCAGCUGUGUAAAGUAGAGAACAACAAGCAGUGGCUCUCACCCAUGGCGUCCAUGCUGCAUGCAGGGCAUUGUGGUAUUCGUCGAUAUUGAGACAGGUUGACUUCGAUGCGGAAGUUGAUGUUGAACUGUGUUCGGGUGUCAUUAUGGAGUGCCAUGUGUUAAUCUGUGCCCGUGCGAACAGUGACUUGCAGGGUUGAGCCUAAAGGCUUAAAUGGGAUCAAUGCAUCUCUUUUGCACACACCGAGAGGCUUAAGAGCAAUGUUCAAAUAUGUUUAUAGGAAACACACCUAGCGUGCCUUUUAUAGUGGGCUCUAUGAAUCAUUUUUCUUAUGAUUGAUGUUGAUCAUGAGGGGAUUGUGCAUUUAUCUUGGACCUAAUCAUUCUCAUCCCGUCGCUGGAUGUAAUGAAACCUUGAAGAUUGACUUGAUCUUAUCAUUGUCAUCUAAUUGUUGGUCUUGUGUCGAUCGCGUGUCAGUCAUGUGGUGCUGAGGUGUUUCUCCACAUCAUGAAUGGUCGUUGCGCACCCGUAACAUCUUUGUUAAUGAACCGUUCGUCACUUUUGUGCACUUGUAUAGUUGUUUGACAGUAUGUUUUGUAUUAGUUUUGUAUAUUUUUACUUGAAAAUUAUGAGCAAGAAUAGAUUGAAAUAUUACAAAGCGAUUGCUCACCAUGAUGAGUAAAACUUCCACAAAAUAGAUUCGUUUUUGUGUGUCACAACUUGUUUUUUUCAAGCUAUGGUGCGAUGCAAAAUAUCAACUAUAUUAGUAUCCUGGAACCCCUUAGGUGGCACCUGGUUAGAUAAAGAUUUGUUGUUGUGUUGGGCGUCAAAUAGAUUUCACAAGUUCGCAUGUUAAGUCUAUGAGAACUUGCCAUCGUGCUCGACAUCCUAUGGAAAAUCAUUUAAGGACUUGUAAUUGCUCGGUUGCCUUCUAAAGUCCUUGGUUUCACCAUUCUCUCUUGCAUAUCGAGUGUUUGAUGAAUUACUUGUAAAGUUGCCGUCUUCGUAAGAUGUUAGGACUUGUUCGUCGUUCUAUUUCGAACUAAUCAAUUUGCUCUUUUAUAGGUUCUAUGAGACCUGAGCAAGGUUGUAGCUAGGCUUAUCAUUUGCAGAUAGAUAAUGCAAUAAAGCUUCAUAACUUAAAUAAUCCUAGUUAAGUCUAUGACAUUGACGUAAGGGUGCUUCAUGGCUUAGACAACUUCAGUUAAGUUCAUAAUAUUAGCGUAAUUAUGCCUCAUGACUUAAAUAGUUCUAAUUAAGUCGGUGAUAUUGUCGUUUCAAAAAAGUUGAUGAUAACGUGGUGUUGAGAUAUCAAUCACAUGAUAUUGAGGUAUCAGCCAUGCGAUGCUAAAGUAUCAAUCCUCAUAGCAUUAAUGUGUCGACUCCACAAUGUUGAAGUGUCAACCAUGCCUCCACUCGUAUAUCAAUUCUUAAGUAUCUCUUUGCGUCUAAAAUCGAAAAACAUUGGAAGUGUCUGAUGCGACCAAGCAAAUCCAAAAUGUCCCCUUUUACAUAUGAAUGAUGUGCCCGCAGAAGAUGCAAAACAUAAAGCAUCGACAUGUGGAAUCCUUGGUAUAUGUUACGUGAGCUGGUUAUAAUAGCAUUAAUCCUUGCCAGAUACCCUUAAUCUUCCAUUUAUGCUCCUACGUGCAUGAACACUGUAACUCCAUGGUGGCAUCAGAUAUAUCUUUCACUUGGAUACCUUGUAUCUUAUCUACUACUAACCAUCUUUGCAUUCAUGAGAUUUUCUACUGCUACAUAUGGUCGAUCGAUGCAAAUUAUAAAUAACAACAUACCCUAACUCCUGGUGACAGUACCAGAAAUCUAGUGAGCACACUAAGGAUUUCUUGCAGGUAGAAGGUGGUCUUCAAGUAUGGACACAAGGGGUGUGGCCAUCACUUUGGUGUUGCUGUUCUUCUUCCUAUUUGCUUCAGGCAGUAAUCCUCCUCCUCCUCUUCUUUUCAAUAUCGAGAGUUCUUGCACUUGCUCAGAAAUUAGGGUUCCUCAUCCUGUCUAAACUUUAGUAUCAGAAAUGGAGAAAAGGAAUAAAUUUGUUUUCAUUAUUACUUUAUAUAAAUCUAUAACAACAGAUCUAUAUGAACAUUCAAAACAAACAAACACACACACACACAGACACACAGGAGCACUGAUGGUCUUCUUCAACAGAGGCACUGACAAAGGUUGAUGCAAGUUUCUGCGACCCCAAGAACAACAAUGAGUGUAUAAACUUAGGAUCCCAAGGAGGCGAGUGCGCCGCCAACUGCUGCCUUCCCAUCCCUCCCGGUGCGAAGAUUGUGGAUUUCAAGCGGCCAUCGCGGUCCACCCCCCUCCGCGUCCGCCCCGCCGCCCACUUGGUCGACCCCGAGUACCUGGCCAAGUACAAGAAGGCCAUCGAGCUCAUGAAGGCGCUCCCGGCCGACGACCCUCGCAACUUCAUGCAGCAG
rnacentral:lncRNA from 1 species